rnacentral:lncRNA from 1 species
UAGGCAAGUUCUUAGCUGUCUGGUAAAUUUUCCUGACUUUCAUUGGUUGGUGCUGCUGUCCCUGGAGUCUAACGGCCUUGGCAGCUUGUUUCAAGGUGGGGCAAACGCAAUCUGGGUCUUCUGGCGAAGCUCGCUGCAGCACUUCUGGAGUAGCGAGGGUCUCUGCGGGUUCUCGAUGUCGUCUUCCUAAUCGAACUCAUCGUCGAGGGAAGGACCACCACCAUGGCCUUGUCUCAUUUGCUUGCGCAUCAAUCGCUGGCAAGCUCUAAGGUGUUGUUCUUUCUGAAACUCCCUCUGACAUUUCUGUCUUGGGCCUAUGGGGUUGCUGGCGUCAUAGUUCGACGACAGUGCGGUAGAUGGAAGCGUUGGUGAGGAGGAAGCAGAGAGCGAGAGAUGUGCAGACGAGGACGAGUUUGUUCGCCAUUUUUUGCUACUAACUUAGGUAUAUUUUUUGUUUGAGUGAAGAGUGAAAUGAAGGGGUUAUGGGUAUUUAUGGACAAGUGAGGAGUUUGGCAUGGAGAUCACGUGUAUGAAUGCAUGCACAGCAAUAAAAAAAUAAAACAUUUCAUGCAUGUGAUUAUGUGUUAUGUGAGCGCGAAAACACCUCCAAUUUGAUUAUGUGUUAUGUGAGCGAAUGCAUGCACAGCAAUAAAAGGUUGUUUUCGCGAUUAGGUGUUGGAAACUCAAAUUGGAGGUGUGACAAGUCAUGGACAACACCUAGUCUCCGAAAGUUGCACAUAUUAAGAGCAUCUCCAAUGGUGAGAGUCCCCCAUGGGCUCUCACCAAUUGUUUAAACAUAUUUUUUUUUGAAUUUUUAGAUGAGAACUUGGGGUUUUUUUUUUUAAUUUUCAUAGUCUAAUGGUAGUUUCUCUUGUGGGGUUCUUAAAAUUUUUUUUUUUUAAAAUAUUUUGAUUUUGAUGUAAUAUGAUGUUUGGUUUUGAUGUAAUUUGAUGAAUUAGGACAAAGUAAUUGGUGUAAUUAGUGUUUGGUGUUUCAAGAGUUCAUAAUCACAUCAAAAACUUGUCAAAUGCAAAAAAUAGAUUCAUGAUCUACACAUAUUAAACUUGUCAAAUGCAAAACAGAGAUUCAUGAUCUACACAUAUUUUGAUUUGAGUGUCUUGUCUCCUACUUGGCCUAUACAAGACAGAUUUGGUGUCUUCUACAUCAAAAACACAUUCAAAACAAAGCACGUUCAAAUUUAAUAGCAUAGACAAUUCACAAGCAACAUUGAACUUGCCUUCUCCACUGCCUUUCUCCUCUUGGCUUCUCCAUUUGCAGUUCUCCAUUUAUACUCAACAAAAACAGAGAGAAAUAAAGCACAUUAGCAUAAACAAUUCACAUUCAAAAACUAUAUAUUGAUUCAACAACCUAAUCAAACACAACCAACCACACUUUCUAAUUUCUCAACAACCAACAAAAUUGUUAGGCUACAAACGUUUAGAAAACGGAAUCAAAACGUCCAUGAGCUUCUUGAAUCUCUCUUUAGUGCUCUCUUCAAUCUCCUUCAAAAGCUUCUCAUUCCCUUCCUCUAAUUUCGCAGCCAAAGUCUCUAACUCAACUUGAUAAGCUUGUUUCCUCUCUCGAGACCUAGCAGCGGAUUCACGGUUCUUGAUCAUCCUCUUCUGUCUUUGAGCUGCAGCUUUAUCCAUUGCCUUCGUCAUCACUCUCCCUCUCUUUCCUCUCAUUCCUCCUCCUCCAACCAUUGAUCCUUCAAUCAUCUGAAACGAACUGUGUUGCUGCGGCUGAGACAUCAUUGGAAAAUCGAAUGUAUAGCUACCGUCGUUGCCUCCGUCAUCACUCUCCCUCUCUUUCCGUUGUUAACGUUGUUCCGAUCCUUUGUACCAAAACGUGAAGCUUGAAGUUGGUUGUUCUCAGGGCAGACCAUAGGAGUUUAACCUAGCAUUGCCAAACCUGUUAUUUAGAUUAGUGGAUUAGUGGAGUUCACAAUUAAGAAACUGAUUCCAAACAGAAAUAAAGACCUUAAUUCAAGAGCAGCAACAUCAUUAAACUCAGUAUAUGCUUCUAAGGUUAAUAAACUGAAUCAAAUACACCUAGAACAUUACAAUCAAGUACUUAUCAUACAACUAGGCAAGUUAUCGUAUCUCUGCUUCUAAGUUAGUUUCCACGUUUUACCACAAUGUUUUAUACAUAGGUUCAUACAUAUAAAGCUCUCAUGAUUUAGAAUCAAACAAAAACUACCUUUCGAUUACUCCAUCAAGGCAUGAUCUUCUUCCCAAGAAGCAAGAUGCACACACUCACACUAUCACCCACUUAAAGAUCUUGUUCAACACUAGAAAGUAACUUUUCUUUUGACUACUUCAGAAGCAGCUGAAAGAUAUGAUUACAACAACAAAACCCAGCGUUUUUCCAGCAAAUUCUAAAAUGAUGGAACACCCAAGAGAGAAAAAAUAGCAUCUUGCGUGAUGAUAUCAAAGAGUAUCAUCUCCAAACUAGUUUGAGCAAGUUUCAAAAAUCAGUUUGAUCAUCUUCAACCUAAGCUACACAAGAUCAAUUUGCAAAUAGUAAACUUAAAAUUCCCACCUCACAAACAUAUCUACACACAAAAAUUCCAUGAAACCUUAAGGAACCCCAGAAACAACAAAACGAAAACCCUAAUUAUGACAACUAAUUGCGCAAAUCUACACACACAAAAUUGGAGGAUUAACGCAGACAACAAAACACCACCCGAAGCAAGUUUUCCAAUUUCAUGGAGAAAUUGAUAGUGGGGAAAGCUUUAAUCUAAACCUAAUUUAUUAUUUGAUGAUCGAGACGGCGGAUGAUGAUGAUCGAGACAUGAUCACAAAUCUCCUCUGUUUUUGCAGUGGGAGAGAAAGAGAGGAGGAAGAGAGAGAGAAAACACGAACGUCGUUUUUUUGUUUCCUUUCAUAUUAAACGCAUUGACUCACACGACGACACGUCAGCGGCUCUCUCUGAUUCUCAAAUGUCUCUCAAGAGAAUCGGUUCUUUGAUUAUUUAGUAGUUUUGAUUUAUUUUAAUUGCAAUUAAACAAGAGAACCCCACAAUUUUUACUUGAAAACCUUGCUUUGGAGAUGCUCUUAUUAUAUCAUGAAAAAACAAAAAAAAAGUCCAAAUAACUAUAAUUUUUGGUUAUUAGUUAUUAGCAUAUACAAGAGUUAGUAUACAUACUUGCAUAGUCUAAAUGUGAUGUUUUGUAUAUUUAUACUAGCAUUUUUGCAACACUUUGGUGACGGGUGGGUAAAAAUGCUUCUGGGUUAAUCAGAUAUCCGACCCGUUUUUUAAAAUCCUUCACAAAAAAAUUGUUGGAUCGGAUUAUAUUUAACCCAACUCAUACACCGGAUAUUUCAUAUUUAAUAAUUUAGAUAUUUAGAAGAUUUGAUUAAGAUUUAGAAUUAUGAUUCUCCUAUUAUCUUUGUUUGAUUUGUUUUUAACUGUUUUGAAUCAUCAUAGAAUACAUAAAAGUAAAAAAAAAACCAAUUUUUUUUUCUGCAUAUACUGUGAUUCGAAAUUUUUAAAACGGACAUAUAUUAUCUAAUUGACGAAAAUGUGUGUUCAACGUUCUACAUCGAUUAAAAUAUUUAGAUAAUGAUUCAGAAUCAUAUCAUAAAUAAGAUCAACAUUAAUAAAAUAAAUGAGUUUUUUAGCCAGACGGGUUUGGCGGGACGGGUUUUUGAAUCAACAAAUAAUAAAAAAUUAAAAUAUCAUUAAUCUGCCGCUUCAAUACGGAUUAAAUCUUUUUUUUAAUACCACCAAUAUUAGACAUAUUAAAUCAGUCUCAUUUAGAAAAGAUUGUAUAAAACCAAAAAUUGUCCCGUGGUAUAAUGUUACUUAAUAACAAUAUUUAUAAAAUUUAAAUAUCAUUAACAUGCCGCUUUAAUACAUAUUAAAUCUUCAGUUUAUUAAAAUAUAAAUGUCUUAGAGAAUGAUAUGAUUUGUAAACUUUUAUAUAUAAUAAAUAAUCAUUAAAUAUUAAAAUAAAAACAAAUAACGGGACGGGUUGAGAAAUUACGGAACGAGUUAUAUUUCGGAAAAGAUUUAUAUGGCGGACGAAUUUGAAUCAAUAUUUAUAUACCGCUUUAAUACGGGUUAAAUCCUUAGUAUAUUAAUAAUUGUCUCGUGGACUCUUGGUAUACCGUUACUUAAUAACAAUUGUAAACAAUAAUAUAAAUAAAUAUGUUAUAAGGAGAUACAAUUUACAAAAUAUUUUUAUACUAACUUUAAAAUUAAAUCAUCCCGCGAUGUACCGCAGGUUAAAAUCUAGUAUAAUAUUAUAACUUCAAGAAAUCGCUAUUUUGGAUGAACAAGAAAUUAAAACUUUUCCAAAUCACUAGCUCCCGCGACAUGUCAAUCAAUAUUGUUUUGUUCAUAAGUUUUUUAAUAAACAAUACUGUAUUUGUUAUGACAUCUCCUAGUUCGAUCGGGCCUGAAGUAUUGUCUGGUUUAAUUUGGUUUCGGUUUAGUUCGAUUGGUUAAUUUGAUAAAAUCUAAAUUUGAAAUCGAUGUAUAUAUUCUUUUUUCUUUAUUUUUAUUCAGAAUGAAUUUGCAUCUACUAAUCAUAGAGUAGGCUUUAGUAAAUAGGAGACCAGUACUGGUUUAAUAGGACGGCAACAUCAGUAAGCUAGUUAAGUAGUUGCAUAAAAAGAAAUUAAGUAGAUGAGUUUAGUAAUUACAUCGAGGAAUUGGGAAUGAGAUACGUUCUUGCCACCAAAAAGAGAUUCCAAAUUGGUAAGGGCCAUAUCUUCGUUGGGCAGUUGAGAAUAAGUCUUGCCUGAGUCAUUUUUUCGAUCCUUAUUUGGAACUUGAUAAACAAACCUCUCAUUUAUUACGGUGUAUAGUGCUAAUUACAUUAGCCUCAAACAUCCUAAGCUUACAGUUUUAUAAAACACACACGAUGACUGUGUAUAGUAUUAACAUACAUCAAUAGCCACACUCAUGAUCAUCGUGCUAGGGCUUGGAAUCUAGUAGUAAGGAGGGAAGAAAGGGAUGGUGCUCUGGAAGGGACAUUCACCAACUUGCUGGAUUUUGCAAACGUUAGGCAAGUACUUAGCUGUCUGGUAAAUUUUCCUGGAUUCGAAUGGUCCGUGCUGUCCCUGGAGUCUAACAGCUCUAGCCGCCUGUUUCAAGGUGGGGCAAACGCAAACUGGCUCUUCCUGGCGAAGCUCGUUGCAGCACUGCUGGAGUAGCUGGUGUCCCUGCUGGGGGCCCUGUGGGUUCUCCAUGUCGUCUUCGAAAUCGAACUCAUCGCCACGACCUUGCCUUGUUUGCUUCUGCAUCCAUCUCUGGCAAGCUCUUAGGUGCUGUGAUUGCUGGAACUCCUUCUGGCAUCUCUGUCUUGGGCCCAUGGGGUUGGUGGCGUCAUCUUCCUCGAACUCGACGACUGUGCGGUAGAUGGAAGCGUUGGUGAGGAGGAAGCAGAGGGCGAGAGUUGCGCAGACGAGGAAGAGCUUGUUUGCCAUUUUUUGCUAUUUGUGUAUGUUUUCUUGUUUUGGUUUGAGUGAAGAGUGUAGUGAAGGGUUGGUUUUUAUUUAUAGGUGACAAAGGAGAUUUGCAUGGCAAUCACGUGUAAGAAUGCAUGAGUGUGUGUGGAGUCAUGGAGAGAGAGAUUCUCUUACGUUGUUGUCGGGAUUAGGUGUUGGAAAAGAGUGACAAGUGACGAACAAUACCACUCCUAGGCUCCUAGCUCCGCUUCUGCAUGCUAUGUGUGAUUUGUAGCUCAUUUUCUGACAUGACAUUAUGAACGAUUAUAUUUUUUAGAAUUAAGAAGGUAAAACUUUUUUAGUAAAACACACUUUUAAUUUGGUUUUGAUCGAAUGAGAUGCGAAUUCAAUCUUUUGGUGGUAGUGCUGUUGGAAAUAUAGUUUUGUGAGCUUAAUCAGAAACUUAGAAUUUUAAAAUAAAUCUAUAUAGUCACGCAGGCCCGGCUCACUCAUCGGUAAGACCCGGUGCCAUACAAAAAAAAAUCUUAUCUUUAAUAAAAAAUUUAUAUAUAUAUAUAUAUAUAUAUAUUUACAAAAAGUUAUAUUUCAUAAAUUAUUUUGUAUUUUAUAGCUAUUUGGACAUGUUAUUUUUGUUUAUUAAUUUUGGGGCUCAAUAUUACCUUUUAAAAUAAAAUUUUGGGACCUUUACAUAUGGAUAUUGUAUAAAAUUUCAGCAUAAUUAAAUAAUUAAAUAAUAAAAAAACUAUGAAUUUGGACCUUAAAUUUGUUGGACCCGGUGCAAAUGCACCACUUGCACAUGCCAAUAACCGGCCCUGUAGUCACGGUUCACGAACCAUGUAAUAAAAUUUUAUAAAAUAUGAGGGAUAUAUAUUAAAAAAAAAUUCAUAAAUAUUUAACCCUCUAAAUGACUCGUACAAAAAAUACAAACAAUAAGUAAUUUAUCUCUUACAUAAAAUCAGUGGUAAUAAAUUAAAGUUAAGAAAUAAAACCGAAAUAUGUGAGACACACACAUAAUUAGAGGUGUCAAAAACUCAAAAUGCGUCAAAAUUAAACUUAUAGAUUUACCAAAACAUUAUAACCCAAACCGUGAACUACAAGUCAAAGAAAGUAUCAGGAACCAUGUUUUGACUGAAAAUUCAAAAGAGAGAGAUGAAGAGAAUGAGAAGAAGAUAUACAAAAUAUUUUACGAAUUCUGAAUCGAGAGUUAGUACAUCGACUAGUUCAAUCUAGCAAUUACUAUGUUUUUCAUUUCAAAGAGUUAGAAUGACUCAAAGAUAUGAAUGAUACAAAAUCCGAUCCAUAAGACCCAUUAUAUUCUCGAACUUUCCAACCACGUUUAGCUUAAACCAAAGUAAACCCUUUCAAAACCAGACUAAUGGCUCUUUCAGAAAUCUGCAUGCAGCUCUUAACCAGAACUAAUUGUGUUCCCAGAACAACAUCAACACGUUUUUACAAGACAUUGUUUUCUCUGUUUGUUUGAUUGGUAACGUUUUACACUCUUGACCACAAUGGCUAGCCCUUUUUUACAACAAUUGUUAGCGACUAUCGGUCAAACCGAUCAUGUAUGUAAAUUAUAUCAUUUUUGAAUUUCGCUUCCACGGGAUCAUAUCUAAUGUACAAUUAAAUGGCAUGUCUCUUCCACUUGAUGGCGUGCAAAUUCUUGAGGCCAAAAUAGAUAUUAAAACGCACGUGGUAGGGCGGUGGUAACUGGGACUAUGGUGUAAAUACAGACCAGCAUGAUGCUUCAUUCUUAUAGAGAACAAAUUUUCUGCGUGUUGGAUCACUUGGAACUGUGCUUUGGUCAAGUGUUUUAUCCAUGGUGUAGUUUGCCGCACACUCUUGCAAACAAAUUAUUCACCCUUGAAAGUAGUCAGCGCAUAGCCCUAAGUUUUAGUAUGUGUGCAGUGCCGGUCCGGUGAAAUCCGGGGCCAAAUACGAAAAGAAAAAUUGGGGUUUUUUUUAAAAGUAGAAACUGCUAAAAAAUUUUUUUUUGCUAAUUAUGGAGCAUUUAUAAUUUUUAUUUAACAAUUUUUCUUAAAUUUUAAAGAUUUUUUGCUAAUUAUGAGGCCUUUUUGCUAAUUGUGAAGUCUUUUUUUGUUAAUUUUUGAGGCCUCUUUUACUAUUUUGAAGCUUUUUUUUGUUAAUUUUUGAGGCCUCUUUUACUAAUUUUGAAGUCUAUUUCAUAAUUUUAGGGCCUCAAAAAAAAAAAAAAAAAAUUCUUCACAAAAUGAGCCUCGAAAAUUUGAGACCCAAUACAAAUGAUUCACCAAAAUGGGUGAAGGGCCGGGCCUGUAUGUGUACGCGCGAGUCGGUGACUGAACACCAAGUGCUAUACCAAGAAAGAAAUAGCUAGCAUGCAAAAAUGUUCUUUGCAUAUAUCAUAUCAUGCCUGGGCAUUCGGAUUUCAGAUCGGAUUCGGUUCGGAUUUAUUCGGAUUCAGAUAAUUCGGGUAGGAGAUUUUAUUAUCCGUUCGGAUUUUAUGACUAUUCGGAUCGGAUUCGGUUCGGAUAGUAUCGGAUUCGGAUCGGUUUCAGAUCGGUUUUGGAUUGUUUUUCGAGUAAAAAAAACUAAAAAAUGUUCAAUUCAAAUAAAAAAAUAGUUUAAUCUUACUAAAAUUUGGCUAAGUUUUCCAAAAAUAUGUAUAAUUUUAACAAAUAUAACUAAAAACUUUCUGAUAUCUAGGUUAUUUAGGAUAUUUUUGUUAUUUGUUAUAAAAUUAUAGCUAAAUAUAACUAAUAUUUUUGGAUAUAUAAUUUUAUUUUCGGUUUUCGGAUAUCCUUUCGGUUUUCGGUUCAGAUGUGGUUCGAUUCGGAUAAUUCGGAUAGGAGAAUUCAUUAUCUGUUCGGGUUUUGUGACUAUUUGGUUCGGAUUCGGAGCCAGAUUUUUUGGAUCGGUUUCGGAUUGGUUUUCGGAUUUUAUGCCCAGGCCUAAUCAUAUGGAUAAAUGUUUAAUACUUAAGAGUUGAUAAGAUGAUCUAGAAUUAGUUGCAAAUUAUCUUCACCAUAUCUUCAGUUGUGAGAAACAUAUAAUUGAUUGUUAGAGCCUAGAGGGGCACAGUCAUAGAGCAGUUUUUAAUUGGUAUUUUGCUUAACCUGUAAAUUUGAUUGAAAAAUAUUUCGGACCACCUAGAGAGAGCGUAUGCAAGUGAAAAUUAAACAUAAACAAAACUCUUAUUUAUUAAGGACUUGUGCUAAUUACAUUAAUCUCAAACAUCCAAAACUUACAUUUUCAUAAAACACACGAUGAGGUGUGGUGUUAACAUGUAUCAACAACCACACGCUCAUACGCUCGAUGGUUUUGUUUGGAAUCUAGUAGUAAGGAGGGAAGAAGGGGAUGGUGGUCUGGAAGGGGCAUUCACCAACUUGCUGGAUCCUGCAAACCUUAGGCAAGUACUUAGCUGUCUGGUAAAUUUUCCUGGAUUGGAAUGGUCCGUGCUGUCCCUGGAGUCUAACGGCUCUAGCCGCCUGUUUCAAGGUGGGGCAAACGCAAACUGGCUCUUCCUGGCGAAGCUCGUUGCAGCACUGCUGGAGUAGCUGGUGUCCCUGCUGGGGGCCCUGUGGGUUCUCCAUAUCGUCUUCGAAAUCGAACUCAUCUUCACCACCACGACCUUGCCUUGUUUGCUUCUGCAUGAAUCUCUGGCAAGCUCUUAGGUGCUGUGAUUGCUGGAACUCCUUCUGGCAUCUCUGUCUUGGGCCCAUGGGGUUGGUGGCGUCAUCUUCGUUGAACUCGACGACGGUGCGGUAGAUGGAAGCGUUGGUGAGGAGGAAGCAGAGGGCGAGAGUUGCGCAGACGAGGAAAAGCUUGUUCGCCAUUUGGUAUUUGUAUGUGUUCUUACUCGUUAUUUGUGAUGAUGUAAAGAGUGGAAUAAAGUGGUUAAUUUAUAGGUGAAAAAUGAGAUUGCAUGGUGAUCACGUGUAAGAAUGCAUGUGUGUGUGAGAGAGUGAAUUUUUAGAGGAUGUGCAAUGGGAGUCUCUCGUCAUAGUCUCUCACAUAUGUGGAUGUCGGAUUCACACACUCAAGUAUUUUGUUAAGUGGGAAAGAUUAUUCUUGAGGGACAAAAAUGAAUAUGUAAAAACUUAUAAAUUGAUACGAAAAUUGCUAUAGUAUUUCUCUCUUGAGAGGAAGAUCCCCUUUUACAUGGUCAUUGGCCUCUAUAUUUAUACAUAGAGAAACGACAUUAAAAUGAAUAAUUAAGUACAAUUAUUCCUUCUUAAAUGUGUCCGUUUUGAUUCUUCGACUUUAAUGCUCAACGUUUGAAUUUGAGUUGACUCUGAUCUUCAUGGGACUCGCCUUUUUGGCCCAAGUGUCUUUGAACCGACUUACCCGUGUCUUCUACACUGAACUCGUAUCACAGUGCAGUCACUUCGGAUUCUCGAUGUGGUGACAACCACUUCGACCGUCCCCUCGGUUCACGGGUCCAAUGGGCUUCAUCCUUUAUGGGCCACCCGCUUGACUAUGUGGCAAUCUUUGGUUGGUCUCGUACUUCUGGUGCGGGAUCCGACACCAACAAUUAGCCCCCCAAGUUCUUCGAAGUGCUUUUCCAAUUCGGAGGACUUUAAAUGCUCAAGUGGCCAAAGAUUGCGCUCGAGAAUCUUUCUGAUUUCCCGCCGAAAAUCUCAUCACUCCUUUAAUUUUGGCACUAGCCAUUUUUAACCGAGUGACAUCUGUCAUCAUUAUGACCGUAUAUUGAUUAAUUACUAUUAAAACGGGAAAAAACCUUCCCACUUCCCACACGACUUCCGGGCGGUUUCAUCAUUAGCUUGAGGUAACUUCUUUUCACCAUUACUCUCUUCUUUUAUUUUUGUACUUUAAUCAAAACCUCUCUCUUCGUUCCUUCACCAAAACCCCUCUUCGCCGGAUCUUGAAUUUUUCUUUGUUCCCAAUGACUUCCGAUUCUGAUAGACCCGAGUCUCCGUCUUUCGACGAAAGACGUUCUAGUAACGACGAGUGCACCCGCCCUGGUGAUAUUGCCGGUCCGCACUAUAGGUCCGCUUGUACUCUUCAAUCCCUCGAGCGAUUGAGAGAGCUUUGCCGGAUUCCGCCGGAAAUUAUGGCGGAAGCACAAAUAGCUUCCCCCACAGAAUCUCCAGAGAACCAUCGCGAUGGUUACUUCUGUGUGUAUGAGAUUUAUUUCAAGGGUUGCGGGCUGACCUUUCCUCUUCCUGAAGCCUUAGUUUUAUACCUAGCGGCUCUUGAAAUCGCUCUUCCUCAAUUAACCCCCAAUCUUCUUCGUACUAUUCUUGGCCUUAUAACAAUCGCGGCGGAGGCCGGUUACGUUAUCGGAGUUGCUGAACUAAAUGAGCUUCUGAGUGUGAGAAGUUCAUCGAAGAAAGCGGGGUACUUCUCAGCAUAUCCUAAUGCCAACAGGAACAUCAUUUCACAUCUUCCGAACAAGGAUGAAAAUUGGCAUCAUCCUUGGUUUCUAAUUAAGAAAACUCCCGCUUCGAUUGGAAAUCUCGCAUAUUUUCUCCCUUCGAAGUGGUCUGCGAAACCCGGUAGUCAUUAGGUUGCCCGUAUCUUUCCCGGUUGUUUCUUUAUCUUUAUUGACUAACACCGUUGUUUCUUUCGCAGCUUUCAUCGCUUCCAUUCUCCCAUCUGAAGAGUUCAUCGAAUUCUUCAAAAUAAUUCUUGAAGGGGAAACCCUUUGGAAUUCCUUCACUCUUGAACGAUUCCUAGAGGCUAACCACAGACUCAGGAUGAGUCCGCCUGGUCAUCUUCACCAAAUUCCUCCCCCUCCCUCAACUCAGGGAAUGUCAUCUCGGGCCCUUGCGGCCAAGCGUAAGUUGCUUUCCAAGCCGAUGGCUGAGGCUUGCGAGGAGAAGAAAAAGUUUCUCGCGACUUCUAUAGACAAGAAGGACUAUAGUAGGACCUUGCUGGUUGAUGAUGGCAGUACCGAGGGAGCCCGAUCUGUUGCUUCCUUCAGACUAACUCCUCGUCGCGACCGCCGCGACUCACGUUCUCCUCGGAGGGAUCAAUCUCCUCGCCGUGAUUCACCUCGUCCUCCCCGAGAUGAUUUUAGUAACGAGCCAAUUAAGAACUUGGUUCGCCGGAAGAGAGACAAAUCCUCUCGCAGUGAUCCUUCCCCGCAGAGGGAAAAGUCAAGGGCCCGGACUGACCGCUCACCUCGGUCAUCCCCUCCUUCUGAACCAAUGGGUCCUCCACGACCGGUUGACAUGUCCUCCUCUUCCCAGCCUGAUAGUGGAAAGACUGCCCGGAGCGCGUCUCCGAAAAAGGGAGACUCUGAAUCUCGAGAUGCUCCCUCGAGGCUGAAGCCUGCUCUUGUCCCUCAAGUCAAAUCGCUUUCAGGUUUGGUGAUUUACACAUACUUAAACUUUUUGUCUUUAUUAAAAUUCCAAUUUUUACAACUCUUCCUUCUUCGCAGCUAUGGAGAAAGAGGACAGCGUCUUCCGAUGCUUCAAGACCCGAUCGGGUUCGAUCUUACCAGACUUCGACAAAUGGCGUCCUGCAAUUCGUGAACGUUAUUUGCUUCAUGCGCAUCACUCAUCUCGGGUUAGUUCCGCUUUCUUUUAUGUAUAUUUUUUAUUGUAUUGCCAUUCUGCGAACUGACUCGUCAUCCCGGGUUCAUGUAUAACGCCAGGCUCAUAGCGAAUUUAACGACAUGAUCGAACAUUACGAAGGGUUGGUCAUUGGCCGGGAGAAGGAGAUUGACAUGUGGAAAAAGAAACUCUCUGCCCUUGAGGCCGAACUCAGUUCUUCUGCCGGCUCCAAGCACGAUCUGGAGGACAAAGUCGACAAUUUAACAUCCGAGCUAGCGCAGAUAAAGGGGGAGCUGCAGGGUCAGUACGACCAGAACUUCAAACUCCAGGAAGAGUUUUCUGGUAUUCAAGGUAGGCUUCAAGAGUCCGAAUCAAACGCUGAUUCCCUGAACAACCAACUCAUCGAGCUCAACGCGAAGUACAAGGCGAUCGCCAAAUUGCGUGACUCCGAGUUGGCGAGGUCAGCAUCAAAAGCCAGAAAAGAGGUUAAGGGACGCGGGAUGGAGUUGAUCCAAGGGGCCAUCCGAUUCAUGCAGACUGAGAAGGCUAGGUCUGACUUGGAAUCAGACAUCAAGGAGCACGAGAGCAACCUGAUCCUGCUGGAUCAAAUCCAUGAUGCAGAUUUCUCCGAGGAUCAAGAGAGAACCGAACUAUCGGCUAAUCUUUCUGAAAAGCGGAGUCGCUUGGCAGCUCUUCCUACUUCGACCUUCAACCCUCAGGACUUCGAGGAAUUCUUCACCGAAUCGCCUCCUAUAAGCGAAUCAGGUCUAGACUGGGCAGGUAAUGCUUGGCUCCUGAUAUUUAUUACCUUUCCUUUUCUUGCACCUUUGAUUGACUGGAAUUAUUAUUCCUAGGCUCAAGUGAGGCGGAGGACGUUGUCCCGCCCGUAGCUCCUAUGGUAUCGGAGGUCACUCCGGAGGUUGGUUGUACCGCGGAGGGUGGUCAGGGAGCUUCAUCUGAUCAAGCAGCUGCCAAGGACGCGAAUGAAGCUUCGACUGUUGAGCCGGACUCCGAGGUGGCUGCUGCUCCGUAGUGGCUGUGUCCACUUUAAAUUGGGGAUUGUCCCUUUAUUUUUAAGAUUUAAUUUCAAACUUAUUUUUGCCUAAGGAGGCUUUAUUAUUUUCUUUUGAACAAGAUAUUUGCCUGAGGAGGCUUUUAAACCUUUCUAGGUUGUGACCCAAGGGGGUUUGGUUAAAAUUAUAUGCGGGUUUGCAAAGUCCGCUUUUAACCUUUUGUGGCCUUGUGGCUAUGCUUUUGAGAUAUUUAGGCUGAUCAGACCUUUCUCUUUUAGAAUGCGAGAACUGAGCCCGGCUUAAAACGAGUUCCCCACUUCGGGUUUAGUCAACUCGAUAAACUUGUUGGGCUUGGGCCUUAGAAACUUUUGCAGUUAAUGCGACGGUUGCUCUUUCCCUUCUUAAAGAAAACGGCUCGUCUUUUAAUGUAAUAAUUGCCUUUUCUCGAUUUUCCAAAAAUGGUUUAACCCACUCGGAAACGCUACCAUUAAUGGAUUUAUGGUUCCAAGACAAACCCUAAAUCAUUAUAAAUAAAGGCUUACCUACCUCUAGGCUUUAUUAAACAUGACUCUAGAGUCUUACUUGAGAAAUAUUUUAAGAAUGGAGAACGAAACAGCAGCCCCCGUUGAUCCCGGCAGUCCACUCUUCUUAUCCGGCGACGGCUUUGAACCGGCCGGCGUUCUCUUCCCUCACGCCGUCUUUCACUUUCCUCCGAAGGAGAAGAAAGAGGCUUGCGAUUUUAUUGACAAGGUAAAUGUUAGAGUUUUUGGUUUAAAACUUCUUAUUUCGUUUUAUUCACUCAUUUUUAUGCUAGGUCGCCGACAAGCACCGUCGCUUGUGUGAAGAGAGGCAGCGGCUGGGACUCAAAAGGCAGACGCUCGAGGCUCGCAUCGCUCGGGUGGAAAGGAAGAUACGGGCUUUGGAGAGUGAUCCCUUUCAAUGGGAGUGGCGGAACUUCGAUUCUGUUGCUGAGAUCCCGAAGAUGCUUCAGAUGUAUCUCCGCGCUAGAGGAGUCCCGGGUCCCGUGAACGCCCCUGUCUUCGCCGUUCCAUCCGACAGUGAAGAGGAAGAGGACUUGGAGGAGGAGGCCAGCAACUGCCGGAAACGCGUUCGGGAUCGCUCCGAAGUGGAUGCCAAAAACAAGGCGUCCACUUUGAAGACUGAACCGGCGAUGAAGGAGCCUGUUCCUGAGCCUCUCCCAUAAAUGUUCUCUAAUUUCUUCACUUCUUCUUUUUUUUUUUUUUAAACUCGUAAUGGGCUUCGCCCCCUUUUUAUUUAUGGAAAUAUUUGCUACUUUCCUUUCUUUCCAAAUAUUCUUGGAGAUGCGUCUUUUAAUGCAGGAUCCGUUCGAGGGCAUAAAUCUCUCCGCGAAUCAUUCCAUUCCUUGGAUAGAAUCCGCAGCUUGCUAGGGAUAUGGAGUUCCUAUAAAUUAUAGGUUCAAUUCCCCUUUACUCCUCACCACUCUUUUUUUUUUAUUUUAGCAGGUAUGGAGUUCAAUCUACGCUGUUCAGAAUCUAUGCCCGACUUCUCCAGAAUCGGAAUGAUGAAUGAAGAUGUUCCAAGUGAGCCCAACAGGCAGCCUCCUCCACUUCGUGGCUUCUUGAGAUCUCAAAUCCGAGCCCCAUGUGCUUUGAUCAGGGAUCUCCCAAUCAGAGACCAAGGAACGGCGACGGUGUUCAUUGAGGCGCUCAAGCUUCAACACCGGAAGCUUACGUCGGAAAAGAGGAGACUUCGGAAGAGGAUUAACCGAAUGCAACGCAGGCUUACUACAGUGUCAAGAAGUCUUCACAUCCUUGAAUCUCACCCCGGAGAGUGGAUUGAGCUUGGAAUUUCUGACUUUGCUCGAAUUCCGGACUGCAUGAUGCCGAUCCUUGAUCUUGCUGGUCAAGGAGUUGAAGUGUUCUGCUCAUCAACAAGAUUUCCAUAAUCCGAAGUGUACGAUGAAGGACAUUCUGUUUUUUUUUUUUUUUUUUUAAAUAACGCUCUAUUUCCAAUUCCUUGUAUGUUCGUUUAGCCGAACCUUCUAUUUGCUUCACUUGUUCGCACAGUCGAACCUUUCUCCUUUAAUAAAGAAAUAAAACAAAUUUUUAUUAAUAGCUGAACUCGUUUUCGAGCUGCCUACGUACCCAUCUUGGGAUCAAGCCACACCGUAGUUCAUGUACAUAAACAAUGCAUGUAGCUUUAAACAUAAAAUUUCUUUAGGUUGAUCACAUUCCAAGGUCGCUUGACUGGAUUGUCUUCUAAGUCUUUCAACCUAUAAACACCGUUCCGAACCACUUCGGUAAUAAUGUAAGGUCCUGCCCAAUUAAUACCGAGUUUACCGGCGCCUUCUUCUUUUCUGUUAUCAAAGACGCGCCUUAAUACAUAAUCUCCCACGAAGAACGGCCUACUUUUAACCUUAGAAUUGUAAUACCGGGCUGCUGCCUGUUGGUAAUUCUGGAUCCGGACUAGAGCUUGAUCACGCCUUUCAUUUAUGGUAUCCAGUGAAUCAUUAAGCAUUGCUGAAUUUUCUUCCUCAUUUAACGGUGCUUCUGUUCGACGAAGUCCGGGCACAUUGAGUUCAGCUGGUACUACCGCCUCCAUGCCAUAAACCAAAGAGAAUGGAGUUUCUCCUGUAGGUCGCCUAGGAGUCGUACGAUAGGCCCACAGGACGGGUUGGAGUUCUUCAUACCAUCCUCCCUUUAGAUGACUUAAGCGUUUCUUGAGAUUGCUUAAUAUUGUCUUGUUCACGGCUUCAGCUUGUCCGUUCCCUUGCGGAUACCGUGGAGUAGAAUAACUAACUUUGAUUCCCCAGUCCGCACAAAAGGCAUCAAACUCGUGUGAAAUGAAUUGUGGCCCGUUAUCAGUGACUAUUUCGUAUGGAACUCCAUGUCGACAUAUAAUGUUUUUCCAAAUAAAGGUCUUCACCGCCGAAUCCUUGAUACCAACAUACGCCUCAGCUUCAAUCCAUUUUGAAAAGUAGUCCGUAAGGACUAAAAGGUACUGUACACCUCGAGUUGAUUUGUGCAAUGGCCCAAUGAUGUCCAUUGACCAUCUCAUAAACGGGUAUGGGGCGGAAAUGGAGGAGAAUAAUUCCGACGGUUGAUGGAUCAAUGGUGCAUGGAGUUGGCAGCGCUUGCAUCUUUGGGCGAACUUAACACAAUCUGUGAUCAUAGUGGGCCAAAAAUACCCCAUUCUUUUAACUUUAAAAGCCAUAGCUCUUCCUGAUGAAUGACUCCCACAUAAUCCUUCAUGCACCUCGCUCAUGACGAUUUCUUCGGGCCCAAAAAUGCAUAAUAGGUAAGGGUCACUGACACCUCGUCUAUACAACGCAUCCUUUGACAGACAAAAUUUUGCGCUAACGACUUUCAUUUUCCUGGCCUGUCAUUUAUUCUUUGGGAGCUCACCUGUCAUGAUGUAGUGCUUUAUUGGCUCCCUCCAAUCAGCCCCCCAGUCUUUAGCCGGAAUUUGAUCAACUUUUUGGAAUAUUCGUGGCUCUGGUUCGGGAUGCUCGUUUGGUUCAAGAACAUCUUCCUCGAUUAAUGGCUUGGUUUCUAACAUCGUUUCUGGAACCACUUCUUCAGCUAAGACAACGGGUUCCUUGUUAGAUGUAUUUGAUCCCUUUGACUUCCUGCGUUUGUUGGGUGGCGGUUCGAUCUCUGGUUCGCCACGGUUGCGUGCCGCUGCUCGAGACCUUGUAACGACGAGGGUUUCCUUGCUGUCUUGAAUGCUUCGCUCCGAGAUGCACUCUACUGGAAUAACUCUCUUUAACUCAGGAUAUGAUGUUGACGCCAAUGCGGCAAGUGCAUCUGCAGUUGUAUUCUCUCCCCGAGGUAUGCGGAUUAACUCGAAUUUCGAGAAAUUUUUAGAUAGAUCCUUCACCACUUCGAGGUACGCUUCCAUUCUUGAAUCUUUGGCUUCAUAGUCUCCAUUAAAUUGGUUAACUACUAAUUGCGAAUCGCAAUAAGCCAAUAUUUCCUUAGCUCCAACUCCUUGUGCUAGUCGAAGUCCGGCAAUAAGGGCUUCGUAUUCUGCCUCGUUGUUGGAGGCAUUGAAUAACAAUCGGAAUGAUUGUUCUAGAAUUUCUGAUGUCGGAGAUUCCAACCUAAUUCCCACUCCGGAUCCUUGCUUUGUUGAAGACCCAUCUACGUGUAAUUUCCAAGUUUGGUUCUCCGGUUGAUCUAUCGUUCCAGGUAUUGGUAGUUCGGUCAGGAAGUCUGCUAAGACCUGAGCCUUCAUACUGAUCCGGCUUUUGAACUCUAUGUCGUACUCGCUUAAUUCCACCGCCCAUUUCGCCAAACGUCCGGAUUGACUUGGACUAUGAAGUAUUGUUCUGAGUGGUUGGUUAGUUAAUACUUCAACCGGAUGGGACUGAAAAUAUGGACGCAGCUUCCGAGCCGAAGUUACCACCGCGAGUGCAAGUUUUUCCAUCAUUGUGUAUCUGGUUUCCGGAUCCGUCAUUGACUUGCUCACGUAGUAAAUUGGUUUCUGCUCCCCACGGUCUUCCCGAACCAAGACUCCACUAACCGCGUGGUUUGAAACUGAAACGUACAAGUAGAGUUUUUCAUCCACUUCCGGUUUGGACAGUAUAGGUGGAGUGGUUAAGUAUGCCUUAAGCUGCCCAAAAGCUUCUUCACACUUCUCAUCCCAAAGAAAUCCUUUGUUCCCUUUUAGAAUUUGGUAGAAAGGCAACGACUUAUCUGUUGAUCUCGAGAUAAAACGAUUCAAGGCCGCAAUCCGCCCAGUCAACCGUUGUACUUCUUUGAAGUUUCUCGGAGAUGGCAUGUUUAGAAAGGCGUUAAUUUGAUUUGGAUUGGCUUCAAUCCCUCUUUCUAUCACGAUAUAGCCAAGGAAUUCUCCGGAUGGGACUCCAAAUGUGCACUUCGCCGGGUUCAGCUUCAUUUGAUAUUUAUUGAGAAUAUCAAUACAUUCUUCCAAAUGUUUAACAUGAUCUUCUUUCUUCAACGAUUUAACCAACAUAUCAUCUAUGUAGACUUCCAUAGUCUUCCCGAGGUGAUUGUGAAACAUUUUGUUCACCAACCGUUGGUAAGUCGCUCCUGCAUUUUUCAAUCCAAAAGGCAUUACCUUGUAACAGUAGAUACCUCUAUCUGUGAUAAAUGACGUCUUUUCUUGAUCGUCGGGGUUCAUCAUUAUCUGAUUAUAACCCGAGAAGGCGUCCAUGAAUGUUAACAGCUCAUUUCCAGCGGUGGACUCUACAAGUCGAUCUAUAUGCGGGAGCGGGAAACUAUCUUUGGGACAUGCUUUAUUUAGGUCUGUAAAGUCGAUGCAAACCCUAUCUUUCCCAUUCUUUUUCUUGACAACGACAGUGUUUGCUAUCCACUCCGGAUAUUGCACUUCUCUUAUGGACCCCAUCUUCAAAAGAUUAUCCACUUCGUCGUUUACUAUUUUUGCCCGCUCCACUCCAAGCUUUCUUCUUUUUUGUUUCACCGGUUUGAAGCUUGGAUCUACGUUUAGUUCAUGACAAAUUAUACUCGGAUUUAUGCCCGGCAUGUCCGCUGCAGACCAUGCAAAUGAUGCUUUGUUUUUCCUUAAGAGUUCGAUCAAAGCUUCUUUUAUUUGGCCAGUCAAAGUUGCUCCAAUUCUAAUUUUCCGGUCCGGCUUGUCUUCUUCCAGUACCACUUCGACUACUACAUCCUCUUUUUUCUGCCCACUAGGAAAUUUUGUUUUUAGUCCUUCUUUUGCGGGCUUCGUUAAUUGCUAUUGAAUCUUCAUACGGUGGCUAGCUAAGUAACAAGUCCGCGAAGCUUCUUGAUCUCCCCGAAUCGUUUCCACCCCAUUUGAUGUUGGAAAUUUGAUACAUUGAUGGUAUGUAGAGGGGACUGCUUUCAUCCGAUAAAUCCAGGGAGUCCCGAGGAUGAUGUUGUAAGCUGCGGGCUUAUCGAAGACAACAAAGUCCACGAUCUUCGAUACCUUCUUGGCAAGGACCGGUAGCUUGAUUGUUCCGAGAGAUAUGGCUGACUCGCUUGUGAAUGCAACUAACGGAGAUGGGGGUCCUACUAUGUCUCCUCGGCUGAUUCCCAUUUUUUCUAGAGUACUUAAAAAGAUUAAGUCAACCAAACUGCCUGUAUCUAUAAGGAUCCUCGAUACUUCGAAGUUGGCGACAUCAAGGGUAAUGACUAGAGCAUCAUCAUGAGGCCUUUUGAGGUACCGCGUUUCUUCUUCAUCGAAUGAUAUUGAUGCACCUUGAAAAUCGACUUCUUCGCUUAAGCUUGCUUUGAGUAAGACAUUUCGUCUAUGCUUUUUGAUUGAACUUAUUGAAUCUCCGCAAAAUCUGGAUCCCCCUAGAAUCACAUUGAUCUUACCCUUAGAACUCCUUGGUUCUUCCUCGUUGGACAAUCUUGGUCUUUUGGAAUUUUGAUCUUUGGAGUUUUCCCUUGCUUCGUGGUAUUCCUUCACAAAAUCUUUUAUAUCGAAUUUAGAAAGAUCGCCACUAGCCCAAAGCUCUGCGAGGUGCUUUUUAAGAACGCUGCAAUCCUUAGUUAAAUGUCCGGUUACUUUAUGAAUGUCGCAAUAUAGACUUUCAUCACGGACCCAAGUGUUUGAUCUCCCUUUCCCUUGGAAUUGCUUUCCAACGGUACUGUUGAAGGGUUGCGACCCAAAUUUCCUUGGUCCUUUGCUUUCCCUAGGCUCGAACUUCUUGGCAGGGACGGUGAUUGCUGGCUUUUCUUGCUUACUUCUUUUGGCGAAACUUUCUUUUUCGUCCUCUACCUCCAUCCAAUUGUUCGCGCGAAAGAGUGCAUCCUGAAUUGUGUCUGGUUUAUGAAGUAUUAAGUCUUCUUUAAACUUUGAAUCAUGUCGCAAUCCUUUUCGUAGGGCAGAUAAAGCUGAUUGCUGUGAGAUUCUUGGGAGUUUUGACAGCACUCCUUUGAAUUUGGUGAUGAAAACUCGAAGUGACUCACUAGAUCCUUGCGAUAAGUUCCAAAGAUCAGCAUCCGAAACACUUUUAUCCAUAAGAAUGGAGUAUUGCUUUAAGAAUACGGCUGAUAGUUCGUCGAAAUUGCUGAUCGAACCUGGCUCUAAUUGGGUGAACCACAUUAGAGCUUGGCCACACAGAUUCUCCGAAAAAAGCUUGCAGUAACCUGCAUCCUCAUCAGCUUCAUCCAAUUCGACUCUUCUAGCAGCAAUCAGAAAAGCUGCGAGAUAGCUUUUUGGAUCCUCCAAUCCGCUGUAAGGGUCCAACUUGAGUUUCCGGGAAUCUUUGAUCCUCAAACUUGCAAUUCGCGGGAUAAAAGGGGUUCGCCUAGCUUCUUCAAUGACUGGAUUGAUGUCUGGCUCCGAACUUGUAGCCUGAUAAAAUUUUGAUUUCAUUUCUUUUAAUUCCUGGCUAACCUUCCUCAUGGUCUCGAACUGGUCGAGGUUCUCCUGCUCGUACUGAGCUGCAAGUUGUUCUUCAUCCCCGAGCUGCAUCUCUUCUUCCGACGUCUGAGCUACAUUAUUAGUAGCACCGGGAGUUGUUUGUCCGCUGGUUUCAUUUCGUGCAGCGGAACUUGGCGAGUUGAAUAUCCCUCUUCGGGUUCCCACCGGGUUUCCUGCACUUAAAGAGCGAACACGAGUUUGUAUAUUAUUGACGUUUUGACUAAGAGAUACCUGGGAUGUUUGCAACGUAUCGACGGCCUUCUCCACAUCCGAGAACUUUUGUGAUAUGUCCGACAUGGUUUGCUGCAUAGCUUUGAGGGUUUCGGCCAAUGAUGUCUCAACGGCGUCUCCUCCGGACAUUGUCGCUUAUCUCGGAAAUGUAGAAAAGAAGAAAUCUGACCACUCAAGAAUCCUGAUAUCCCCACAGGCGGCGCCAAAAUGUGGAUGUCGGAUUCACACACUCAAGUAUUUUGUUAAGUGGGAAAGAUUAUUCUUGAGGGAUAAAAAUGAAUAUAUAAAAACUUAUAAAUUGAUACGAAAAUUGCUAUAGUAUUUCUCUCUUGAGAGGAAGAUCCCCUUUUACAUGGCCAUUGGCCUCUAUAUUUAUACAUAGAGAAACGACAUUAAAAUGAAUAAUUAAGUACAAUUAUUCCUUCUUAAAUGUGUCCGUUUUGAUUCUUCGAUUUUAAUGCUCAACGUUUGAAUUUGAGUUGACUCUGAUCUUCAUGGGCCUCGCCUUUUUGGCCCAAGUGUCCUUGAACCGACUUACCCGUGUCUUCUACACUGAACUCGUAUCACAGUGCAGUCACUUCGGAUUCUCGAUGUGGUGACAACCACUUCGACCGUCCCCUCGGUUCACGGGUCCAAUGGGCUUCAUCCUUUAUGGGCCACCCACUUGACUAUGUGGCAAUCUUUGGUUGGUCUCGUACUUCUGGUGCGAGAUCCGACACCAACAACAUACAAAAGUAUUAAUAAAAUAAUCAAUAUUCUUAUUUAAAUAUAAAAGUCUCUUAAAAAAGUCGAGAUAGUCUCUCACUUGAAAUAUUAUGAAAGACUUUCUUUACUUUUUUGAAAGACUCUUGUAUUUAAAUAAUAAUAUUGAUUAUUUUAUUAAUACUUUUAUAUGUGAAAAAUUUUGGUGAGAGACUUCUAUUACACAUGCUUUUAGGUUUUUAUCGCGAUUAGGUGUUGGAAGAGAGUGACAAGUGACGAACAACUCCAGCCUCUGCGUCUGCAUGCUAUAUAUGUGUGAUUUGUAGCUCAUGUUCUGACGUGACAUCUUGUGAACGAUUUUUAAGAAGAAGCCAAAAAGAUUAUUAAAACAGAAAUACAGAAUUAAUUUGGUUUCAGCGGAAUAUGUGAGAGUCAAUCUUUUGGUGGUAUAGUGCAAUUGGAAAAUAUGUUUUGGGAGCUUAAUCUGAAAUGUAGAUGUUAGAAAAUGAUUCUAUAUAUAUAGUCACGGUGCACGACCCAACAGUGUUAUAAAUAUGUAAAUGAUCAGGGAAUACAACUCAGAAGACUAAAGUAUUAUUUUAUAGAGAAAUUGGCCAAAAUGGCUACAAAAUAUAGUGAAAUCGAAAAAGAAAAAAAAAAAAAGAAAUCGAAAUUAUAGCAUAGUGACAAAUUGAGACUUUUUUUUAGAACAAAUUGACUCAUAUCUCUAUAACAUUAACAAUUUAUAAAAAAGGUUGUGUAUAUACUAUAUAGUAGUUUUCAAUGUGUUUAUCGGUGUUUAAUUUGUAACCUGCGAUGCGAAUGUCUAGUAAAAUAUUUCGGGAAUUAUCUCAAUUUGUUCUUCUCUUUGGUUCAACUUUUAUCCGGUAUUUUUUACUCUUUUUUGACUACACGUUUUAGGUCCAUUAGACCAUCCUUAUUGCAAGGUUCUUAACAUGGUUCUUAAAGAAAUUGAGAUUAAAAUUAAAUGUUUAAUUGUUGAUUUUGGUAAGAAAUGGCUCUUAACUAAGAGUCAAAAUUAAUGUUAAGAGACGGACACGUGUCGCGUUUCUCUUUCUUCUCCUCCUCUCUCUCUUUUUCGAGAUUUUUAUUCUUUUAGCGACAACGGAGGCAAAAUCCGGCUCUUAUUUGGGAUAAGACAAAAAUAGGCAAUAUUAUGCAAGCAUGUAUAAUACUUCAUAAUAUGAUAGUAGAAGACGAACGAGAUGGGUAUACUCUGUUUAAUGUAACCGAAUUCCAACAAGCGGAAUCUGCCGGAAGUUCACAGGUGGAUUUCACCUAUUCUACAGAAAUGCCUACAAAUUUCGUCGAAAUGAUGGCCGCUAGAACUCGAGUUCGAGAUCGAGGUAUGCAUCAAGAAUUGAAGAAGAAUUUGGUCGAGCAUAUAUGGACUAAAUAUUCCAGAAAUCAAACUUAAAUUUUUUGUGCUUUAUGUUAUGUAUGUUUUAAAUUGUAUCUCAUGUAUGUUUUAAAUUUUUAAAUUUGCAACAAUUAUUAAGUUUUAUAAAAUUUUAGUUUUGUUUAAAAAAAAAAAUUUCUAAGAACCAUAUGCUAAGAGACUACCAUUGGAGAUAAAUAAAAUUUGAAAACAAAAUACAAGCUCUUAAGUAAAAUUUUUACAAUUUUAAUACUAAAAAAUUACUAAGAACCAUCGGUGAGCUACUGCCUUCAAAAAAUAACUAAAUUUUUUCACUACGAAAAAAAUCUCAUCAAAUCAUUUUUCAGAUGGACUAUUCAUAAACCAAUCUCAAACUCUAGUUAUAGUAUAGUCGUUUAUGGUGUCAUACCAUUCAUAAACAAACUGUAUACCAUUCUCAUAUAGAUUAUCAAUCUCAAAUCGAAGAUUGUACAUCAUUUCGUUUAUGCAAGUUAUAGUUUUUUGUUCAUUUAUAUGCUUCGUUAUAGCUUUUUAAAGAAGAAAUUUGGACACCAGUUUUUUAAAAUGGUACUUUUAGCCACAAAUUAAUAAUUAAAAACAUUUUUUUUUUUUUGACAAAGACAUGUAUACCAUUUGUUAAAGUAGCAAGAAAGAUCAAACUGCAAAUUCAUUCCCUUGGUCUCUACGCACUUGAAGUCUUAAUUAGUUACAAUUUACACAUUAUAUCUCUGAUGAGUAGUAGUCUAUGAUCUUUCCGUGGAGCAGUAGCCUAUGAUUUUUCCCGUUCAUUGUAGUAAAGUUAUUUUUAUCUAACCGUCAUGAAUUUUUAGAGAGCAGCAGCAAAUUAAAUUUAGCAAACCAAAAACAUAAACAAAACUCUUAUUUAUUAAGGAGUAGUGCUAAUUACAUUAGCCUCAAACAUACUAAAGCUUACAUUUUCAUAAAACACAAGAUGAGGUGUGGUAUCAACAACCACACUCUCAUACGCUUUGAGAGUUUUGUUUGGAAUUUAGUAGUAAGAAGGGAAUGAAGGGAUCUUGAAGGGGCAAACAUCAACUUGCGGGAUGUUGCAAACUUUAGGCAAGUUCUUAGCUGUCUGGAAAAUUUUCCUAACUUGCAUUGGUUGGUGCUGUCCCUGGAGUCUAACGGCCCUGGCAGCUUGUUUCAAGGUGGGGCAAACACAAUAUGGCUCUUCCUGGCGAAGCUCGUUGCAGCACUGCUGGAAUAGCUUCUCUUCCUGCUGGGGGCCCUGUGGGUUCUCCAUGUCGUCUUCGAAAUCGAGCUCAUCGUUACGGCCUUGCCUUGCUUGCCGGCGCAUCAAUUGCUGGCAAGCUCUUAGGUGUUGUUCUUCCUGAAAUUCCUUCUGGCAUUUCCUUACUUUUGGGCCUAUGGGGUUGGUGGCGUCAUCCUCGUCGAACUCGACGAUGGUGCGGUAGAUGGAAGCGUUGGUGAGGAGGAAGCAGAGGGCGAGAGCUGCGCAGACGAGGAAGAGUUUGUUUGCCAUUUUUUUUUGCUAGUUGUGUAUGUUUUCUUGUUUUUGGUUUGAGUGAAGAGUGUAGUGAAGGUUUGGUUGGUAUUUAUGGGUGAGAAAGGGGACUUGCAUGGAGAUCACGUGUAAGAAUGCAUGCAUAUGCUUGUUGAACUUGGUCUGCGGCAUAUAGAAGCUAUAUGAUUGUUGUCGUGAUUAGGUGUUGGAAACUCAAAUGUGGAGGAGUGACAAGUUUCCGCGUCUACAUGCAAUAUGCAACCAUGCAUGUAUGAUGUGUAACUCAUGUUCUGACAUGUCAAUUAUUUGGAAAUGACCGGGUGAGAGUCAAUUGUCAAUAUCGAAAAAGUUGGCAGUCUUUGGAGUUUGUAAAUAACUGUUUUUUGGAGGUUAAUUCUGAAAUGUACAUAAGGUUUUAGCAUCUUGAAGAAUUAGUAUUUCACUAAUAAUUUCUUAUACCCGCAGGUCACGGCCCAUUGGAAUAUUGGAUGAUGUUAUGACAACAUAUGGGGAAAAUGUAAGCUUGAUAAUUUUCCACUCCAAAGUAAUGUAUGUCUAGCAGAAUUUAGCGGACGAUUGUGUAAAUAUCCUCUUAAUAGCCUACACAGCUGUGGUCUAGUGGUAAGAGAGAAUUGGGAAAAUGUUGGAAGGAACUAACCCAGGUUCGAUCUACCCUGGAAACAAAAAUCACAUUUGUGUGAGAAGUCUGGGUUUGGGCUUUGGCCCAAGCAAUUCACAUGGUAUCCGGGAUUAGGCUAACUGGAUACCCCGGGCAUUAGUCGGACAGCAUUCCAAACUCGGGGUUAGGCAGUGUGGUAGUCCAACACCUAGGUGUUGGCGACGAGUCCACAUGGUAUCACUUCGGUGCGUUUCCGCCAGAACUGACCAGAUCAUCCGAUCGGGUAUAUAUAUAUAUAUAUAUAAAAUAUCCUCUUAAUAAGGCAAACUAGUCCUCUCACGUCUCACAGUGACAAAACAUUUCUAAACUAGUCCAACUUAACUUAGUAGCGAGUGUAGUACGGAUACGAGUAGUUGGUUAUUCAUUCAGGUAUCAAAUGGGGUACUUUUAUGAUUCACAUAUUUGAAUACACUAUGAACUAUCGCUAAAUCGGAUAAAAGUUAGAUUUUGAUUAAGAAAUCUCAUAUUUCGGAACACUAAUUUUUCCACAAAUGCUUAACAAUCGAUUUUUUUUUUAUCGAAAACGAACGAAUCUUGGUUCAAUUCGGUACCAAAAAUAUCAUCUCUGAACCGAACCAAAAUCUACCACAUCGUAACUAAAACAAAGCUUUGUUUCGUUCGAACUGGUAAAAAGAAAAAAAAGUACCAAACCGAAAAUUGAAAUUCCAAAAUUUCCGAUUAACCGGAAAUCCUAGCUCUAACCAUAAAAUAAAAUAUAUAUAAAAAGUUGCUAAAGAGACUGUGAGACAAAAAUAUAUUUUCCUCUUCCUCUCUCAUAAACAGAAGUUGCAGACUUUAUCCGAAUUUAGGGUUUCAUCAGCUCGUUCUCUCUUCUCCGAUAAUCAGAUCCACGAAACUCUACUUUUCGGAUCAGGUAUAAUUUGUUCUUUUUCUAUUCGCGUUUGUUAUGUUCUUAUAAGCUGAUUACACGAAUUGCUUCUCGCUGUUUCUUCGAUUUCGGUAUUUUCGAGGUGAAGUUUGUUUUCAUUUUCCGAUCCAUAAUUUUGGAGUUUGUGAUUGAUUUGUUUUCGUUCAUCAGCUGGGUAAUAUCGUUUACGAAUGUCCCUGUAGACUGUACGCGAGAUUUUGUUUAGGAUCUCAUCGGAUUUGCGGCUGACUUUAGAAAGUUGGAUCUUGCUUUGAUCUGCUGUGAAAAUUAAACGUCAAAUCAUGUAAUUGAGCUAGAUCUGCUUAAUUAGAAUCCUGGGAUUUGGACGACGAAUCAAUUUGAUGAAGAUGAUAUCUUGCUCAUUUCGAAUCUUAUGUUGCAAAUGGUACUUCUGGAGUUGGUUUCUUAGUUGGGGUUGUAGUUUCUCAUCUGGUUUAUGUAUCAUUAGUCUCUAGAUGAGCAUGGCUCGUAUUGGAAUUGUGUGUGUUUAUUGGUUGUUAUCGUGUUAUGUGUUUCCUUCAGUUCUUUGACUGUUUUCUAAGACCUAGUUAAUAAUCAUUUUGCUUGUAUGGACGUUGUGGUUUAAUACUUGCAUCUUCUAUUAUGUGUGCUUUAUCCUUCUGAGUGUGCCAAAUUCUUUUGUGACGUUGGCUUUCUUGUUCAGGUCUCAGCUUCUUUAUCGUUUGCCCCUCAGAUCAACAAAGUUUCAUGUCUGAACUUGAUUCCCAGGUCCCUACUGCCUUUGGUAAGUGUCAAUCAUACCAAUGCUUUAAACUCGAUCUAUAAUACAUCAAAGUAACUUUGCUUAUUUGUCUCAAUAGUUCGUAUAGACAUAUUUCAGAUGUUUGGUAGCAGUUCUGAAUUUUGAUAUUUGGAACAUGGGCUUUUGUAAAUUUGUUUAAGUCUUGGAUUCUUCAGGUUGUGAUUUGCCGUAUCUCAUGUGGGAACUGACAGGAGCUAAUCAGUUUCUUUGUGUUGCUUGCAGACCCGUUUGCUGAUGCGAAUGCUGAGGACUCAGGUGCAGGAACAAAGGAGUACGUUCACAUUCGUGUCCAGCAGCGGAAUGGUAGGAAAAGCUUGACAACGGUCCAGGGGCUAAAGAAAGAGUACAGCUACAGCAAGAUACUUAAGGACCUCAAGAAAGAAUUUUGCUGCAACGGAACUGUGGUUCAGGACUCAGAGCUCGGACAGGUACAUGCUUUGAAACACCAUGGUGCAUCCAUGUGGGUAAAUUACUGUCGGUAUAGUUGGCAAUUGGCAUGUUACCAUUCGAAUAGUGCAACAAAGGGAUAGAUAUACAGUAUGUGCUGUCUGUCUCUGGCUACUGUCCAUUGCUUAUGCGACUGUGCAAAAUGUGCAGGUUAUUCAGCUUCAAGGCGAUCAGAGGAAGAACGUCUCCACAUUCCUAGUCCAGGUAAAAAAAAUACACAAACAGGUUAACAAAAAAGAUUGUUGCUUGAUCUUGUUUCUCAUACUUGUCAUGGAACAGGCUGGCCUUGUGAAGAAAGAUAACAUCAAGAUCCAUGGUUUCUGAGCUGCUUCUGUUGCAUUGUCCCUAGGACGUUUAAGUGGAUCGUUACUGUGUUGUGCAGUUCCAAAACAAAUCUUCACCUUUCUCUUUGAUUGCUUGUUGGUGAUUUUUGUUGUUGUUUUUUUAAAUAUCUUUGGUAUGAUACUAAGAGACUAUCAUCGUCUUCUUCCACAUGCUACUUGUGUAAUAUGAAGCAUUCUCUCUCUAUUAAUGUUUGCCUCUUCUCUCAAUAUCUUGUUACCAAGAUGGAUCACACAAUACUUUUACUAUUAUUAUUCUUGUGUUGUGCCAAUCUGAAUUUGGAUCCGGAAAACAGAUAAUACCUCAAUGAAAGCAAAAACAUGAGGCUAUUUUUUAGCUAAAAAAAACAUAUGAAUUUGAUAUCGCCAAUGGAUUACAUUGACCAGAGGACUUGAAUACUCUGACGGGUCCAGAGGUUUUCAAAGUCGCAGGAAAUUACGAAUGAACCAACCGCUUGUCUUCUCUAUCGAGUCCAAAAAGUGGAGCUCUGCAAAAUCCUCGGGGAAGACGAUUUUAGGUUAAAGAUAAGAGAAUUUGGAAAACGCAAUUAGGUUAGAGUUUGGACUAAUCUGAAUCGAUAUUCUUUGAAUUCGUAAUCGAAGUAGCGUUUUCUCUACAGUUUCCUCAAAAUCCGCUUUAGAAAUCGCAGGUAAAAGAUGGAGGAGAUUUUCGCUUUGAUAGUCUCAAUGAUUCUCAUAGUUGCGGUGAUUCCUUUGUUCUUUUGGAAACGUCGGAGAGAUGCUAGAUCACGGGAGCAAGUUGCAGAACCGCCACAGGUAAAUAUGCGAAAAUGGAUUUGAAUUUUUGAUCAAUCUGGGGCUUGAUGUUGGUUGUUCGUGUGAAAUUGAAAGGUUCAGGCUCGUGAAAAUGUGGCACGUGCUACUGGUGGACGUAGGAUGCGUCGGAGACCUGCAGCAACUUCUGGUGCUAGCUCCUCCUCUACAUCCAAUGUUCAAGGUUGGUAUUUGACAGGACAGCUUUUGUUUCUCUUUUUCGUUGUUUUUAUGUCAGAUUCUCUCGAAAUAGUGUGUGUGUGUGUGUGUGUUUUUAGCUGCAUCAACUGGAUGAGUUUUGAGGAUUGAGUUUCUGCUAUCUUUGUAAUUUGAGGCAACCUUAUGUAAAUAGGUGUGUUAUUGGUUAGCUAGUGAGAACUCAGAAACCAUUUUUAUUCAAGAUUAGUCAAUAAUUUUUUUUAGUUUCAUUUUGUCAUCUAUCUUGCUGUGAAUGUAGUUUAAGAUUAGAAGCGGCUUGGAAUUAGGUGAACUAUUGGCUUUGGAAUAAUUCCUUGGGUAUAUGUGAAACAGAAAACGUCAGUGGGAGUGAAGAUGAAGAUGAAGAUGAAGAUGAAGCUGGUGGAUCUCAAGCCAGAGCAUCAAAGAAGAAAGAGAAGAAGCGACAAGAGCGGGAAGCACAAAGACAGGUGACCAACAUUCUCUAUUUCUGCUUACUUCUUCUAUUAGAAUUUUUGGUAUGAUUAAGGAUGAGAAAUUCUAGGAAUAUCAGUAAGAUGUUAACUUAAGGAUAGAGCAUUUUGUUUUGAGCUCGGAAUAGUACAUCCCUUUUUGGCAAGACUUUCCUGAUUAAGUUCUGUUCUUAUUGUCGAGUAAAGGCUGAGGAAGCUACACGCGAGUCAAGGAAUACAAAACAAGAUUGGUAUGCAGAAAUGCGGAGGAAGAAGGAUGAAGAGCGCGAGGCAGAAGAGCGGAAGUUGGUGGGUCAAUUAAUUUAUUUCAGAUUUCGUUUUGUUUUAGGCUUCCUGCUUUUUAUAUACUGGGCUUGGCGAAUUGUGACAUUGUUGUGUAGGAAGAAGAAGAAAAAGCGCGACAAGCCAAGGAAGAAGAGGCAGCUGCGUUAGAGUUUGACAAAUGGAAAGGGGAAUUUUCAGUUGAUGCUGAAGGUACUACAGAGGAAGUGCAAGGUGGAAAUCAAGAUUUGCUUUCAGAAUUUGUUGAAUACAUAAAGGUAUAUUAUCUAUCUUGAAUAACCCUUUACCAAAGACUUUUUGAUCUCCGAUUCUAAUCGUUUUUCUGCGAAUAUAAACAAGCUAAGAAUAAAUUAUAGGUACAAAUGUUGCGAAUGAAACAAAUUAACAAUAAAGUAUAGAUGCAAAUGAAAUGUUGUCUCAGCCCUAUGAAUGUACCGACAUGUUGAGCCUUCCUUUUGCUGUGUGAUGUGAUUGCAGAAACAGAAAUGUGUUCCACUUGAAGAUCUCGCUGCAGAAUUUCAUCUACGAACUCAGGUAUCAUCUGGCUACAUAUUCUAUGUGGAAAAUAAAUGAAUACAUUUUGUCAUGGUUUUCAAGUCUGAUUCAACUGUUGGUCUUCUUAGGAAUGCAUCAACAGGAUCGCCUCUUUGGAGAGCAUUGGUAAUAUUCUCUCUGUCCAAUAUAGCAUUCCGCAUUCAUCUCAUCUUGUAGUCUGUAAUCUGCUAUGGGUAUAGUAAGCCCGAAGCUAUAUGAAUAAGCAGAUGAGAAACUGAUGUGAAACCGUAAUGGGACACGUUUAAGAUCUGAAACCCUUCUCUUUUAUUCAGGACGGCUCUCGGGGGUCAUGGAUGAUAGAGGGAAAUACAUUUACAUAUCAAUGGAAGAGAUGAAUGCGGUUGCGGAUUACAUCAAACGUCAAGGGAGAGUUAGUAUCUCACAUCUAGCAAGCAAGUCAAACCAGUUCAUCGACUUGGAGCCCAAAGUACAGCAUCAGCUGACCGAAGAAAUUAGCGGCAUGGAAGAGAUCUCAGUUUCUUAGUUGUGUUUCUCGGGUAAAAUCGUUUGUCAUAAACAAGAGUUAAAGCCUUAGGGAGUCACUGCAACAUGAUGGUGUUUGGGUCAUAUACCUUCUUCUUUUUUACUACAAUAGUUUGAGAUCCUUAGGCUUGCAUCCAUAUACAGUACAUGAAAAUAUAUAAUCUUAUAUAUCAUCCAUAUGUUAAAUUUGUUGUUUGUCUUACCAUUAAAUUUUAUUUACAUCGUCUGUCUUACCAUUAAAAAUAAAAUAAACACAAAAGAAAUGGAUGGUGUUGGUAGAUCACAAAACAAUGGGUGUACUCUGUGUCUGCAAACUUAAAUUCCUCUUCUUUUAUUUAUUUCUAACUCCAUUCUCACAACCACCAUAUCUCUCUCUCUCUCGUGGUUCCUGUAUCUUCCAUGCGUGCCAUUGGUGUGUGCUUCCACGAUUCUCUAAAGUUUAGCCUGUGAAUUGAGUUGACAGUAAGAUUCUUUCUUUAUGCGUAUAAACUUUGAAGAAACGAGGAAGCACAUACCAGUGGCAGCGCAUAAACUCUCUUUGGGUUUCUGUACCCAGAGAAUUUUCUUGAAUAAGUUUCUUGUCAAGGAUGGAAAAAGAGUUUGUUCACUUGUCUGCUUCAUUUUGUGUGGUUAACAUAACCUUAAUUGCUUAAACUCUUAUUUUUUGCUGGUAAUCAAACACUCGUUUGCUUUAAGAGACUUAUGUAGUUAUGUAUGUAGCCGUCAACAAUUUCGGAGCCACCAUUAAGUCAAGUAUUUUCCAUCUUUUAACUGGUUCUCGUGAACCAAUUUCGUCCAACCACAUUUCCAAACAAAUACUACUCGCGCUUCUCGUUGAAUCUGACCCAUAUAACUAGAUUCUGAGAUCUCACCUUAAACAAUGUUUGUGCCAACAAGGUGUUCACACAAGUCUUGUGUAAGAAUAAGAUCAUGGUUGCUUAUCUUGGUAAGCGGAAUUUUUGUAAAAACUUUCAUACAAAUUUUCUAAUGAAUUAACUUAGGAAUAUGCGGUUUGUCUAAUCCAGAUUUUCGGUAAAAUAUAUAAAAAAAUAAUAAAGAAACUAGUAGUACGUAUACAUUUAUUGAUUUACGUUAUUAUUUUGUUCUCUUUUGUAUUAUCUCUGUUUCUCCGGAGAAACAGGGAAAAACUAGAGGGAGAGAAACCGUUAUGCUCUGCCUCUCUAAUUCGCUUAAGUUUUAUUACCAAUUUCUCUCUUCUUCUCUGUUUUCUCUUUCUUGCGUCCUAAGAAACUUGGGAAACACGAUAGAGAUGAAGAAGAUACCUUACGUCCAUCUAAACCUCCUUCUCCUUCUAUUACCUCUGAUCAAUCUUCAGUUUCCGACAUUAUCAUUGGCUCAAGACUACGAUGAACCAAAGAAGGAUGAUACUCCACCGCCAGGCCUUGCCCGUUGCAACGGAGUUUACAUGUCUUACAGUUCCGGCGGCCGCGAAAAGUUGUAUCCUCGCACCACAAACGCGACGGCUCAAGCUUGGUCGUUUAAAUCAACGGCCAUGAUCGUGAACACCGGUAUCGAAGAGGUCAAAGGUUGGCAAAUGUUCGUAGGGUUUCAUCACAGAGAGAUCAUCGUUUCCGCGACCGGAGCUGUCUCAUCUGACGGUGACUUUCCUGUCGAUGCAACCAACGGGACUACGUUUAUAGGGUCUCCGAACACGGAUCUAAAGACCUCAAUCCUGACAGCUGGCGAUUACACUCAGAUCUCAACCAAUAUCGAGAUAACCGGAACGGUUUUCGGCGGGAAAGGUACGGCUACGCCAAUGCCGAAAACCAUCAAGCUCACAAACGAUGGAUGGCAAUGUCCUGCAGCUACUUCUAAAGGUAACGAGACCUAACUCAUGAAAAAACCCUUAAUUUCUUGUCCGGGAAGAAACAAUAGGUCAUGAUCGGUUUUUCGAUUUGUUUGGUAUGUUUUCAUCGGCAGGUGAUACAAUGCAAGUUUGCUGCAAGAGGAACCCAAAGUUUAAAGCUAAAGAAAAGUUGAAAACCAAGUUCAUGCCUAGACAACACGGUGACCUGAAUAUAAUCUACGACGUUCUUCAAGCCUAUGCUAGCAGCUACAUGGCGCAGGUGAGUCGCCGGAUCCAUCAAUUGUAUCAAUAUAACCUCGAGAGAUUCAUAUAUACAUAAAGUAAUCCAAAAUUGAUUUGUUUUGGACAGGUGACUAUCGAUAACACUAGCCCGCUGGGACGGUUGGACCAUUGGAACUUGACAUGGGAGUGGAUGCGAGGAGAGUUCAUCUACUCGAUGCGUGGAGCCUACGCGGCCGAGAAAAACACGUUGGAAUGCUUAAGCAGCAAGGCGGGACAGUUCUACGGGGAUCUUGAUUUCUCCCAGGUUGCUAAUUGCCAGAAGAAACCAAUUAUCAAAGAUUUACCGGCUGAGAGAAAAGACGAUAAUGUCACCGGGAAAUUGCCUUUCUGCUGCAAGAAUGGUACUCUUUUGCCCACUCACAUGGAUCCUUCUAAAUCCAAAGCCAUUUUCCAGUUACAGGUUUGCCUCAAAACGUACCAUUUAUAGUUUUUGGUGACUAAAUUUAGGCGUAAAGACUAUUAAACCGGUUUUGAUGUUUGGUUUAGGUGUAUAAGGUGCCACCUGAUCAGAACAGAACAGCAUUCUUUCCUCCUCGAAACUGGAAAAUUGACGGUAUAGUGAAUCCGCAGUACAAAUGCGGACCACCUAUACGGGUAGACGCGACCCCGUUCCCUGACCCUAGCGGUCUCCAAGCCACAACCUACGCUAUCGCCAGCUGGCAAGUCAUCUGCAACAUAACCAAGCCUAAACCAAAAGCUGCACGUUGCUGCGUCUCUUUCUCAGCCUUCUACAACGACUCAGCCAUUCCUUGUAACACCUGCGCUUGCGGCUGCAAAGAUAUAGAUACCGACACUUGCAACGCCAAUGCCCGACCGCUUCUCCUCCCUCCAGACACGCUCUUGGUACCGUUUGAUAACCGGACACUCAAGGCAAAAGUAUGGGCAAAGCAGAAGCACAUGGCUGUUCCAAAGAAGCUUCCUUGUCCUGACAACUGUGGAAUCAGCUUAAACUGGCAUCUUAACUCGGAUUACGGUAAUGGGUGGUCCGCGCGAGUAACGUUGUUUAACUGGGGGAAUAAUGCAGUGGAGGAUUGGUUUGGGGCAUUGGAUUUAGGCAAAGCUGGUUUAGGGUAUGAGAAUAUUUACUCCUUCAAUGGAUCAAGAGUUCCACCAAAGAACCAGACCAUUUUCUUCCAAGGACUUCCCGGUAUGAACUACUUGAUUGGUAUCACAAACGGAACGAAUCCUGCAAGAGACCCGCAGAUUCCCGGGAAAAUGCAGUCGGUUAUCUCGUUUAAAAAGAAGAAUUUGGGGAGUUUGAAUAUCAUAGGAGGAGAUGGAUUUCCUAAAAGAGUUUUCUUCAAUGGGGAAGAAUGUGAGCUUCCCAAUUAUUUCCCUAAAAAGAGUUCCGGGAAGAGAUUAUCCAGUACCCGAUUCUUGCCCUCGAUUCUUCUCGCGAUCACAACAGUUCUUGCGAUCACUGAUCGCUUUUUAACCGGUGUGUAGAUGCUUUAGUUAAUUAUGUAAAUUGAUUUUUGUUUAGCCAUGCCAUGAUCAAGAAACUUGAAGAGAACGUUUUGUAUAUGUAUCUCUCUAUUCACAGUUUUGGUUGACCAAGAAACUUGUAUAUAUAAUCGAGAGGAACUAAUGCAGAUUGAUUCUCCCUUAUUAGUUAUUAUUACACUCUUGGCCUUUACUACAAAAUUGUGCUUCGUUCUUGAGGAUACGAUUAUGCAAGUCAUUUGGGCGCCAAUUUCUUUACUUCAUAAACCGAUUUCCUCUGUUUUUUGUUCUGUUUCUGGUACAAUAAACACGAACCAGAUAUUAUUACCUGAAACACUUCUUACUCCUAGUUUCAAAUAUUUCGACUUUUAGAACAGAAAUAAUCAUUGUAAACUUAAGAACAGUCUCUUUCCUUAUUCUGUUUAUUUUUCCAGUUGGUAAAUACAAAAAAAAAAAACUUAUGUUUGUUUGUAUAUAAAGGGAUUCAAUGUCAACUUUUAUGAACAGCUUAAAAAGUAUAUUUUUCUUGUGUGUGUGUGUAUGUGUAUAUGUAUUAAGGGUGAUUCAAGGCUCCAAGAUUCAUCCAGCUUACUUUUCACCCAUAGAAUCGUUAGAAAAAAAAGAUAGAGAGCGUCGGUUCCUCCCCAGAUCUUUUCAUAUCAAAAUGUGGAAUAUAGCAAAUCACAAAGCUUCUCAUGAUUCAGCAGCAGAAUCAUGAAUGUUCACCAAUGCUAUUUCUUAGCCUGCAAUAAGAGAGAAGACAACAGAAGAGAGAACUUUCAGGCCAAACUUUGAGAGAGACACAAGCCCAGACAGAUCAAAGAAACAUAGAAAUAACCUUUCUUAGAUAUCUCUUGUGAAUUUUUAUGGCCCCAGAACAUGUUUUCUUGGCAUCCAAGUUCCCAGUCAUGUCGUUAAGUAUCUUAACAACAUCGUCAAGUCCACGAGCUUCAGUCAUUAGCUUAUAACUCUUGUCUUUCAAGACACUGGCCACUAGAAAUACCGAUAUAGGCAAAGGACCUUCCGCACUUUUCCCUCCAUUCCUCAUGUUUUGCCUCUCAUACUUUCCACAUUGCUUAAUUGACUUCGGUUUACCUUUUAACCCUUCGGUUUUCUCACUCCCGCAUUGAUGUGCCUCAUAUACGUAAAAAAGAUCGGGGUCAUACUCGAGGGCCCACAUCAUCUGGAGGAAUAGGGUUUGGCAUGAGAUCAAUCCAAGAAAGAAAAAGACUAUUAUACAUAUAAGAGACAGUGAGACACAAAAAUCAAUCAUUACCUCCCAAAGGUACAGAGAGUCGCAAAAUGAGAAUUCUCUUCGGAAUUGAACCAUUAGCAUCCGAAUAGCAAAGAGAUAGUCACCUCCCCCCAGUUUAUCUGCAUUUAUGACUCACAGCUCGAUUAACCGCUGGAUAUAUACAUAUAGGCAAAGAAAUUGCAGUAGUAGUAGUAGUAGUACCUAGAUGUUGGUGAAGUUUGGGGUCAACAAUCUGAGUAAUCGAAGACAAAUGAGUAAGUUGAGCUUCAACUCCAACAGAUCUCCCGGUGCUACGGAAAUUUCCUCGCUUUUCAAUUCGAAAAAAUAAAACACGUUUAAUACAUCCUGAUUGCAGAGAGAUAGAUGUAAACAGUCCAUAUCAAAAACACAAAUACAUUGAGAAUAUGCAUAAGGUAAGUACCAAUCGACGCAUAAGCCGUUCAAAACACCAAAAGGCAUCAGCUUCGUCUUCAAGAAGAAUAAUCAUUGGGGAACAAAGAUCACUCAUUCCUGAUCAGAGCACGAGUACAUAGAUAAGAAUUUCUCAAGUAAAACUGGUUUUCAAACAAAUUAUACAAUGAUAUACACAUUCGGUUUUACCUUGACAAUACCCGACAUCGUUGUCUAUCCAGGCGUAAAUAGACAGAAUAUCCCAGAGCUUCGAUAAGUUCUCCUUUUUCUCAUAAAAUACCAAGGCCCUGUCUGUACGGUUCACAUCAAGACCUGAAAAAUAUAAAUUAAGCAACUGAGUGAACCAGCAGAUAUUCAGUAUAGUCUAGCCGCUGAUAGAGGAAGCCAUGACCAGUCACUAACCUAUCUGGUGAAGUGUUAGUAGCCACUGGGUAACUUUCUUAUCGAGAGGUCCACGACUGGUGAGCUCUUUAAAAAAAUCUGAACCAUUUGAGUUUGUACCUGAGAAACCCACAUGAAUACUUCAAAUGCCUAUUACAAGUUUAUGUAGAGUUCAACAUUAAAAUUUCCGUUAUAGAAAGGCAAAAUUUUACCUAAAUUUAUUUCCUGAAGUACAAGAGGAUCAUAGUUGGGUUGGCCAUUUUCAGAAAUUACAGGUGCGGUCAUAAAUCUUCCACUUCCAAUGACAGGAAACAUUUGCUUACACUCCUCCUUCCAAGAAGCAUACUGCAGUCUGACAGAAGAGAAGUAGCGGUAGGAUUCACAAAACUGAAUUGAUGGUUUAUGAAUUAAAAGUAAUAACCAUGUAGUUAUGCCAAAUGUGAUACAUAUAUAGAGGAAAUGUGGACAAAAAUCUACCUUCUGCGUUGCCGAAUUUGCUCUCUUUCUUCGAAUGUGCUCAUCGGGUCAUAACAACCAAGUAGGAAUUCCCAUACUUCGCCUCUAAUUGAUGGAUGGAUUCCCUACAGAUUGAUUGUAAAGGAAUUAAAGUAACAAAUGAAACGAUAAAUGAGUUGUGACAAAGACUUAUUCAAACUAACAUACCCCUCUUCGGAUUCGUCUUAGAGUCUUGCCAAUAUCGAGAGACCCUUCUUGUACAAAUACAGCCCGCCAUUUUCUUACACUUAGAGUUUUGCCAGGCUGCACAAACAUCAUAAAAUUGACCCGUGUUGUCAGCAACAAAGCAAGAAAUUCAUGGCCCCAACAUGAUGCAAUUAUUCAUGAUACAUUAGUUAUGACCACAAGACAUGGAAUGAUACAGGCUUUUCUGGCCUGUAAUGUUAAGGUUCAACCAGAGAAAAUGAUUCAAUCUAGUACCAACAUAGUAGCAAUGAAGCACAUAACCUAUCUUCCUGUGUUAUAUGUAUCUUCCUGGAGUCGAGAAGUUAAAUCCCCUCAAGCUUCUUUCAGGAAAAAGUGACAAUCUCACUAAACAAUCAUGUGAUGCUACUGAGAAAAGAUCCAACGAGAUCAAGAAUAGAUUAGAGAGCCUUAAACAGCUCCUAAGAUCAAUAUGUCCUAAGUAGGAAACAGAUUUCUGAGCAUAACAAUGGCAAUAACUUUCGUUCAAGGAGAAAUCAAACGCUAAGCUGAUGAGGCGAUCGAUCUUACAGAAUCAAACAAAUUCACAAGAGGGACAAGUGCAAUCACCAACGAAGAAGCAAAAUGAGGAUGAAUGCAUCGGAAGAGGUGGUAACCUUGAUUCUGAAUCUGGUCUUGGGGACAUCGGUGCACUCGGGACGAACUUGGUAAUAAGAAUCUGCUGGCUCAGCUGCGCCUCCCCACAUUCUAUCAAACUUUUUUCCCGGGAAAAAAACAACCAAGGAAAAAAUCCAGAGGAAACCAGAUACAGUGGAUCGGGAUCCCCUCAAAACUCAAAAGAUCGAUCAACGAUUAAUGAAGAAAUUAAAAGAUAUUUAGGGAAAUUUUUUUUGAGAAUUUAAGGAGGACCCAGCUUGGAGCUUAGUGGAUCGGAGUCUAAAGACAGAAACUUUUUGUGUUUCUUUCUUUCUGUCUUCGUAUAUUUAUUUUUUUGUCGUGUCUAUCUAUCAACUAAGUUUCUUGUAUCAUUCUUUUUCUGGAGAUGAUGAUUGAUGAGCUGGUCUCAUUACACAAUAGUUGUUGCCCACAAAUAACGGAGUUCCUCCAUCACUUCUCUCUAUCUUCUCCCACAUAGAGAGAGAGACACAGAGAGUCUUUUUUUCAUUCAUUCGUUUCCCAAAAAUAUCCAACAUAAAACGACGCCGUGUUAUUGAUUUUCUAUAUUGGGCUUUUAGUCCUCAUGGGUAGCUAAUGUUUGUGGAUCUUAUCAUGUUGGGCCUUUUUGAUAUUUAUUUACUAAUAUCAAAAAUACCAAACCCUAAAAAUGAUGGUAUAUAUAUUGCAAAACCUAAGCGCUUUCUUCCUCUGCUGUCGCUCGUCUACAUUUACACUCGGAGCUUAGAGACCUUCCAAUCUACCGGCGGCGAAAAUGGUGAGAUAUACUUUCUGCCUGAGCUUAUAUCUUGGUUUGUUCGUCUGUGUUAUACGUUAUUAUCUCCUGCUUUAGCUCGUGUUCAUAGCACAUUUCUGAUUUCUGUCUUCUAGAUCUUUUUGGUGGGGAUUAGGCUUUAGAUGUUUUCAAUCAAGUCGCGUUUGUGUAUUAGACAGAGACCAAAGGGUUGAGAUUUAAUAUUUUGUGGUGGUUGUUCAGGUUUUCAAGAGGUACGUUGAGAUCGGGAGAGUAGCACUUGUGAACUACGGCGAAGAUCAUGGAAAGCUCGUCGUUAUCGUCGACGUUGUUGACCAGAACAGAGUAAGUUCAUUUCAUUUCAGCUAUUUUACUGCUAGAUUCCGCAAUCUUACUGUGUUUGAUUCGGUAAAUUGUUUUAUUAAGGAAAAUUUUGAUUUAGCUUGAGACUUUGGUUGCAUAUUUGGUUGAAUCAUUGAUUGGAGCCGAUUGCAUUUCCUUGGUGAUUGUUGGGGCUUAAUAUAUUGACUUGGUGCUAUUGAGUUCUGAUUAUGUUCUCGUCAUUUAGGCUUUGGUGGACGCCCCUGAUAUGGAGAGGAUCCAGAUGAACUUCAAGAGGUUGUCUCUUACCGAUAUCGUGAUUGCCAUCAACCGAGUGCCAAAGAAGAAGGCUUUGAUUGAGGCAAUGGACAAGGCUGGUGAGUACUGUGCAAUGUAGUGUUUGAAUUUGUCAAGUGUUCCAAUCUAAACCGGAAAGUCUUGCAGAUGUGAAGAACAAGUGGGAGAAGAGCUCAUGGGGUAGGAAGCUUAUCGUGCAGAAACGUAGGGCUAACCUCAAUGAUUUUGAUAGGUUCAAGAUCAUGUUGGCCAAGAUCAAGGUCAGUGUGUUAAAUUGUCAGAUGUGGGAAAAUCUGUGGUCGUGUUGGUUUAUGUUAGAACUGAAAUGCUAAUGGCUUUUUUGUUUGUUUGCAGAAAGCUGGUGUUGUCAGGCAAGAGCUUGCAAAACUCAAGAAGGAGAUCACUGCCUGAUCAAAUAUUAUCUACAAUUCUGUUGUCUUUCUUUUUUAAUUUUGGAUUCGGAAAUUAGUGUUUUUGGAACUAUCAUCAUCAGUAUGUGCUCUAUUAUCCGACGUUAUUCAAGUUUGAAACCUUGUUUGAAAAACUCAAAGUUUUUGUUCUUUUGAUCUUAGUCUUACUUUCUUUUCUAUGGUUCUAUGUUAAGUUUCGAUACCAAGCUUAAAAUUGAAUCAAGCUAAGCUAACUAAACUAACCAUUAGUUUGAAGAGAACUCAUAAUUGUUACAAGAACAAGAUUUUCUUUUACAAUUGGUACAUACUUAACGUAAGUUAGUAGAGGAUGGGGAAGGACCUUCACAAGUCUAGUUUCAAACGUUGAAAGUUGAAGUUAUUGGAACGAACUAACACACAAGAAGCUGUAUUUUGUUAUUGGAAUUUGGAAGUAAAUUCCCCUGAUUUAAGUGAUAACAAUUUGUUUUACUAAAACUCCCAAAGACUUCAGAGACAUCGCUAAUACUUAUAUAUGUUCAAAAGGACAACAGUUUGCGAAAAUAUAACUGAAUUAUUUUGGUGACGUCUGGUUGUGUAUAUAUGGCAAAACUUUCUGACUCGUUACAGAGGAAAACGAAAUAAAACCCUUAGGAGAGCUUCAGAAGUUUUUACCAAGUUCUAUCUUUUUCAUCAGUGUCAUGGAGUGGUGGAGAAUAGAAUCCAAGAUUCCGGCCACCUGAAAAGAGGCAAACACACAGAGUCAUAUGGGAAUACAUUAAUGAAUAGUAACAAGAAGAAGAGGCUUUCAAACUUCUUUACUAACCGUGAAGACACCACCGAUAAUGGCGCAUACGUUGGUGAUGAAAUGUGAGAAGGACUUGGAGUUUUCCGUUAUGAGAACCUGCAUAGAAACAAAGAGAAAGAUAAGCAGAGUGUAAUUUUGCCCCACCUUACCAUCCCACACAUAUGUGAGUAAGGCAGUAAAAGAAAAUGUUGAAGCCUACCUGCAUCGGUGAUAGCUCAAAGUGAAACUUGGCAACUGGUAAAUAGUAACUAUGAGCAACGCUGCUAUGUGCUGUGUACUCAUACGCCUCAACCAAUGCCUGUCCAUUGCUUUUCACUACCUCAGUCUUUACUAUUUGAAGAUAAUGCUCGAUCUGUCCAUGGAAAACAACACCUUAAAGCAUGCUAGAAAGCAUAAUUAGACGAUUUGAAUACUAUUUUCUGAGUUAUACAAACUUACGGUAACAUUUGGGCCGAGAUCGCGUUGGUUUAUGAAGGGCCGGCCGUCCAAACGGUCAUGGCUUAGGCCGAGAUAAGGUGACAAGCGCUUUAACUCAGAAAAUUUCUGAGGCAUAAUCCUCUGCCCAAAUGAUAGAUGGUUAACAACAUGGGACAUAUUCAUCUGAGAAGAAUCAAAGGAAUGAGAUCCCGAGCGAGCUGAAACCAUUAAGUUGCCUGGAACCUGCAAUGACCAUAUAGUAGUAACUAUUAAAGUGUUUGAGCGGUCAAAAAAGCCAGACAGACAAAGCAAUAGUAGUUUCUCCCAUUCAAAUGCUUACCUUCUUUACACGUAUGUAUCCUUCAAUUCGACAUCCUCCUGUAGAAGGUGCCUUUUUUAGAGUUCUCGAUGAAUUGUCUGAUUUGUCCUCCAAUGCUAGAUUAUGGGGCUCUAGAUGGAUUGGUUCAACCACACUAACCACCAUCUAUAGGAGAAGGAAAAUAUUCAGAAACAAGCUACCAAUGAGGCGCAAACAGUGACUCUAGUCUAACUUUUCUAAGGGGCACGGAAUAGAAGUUGAAAAGAAACUUAGACCAACAGCUACCUUCACUAAGCUUUCCGUAUCACGAUCUCCAUAGUAGGAUUCAUGGUCGUGGUGUGCAUUGUCAUCCCUAUUAAGCAAAGGAAAGAAAAGAGGAGAAAAUAAAUUUUAGGAGAAUCCAGUAAAUGAUGGUCAUGCAUUAGAUGAACAAUUAAACUUUCUCUUACUUAAGAUCACUGCCUUUGCGGAAAAUACGAAUGGAUGGAUACCCUUGUAUGUGAUUCCUGGAUAUUAUUCGCAGAGGACAUUUCUGAGCCUGGAGCUAAAUAAGAGGCUGACCCUUUGAAAUCAUAAUGGUAAACCGGGAAUAUGUUUUUUCAUUCAUGUUCUUACAUCUUUCCCUAUGUAUGGUAUGUCUUUUUUUUUUUGGUUUGACCAUAACUAUCUUUUGACGAGGUACAUGCUAAUAUAUUACAUAAAAAAAGGGUGUUUAUACGAAGCCAAUACAAACUUAUAAAGUAACUGACAAUCCCUCCCUCUAUUUACGAAUAGAAAAUGCAUCUUAGACUUAAGUUACAGACAAAUGAGUUAACGACACCUCAUAUCCACAUAGUCACCAAUACAUUACUGGCAUAUUAGCCCACACUCUUGAAGACCCUACAGUUUCAAUUCAAAUUUUUUUGCACAAAUUCAAAUGACAUAUUCGGUGGAAAGGACUCUAAUAGCUUCUCUUGGUUAUUACUUUUUGCAUUGUAGUGGAUAUUAGUUAAGUUUAGUAGCUUAAGAAGUCAGGAUGGAAAACCAGAUAAAAUGUGAUAGGAUAUACCUCCGACAGAGAUCACCUUCUUGGGUGCAGUCAACUUUUGCCAAAAUAACACGUCCGUCCAUUUCUGGAUCAUAUCUACCAAAAACAAAAAAGUUAUAAGGAGAAAUAGUAUCACAUAUUCUUUCUCUAGAGAGAGUGUAAUGGCAUACCUCUCUUUUAUUUGUUUCGCUGCUUUCUCCCAUGAUGGUUUCUGACAAUGGAGACUAAAGUUAGAGUCUUCGCGUAAAGAUCAGCAAAAUUAUCACUUUAUUGUGCAUAAAUAUCACCAGAUACUAGUCUACUUCAUAAGUUUGAUAUUCAAUAUCAAAUUGAUCCUUAGAUAAGUCUAGUCUUUCCAUGAGGAAAUUAUUAAGACUACAGGAAAGAUUGACUGAGUUACUGUAAAUUGCAAUAUUAGCGCGUCUAAGGCACCAAACAUGUAGAAUUUCCUCAAGUGAGAAGGCUAAUAUGAGUCAUAUAACCCUUGCCAACAGGCACCAAAAUAUGCUUCUGGACGGAAAAUAUGCUGUGACAUCUAGAAUUUGUAGGAGACGAAGACAGAAGAUAAGGGAGUUACCAGGAGAUUACACCAAUAGCACCACGGAGCAUAGAAAUUAACAACCAAGAUUGGAAAUCUGCAAAAUGUAUGCUUCAUAUGUUGUCACCAGAAGCAAACAAGUACUUACUAGAAAUACAUUCCUAGUAUUUUUGUAUGUACGUAUAAAAUGCACAAUACAGACUUAAACUCCUUACUGAUGUGUAAAUGUGUCAAAGUUGCGCCCAGUAAGUGGUACCGAAUCUUCAACUACUUCUUCACCAGUUUCAUCUCCAUGAUUAAUGAGCGAUAAAACUUCCCCGACGUGAAACUCAGAACCAGUGGGUCUCAUAUUCGAAUCAAUAGAAAACUUCCGAAUUGUCUUUGUUACAUUUAGCCUGUUCUGAAAACAAAAGUUAGCAAAAUCAGGAGAGGGAACAACCGAUAAUUUUGGGUGACCUAAUGGACAAAUGUUCAGAAAGAAUAACAUUAAUUUCAAAGCCCACAUAUACGAUAGACUAUCUUUCACAGUUUGACAUUUUCGGAUUUCCCUUAAAAGAAAAUAUUGUACAGUCCAAACUUGUUGGACGUACAUGACAGAAAUUUAAAUACUUUAAAAACAAAGAAUUUUCAAGAGCAAUAGGAAAAAGAUAGAGACUUAAAAUGAACAAAUUAUGAAACCAAACUUACAGUUCCUAAUACGUCACUGACAUCCACAGAUGCGAAUUCACAUGAAAGUGACGGGAAGCUGCCAAAAAAUAGAAUCUGUAUCUGGUUAGCAAUCAGAUAGAUGCUGAACUUUGCAUGACUUUGAUUGGGCCACACAUGACAUUCUGAAGAGAUAAGGUAUGCACUCAACAAACAAUGGUUGCACAAGAUAACAUAACGUUCUAUCAUACAGAAGAGUAACAUUAUACAUACACUCUUUAACCUGUUAGAAUAUUGAAACUAUAAGAUUUGUAUUGAGAAACAAAGUUGAGUAUAAUGUACCUUAUGUUAAAAUCUAAGCGCAAGAAGUCUCCGUCAGCGCUCCUAUCAACAAUGACCGAUGUGGAAGUGCUGACAGCCAAAUAAUUAUUCAAUUCCUGUAAUAUGAAACUUGCAAAAUCAAAAUAACAUUCAUUUUUGCUAAUAGUAACAAAUUGAGCAUUUAUCAAAAUUAACGAUAAAAUGAAACUUGAACAACGCCACAGAAUGGUCAAAACCAGCAAGUCCAAACUUACCAUUCCAAAUAAAAAUAUCAUAGAGAGGGCUGCUAUAAUGGACAAUCCAGCACCAGACAGAGACGCUUCUGUCAAAUCCCUCGGGAUUUUCCUGCAGGCACAGAAAUUCCAAAGAAUAUAUAUGAAAUUUCUAGCAUUAUCGUCCAGAAUCACAAAUCUCAGAUUCUAUGGAACUUCGAAACAAUUUCCCCAAAAAUCUAAACUUAGCAAAAAAAAAAACGAAAUCGAAGUGACUAAUGAUGAUCUUAAACCCCAGAUAAUAAAACACUUUUGACAGUCCAAUUUCACUAAGAUAAAAUGACAACUUGACAAUGCACAUAAAAAAACCUACAACUUCAGGAUCGCCUGUUCACAGCUAAACCCUAUCACUAAUGAGCAAGAAAAUCCAGAAAAUGAAGAUACUCCCCAAGUAAAAUUCAGAGUAAACUAUCACUACAAAUCCUGUCACUGCCUAGAUCGAGGAAAUUCGAAAUCUAUGUAACAGGAGAAGGAAGCUGGAGGAAUCUAGGAAACGAAUACACAAGCAAACAAAGAAAGAAACCUAUAGAAAUCAACGGAUUUGAUCUUGCUCGUGGACACCAUUAUCGUCGGAGAAGGAGUCAACUGAGAAACAAGAACUGCUUGGCUAGUUCUCAAAGCUCCGAGGACGAAGCACCUCCCUUGUGAUUUAUCUUCAGCGUUCAGAUUUGAAACUCCUCAACAAUUUACUAAAUUACAACACUAGCCCCCUCUGCUUUGACUCCAUUUCCCAUUUGACCCAAAUACUUUUAUUAAAGCGAAUUAGGACCUUCUCAGUUCUCGCAUGUUUCUAUCAAACCCAUUUAUUAUAUCUCUAUAUUCGGCGCAAGACUGCAAACGAAUGUGCAACAAACAAUACACAAGUUUGAAUUUACAAUGAUCACCAUUCGAGAGCAGAGUUGUUUUUUUUAUGCAUUGGUGAAAUUAAGAUAUGAAAGGGAAAACAAGCUAAUUAAGUCAAGAACAAAACAGUUCGAAUUGCUUAUAAGAACAUCAUACGUUCCAUAGAACAUUCUUAUUAUUUAUAGGAUACAUUCAUAACAUUUAUUCUCUUCUUUUAACCCUCUGAUCCAAACUUUUGGAUUCCCGACCAUAAGCAAGAACUAACAAACUACAUGUAGAAGAAAUAUCACUAUGUGAAAAUGAAAGUAAUCUACUCUUUAAACUUCGAGAUACUUGAUUGCAGUCUGAACAUCCUUGUCGCCUCUCCCACUGAAGUUUAAGACCACUCUGGUUCCAUCAGAUAACGUCGGACAAAGCUUCUCUAGAUGGGCCAACGCGUGCGAUGUCUCUAGUGCCGGGAUUAUUCCCUCCAACCGAGACACUCUCUUGAAAGCUACAAGAGGAGAUAAGGAAAACACGAAUGCAAGUUCUCAUGAGAUGUGAAAGAAACAUAUAAAGUAAGAAAAUGAUGUGCUAAGUAAGUACCUUCUAAGGCUUCUUCAUCGGUAACGCUAUAGUACUCAGCCCGUCCCAUGUCUUUAAGGAAACUAUGCUCAGGUCCGACUCCAGGGUAAUCCAAUCUGAUAACAUGAACUUUUACUCUUUAGAUACAGGUGACCAAGUAAAUGUGGUUUAAAACCAACUUUGAACAGAGAAGAAUCUCUUACCCGGCACUGAUGGAGUGUGGUUCAAUGAUUUGGCCAUCAUCAUCUUGCAGCAAGUAACUCAUAGCUCCAUGGAGUACACCGACAUCUCCUUUUGUCAAUGUGGCAGCGUGUUUGCCGCUGUCCAAUCCAAAUCCAGCGGCUUCCACACCAAUCAUCCGAACCUCUGCGUCAUCGACAAAUUCAUGGAAGAGUCCCAUGGCAUUUGAACCACCACCGACACAAGCAACCAGAACAUCAGGCUUCCCGCCCCAUUUCUCCAUAGCUUGUCUCCUUGUUUCUUUACCAAUCACGGCAUGAAAGUCCCUGACCAUCAUAGGGUAAGGAUGAGGACCCGCAACGGAUCCCAAUAUGUAAUGUGUAGUCUCCACAUUUGUCACCCAAUCCCUUAUAGCUUCAGAAGUUGCGUCCUUUAAAGUGGCUGUUCCAGAGUGGACUCCCCUUACCUCAGCACCGAGAAGACGCAUCCUGAACACAUUAAGAGCUUGUCUCUCCAUGUCUUGAGCACCCAUGUAGAUAAUGCACUGCAACCCGAAACGUGCACACACUGUAGCUGUGGCUACGCCAUGUUGACCAGCCCCUGUCUCAGCAAUAAUCCGUUUCUUUCCUAGACGCUUGGCGAGAAGAGCCUGAGCCACAGCGUUGUUGAUCUUGUGAGCACCGGUGUGGUUCAAGUCUUCCCUUUUGAGGUAUAUGAGCGGUCCUUCCCCGUUUUCUCGGCGGUAAUGCUCUGUGAGCCUCUCUGCAAAGUAAAGAGGACUUUCCCGACCCACAUAGUCUUUCAAGAUCUCUGCCAAUUCUCUCUACAGUUUCAUCAGAACAUUAAUUGGACAUUGUAUAACAAACGAACUAACCAAAAAAGACUUCUAGAUUACAUCACACAGAAGCAUGUAUUGAUGAAGAAACUAUGAAUAUGAAAUGAAUGUCGUUUCCAGAUUUCUGGGUAAAUUACAACUCUUUCCCAGAAUUACAUCCUACAUCCUACAUCGCAAACAAAUCGAUUUGGCCCAGAAGCCUUAACAUUGAUUAGUUUUUCGAAAAAAUCCGCUUUUUAAACAUUUUCAUCACUCAUGCCAAUGACAACGCUUGAAUCAGAUACUCACAAAGCCAAAUCAUUUCGAAUCAAUCAAAAUCGAUGAACAAGAUGGAAACAAAAUCAGCCGACAUACCUGGAAAUCUUCGUCGGUGGCGAGCGAAUAGAAAGCCGUUUCGAGUUCAGAGAGGGCGUGCAUUAGAGUUUCGGGGACAUACUUCCCGCCAAACUUCCCGAACCGACCGAAUGAAUCGGGUCGUUGCCACAUGGUCGGAUCAGAUCCAGCGGCCUCCGUAUCCGCCAUGAAAACAGUCGGGUCCUUAGCGAUGGUGCAAGAGACGGAAAAAGAAGAAGAGGACCGUGAGCGAGACGAUGGCAGAGGCGUAAAUUUGGGGCGUUUGGAGGGCGAUCUCAGACGGGUUGCUUUGGAAGAAGCUGAAACGGAGGGUCUGAAAGUAGCAGCGGUGCCUGCGGUGGCCAUUAGUGAAUCUUUAUCUAUCUCUCAAACUCAAAGACAAAUGUUUUGCUGACAAAAACCUUGAAACUGUGGUUUUGUUUUAUAGAUUCGUUAUGUGACACUUACCUUUUUUUGACCAGAAAUUCAAUAAAAAAAAAUAGAGGAGGAAAUCAGUACCACGUUAACUUAUUUGCGAACAACAAAAAAAGGUUGGUGAGAAUAUGGCGGUGUAACAUCUUUGGGGGUUGGAUGUGUUUAUCACAUGCCUAAUUUGGUGUUAUCUAAUUUUUUUUUUGGUAAAUGUCCUCUUUGGACCAAAAGACGUAUAUCAGUUUUUGCAAAAAUGAUCAAGGCUUUCAAUAGUGCAAAAACGACGUACUAUUACUCCAUUUCGAACUAAAAUCAUAUACUUAUGGCUAAAUUAAUACAAGUAAACUAACUAUAUAAUUUUAGUUUCAUUUUAUGAUUUUAAAAACUUUUUUCAAUUUUUUUUUAUAAAUUUCCUAUAUUUUCACUUUGUAUUUAAAAUGUGGUUGAUCUUUUAAUGACCAACAUGAAUAUUUAUGAAAGUAAAACACUAUGGAAUUGGAAAAUAGCCAAAAUGACAUCCAUCGAUGUAAAUAUUCGAACUAAAAAAUUCUCAAAACCGGUAAGGUUUUGUCUCUCAUCGAACUCACCGUCUCAAGACAAGUCAAGAACUUGACUUUUGAUUUUGCAUGACCCCUGUUGGUCCGAUGAACCAUCAGCCUCUCAUCCAUUUAUGAUUGACUCACGUGCAUUAAACAACAGACGACGACCUUCGAGUCGUUGAAGCUACAUGAAUCCUAUAAGCACGCGGACAUGAGUUUUCAAAGUUAACACUCACUGAGAAGUCUCUCACUCGGUUGGAUUGAGCUCAGAAAAGUCUAAUCUUUUCUAUCAAAAUGUCCAUUGCUCGACUCUUUUUUUUUUGUUCACAAGUCCAUUCCUCGACUCUAACUCCGGACUGUUGAUCUUAAAGACACCAACAGCUAAGAGCAAUUACAAUUCCUUAUAAGCAUUCAUUAAUCAUUAAAGUACUGUUGUAAAUGUUGUACCAUGUAAAAUUCCUUAAACCAUUCAGUAAACUACACGUAUAUUAUUAAUUAAGCCAUGUUUUUUUUUAUAUACAGUUACGUCAACACAAGAAACCAACUUGACAUUUUGAAUAACAAAUUCUUUACUUAUUUUGAGGUUUUAAUUAAAAUUUUGAAAUAACAAAUUCACAAUUCAUAUUGUAGAACGUGUUGUCUCUAAAUGUGAAAAUGUUCUAACUUAUUUGCAUGUAUGUUUAUAUAUUACACGAAAUCUCGUAGCAGAAGAUUAAAAAAUCAAGCAAUCACACAAGAAUCCUCAUAUUAUUACAUUUUUUCGCCGCGAUUAUUAGUUUAAACUAUUUUUUCAUACUUUUGUCUUUCACACCCGAUUUUCCGCGACCAAUGGGAAAAACCAGAUACUGAAAAUAUAUUAAUUAUUUUAUGUUAAGAAUUUGAAAAAACUUGAAAAAGUUAAUACUGAUAAAAUUGAGCGACACAUUUCUUUAUUAUUCCAGUCUUAACUGUUACACUUUCGAGUGACAGAUCUCGUCUAUCUUCUCCAAUUCGUCUAUCUUCUUCUCCGAUUAAUCUCAUCUCUCGUCGGAGAUUUCGGAAUGAGCACACCUACAACUUCCGGUUCGGCGGCGAAACCGACGAGACCAGCAAGGUCGUCGAGUUUAGCAACUAGGUCAUCUUCCAAUUCCGGUUCCCUCACUUCAUUCCAAGCAAUGGUGGAGCUGAAGCAAAAGAUCCUUACCUCAAUCUCUAAGCUCGCCGAUCGAGAUACAUACCAGAUCGCCGUCGAAGAUCUUGAGAAAACUAUUCAAUCUCUCACUCCCGAAACCCUACCGAUGUUUCUCAAUUGUCUCUACGAUUCGUGCUCCGAUCCGAAACCUGCAGUGAAGAAGGAGUGUCUCCAUCUUCUCUCUUGCGUUUGUAGUCUCCAUUGCGAUUCGACGGCUGCGCAUCUCACUAAAAUCAUCGCUCAGAUAGUUAAACGGUUGAAGGAUUCUGAUUCUGGAGUUAGGGAUGCUUGUAGAGAUACGAUUGGUGCUUUGUCUGGGAUUUAUCUCAAGGGAAAAGAAGAGGGGACUAAUACUGGUUCAGCCUCAUUAGCGGUGGGUUUGUUCGUUAAGCCGUUGUUUGAGGCAAUGGGAGAGCAGAACAAAGUGGUACAAUCUGGAGCUGCAAUGUGUAUGGCUAGGAUGGUUGAAUCAGCAGCUAGUCCUCCAAUUACUUCUUUUCAAAAGCUUUGCCCUAAAAUUUGCAAGCUAUUGAGCAAUUCUAGUUUCCUUGCUAAGGCUUCUCUUUUGCCAGUUGUUUCAAGUCUCUCUCAGGUUUGCGCAUAAUCAUUUUAAUCUCCUUUUCAGGUUAUAGACAGUGCGCACUAUGUUUGUUGUGUUGGAUGGAAGAAUAUGUUGCGUUUUGAUAUUAGUGUGAGUAAGUAGAACACAAAGUUUUAGUCUAUAACACCUGACCUCACUACUUGAGGUUUAGUCUUAAUCCGACACUUUUUCUUUUAGUUGUUGCUGAAGUUUAGUGUUUUGAUUUGAGCUUACAAGUUUCAGUGAUGGGUUUAGCAUCGCUCCCUCUUUACUUUUGGUAGUUCAAUGCUAGUAGGUUCAUUGGUUUAAGUUGUCUAUGAAAAAGAGAAGUAAAGAGUAAUAAAUUUGAUUCAGGUGGGAGCCAUUGCACCUCAGAGCCUGGAGUCAUUGCUAGAAAGUAUCCAUGAUUGCCUUGGAAGUACAGAUUGGGUAACACGAAAGGCUGCGGCUGAGACCCUGACUGCAUUGGCAUCACAUUCAAGCGGUUUAAUUAAGGAAAAAACCGAUUCCACUAUUACCGUGCUUGAGACCUGGCGGUUUGACAAGGUAGCUAUCUUCUCUUUCUCUAAUUAAUAAAAUUCUACUAUUACUGUGUUUGAGACACAUUUUAUUUUACAAGGUAGCAACAUUUUUCAAGUAAUCUAAAGUCGUCCUGUUGUGAAGUAAACUUAAACCUCAUAAGCUCUUCAAUUCCGUGUGAAUGUCAUCAGACAUAUUUGUUAGUGGUUAUAGUACUUUUGGGACUUUCUCCUCAUUUGCUAUGCAGAUGAAACGCACAAGCAAGUAGCUUGAAAUUCCCACGAAGCCUUCCCUUUUGAUUGUUUACUAUAGGAUUUACAUAUCUCAAGGAUUUUCAGUCAUCUAUAAUUUUCUUUCACUACUGAGCGUUGAAAUGGGUGGAUGUUUUGUGAAAUGGUGGAUAUUAUUAUAAACUAUGAUGGAUAGCUACACAUUCAUCAAAAUUCUAUUACUUAGGAUAUUUAAUGAUCUUCUCAAGACAGUUUAAUGAUGGAAUUUUCUUGGACAGAUUAAACCUGUCAGGGAAAGUGUGACAGAGGCGCUGCAGUUAUGGAAGAAGAUUUCUGGAAAAUAUGUCGAUGGUGCUACAGAUGAGUCAAAGCUUUCAUCUGGUGAGCAGCUUGGAUCAGAGAAGAACGCAGAGAAAAGGUCUAAUCUAGCUGAUCUAAUGAAAAAUGAGGCAUCCGAUGGUUCCACACUUUCACCAGACUCUGCUUUUAAAGGAAAAGGAUGUCUUCCUGAAAAAGCAGUAGGACUGUUGAAGAAGAAAGCUCCUGUCCUAAGUGACAAAGAUUUUAAUCCUGAAUUUUUCCAGAGACUAGAAAGAAGGCAAUCCGUGGAAGUAGUAGUCCCUCGUAGAUGUAAAAACAAUUAUGAGGAAGAAUCAGGACUCGAUGAUCUCAAUGCCAUGGGAUCUUCCAAUCACUUCAAGAACACCCAAGCAGAUGAUAAACAGGUAAAAGGUAGGUUUGAUGGGAACGGAUCACAGGCAGGGACAUCUGUUGAUGAUAAGGCUGGUGUUGUAAACGGAAAAGAGGCACCUGGAAAUCACGCUCCUGUCUCCAAUACUGAUAACCAAUCUGAAGGAUCCUUCACAAGUAAUAGAGGAAAUUGGUCAGCCAUCCAGAGGCAGUUGUUGCAGCUAGAGAGACAACAGACAAAUCUUAUGAACAUGCUCCAAGAGUUUAUUGGUGGCUCACAUGACAGUAUGGUGACCUUGGAGGGCAGGGUAAGAGGUUUAGAAAGGAUUGUUGAAGACAUGGCAAGAGAUCUUUCGAUAUCAUCUGGUCGUAGGGGUAAUCUCACAGCUGGAUUUGGCAAAUAUAAUAGCUUUGCUAACUAUCCAACUGGAAAGUAUAAUGGUAGAGCUCCAGGGGACAGAGGCUCACAACCAGAUGGAGCUAUGAGGGGAAGAAUGUGGAAUUCGGACAUGGCGGAUGACUGGUUCAUACCUCCACAUGCUGCUUCCAGAAACGGACAAGCCGGGCCAAGAAGAUCACCUCGGUCAGAACAAUAUGAGAAUGAGCACAUGGGUAAUGGCAGGAGAGGGUGGGAUAAUAAAGCAUCUGGAACUAUUAGAUUUGGUGAAGGCCCUUCAGCAAGAAGUGUGUGGCAAGCAUCAAAGGAUGAAGCUACACUUGAAGCUAUUAGAGUAGCCGGCGAGGAUGGUGCAGUCCCUCGUCCGACCCGAGUGGCUGUUGCCCCUGAAGCUGAAGCCAUGGGAGAUGAUGAAAACGAAGGGCAGGAACGUGACCCGAUAUGGGCUUCAUGGAGUAAUGCAAUGCACUCACUCCGGGUUGGUGACAUUGAUGCUGCUUACGCAGAAGUCCUCUGUGCCGGUGACCAGCACUUGAUCAUCAAGCUGAUGGACAGGACGGGACCUUCUCUUGACCAGAUGUCAAAUGAGAUUGCAAAUGAAGCUUUAAACUUCAUCGCUCAGUUUUUACUGGAUCAUAAUCUCUACGACAUUUGCUUAUCUUGGAGUCAACAGGUACAUCUCUUAAGUACAUUGGUUGGGUUCCAAAGCAUCAUACCUAUGUUUCGUCUUUAACCUCUCUUUCUCUCUCUUUUUUUUUUUUUUUGCCAUUUGCAGCUGUUGGAACUGGUUUUACAAGACGGUGCAGACACGUUUGGAGUUCCAGUGGAACUGAAGACAGAGAUCUUGUACAACUUACAAGACGCGUGUUCGACGAUGGAUCCACCUGAAGACUGGGAAGGUCCUGCGCCGGAACAGCUCGUGGUGCAGUUGGCAUCAGUUUGGGAAAUCGAUCUCCAACAGUUUGACAAGUAAACAUGAGCUUGUGAUCAGAGCUUUAACUUGAGUACUGUUGUUGUUUAUAAUUUUAGUACAGACAUGAUUCGACAUCUAGAGUUUGAUUUUUCUUAUUAAAAUCCCCUAAAAGAUGACUGGAAUUGAUCAAAUAUUGCUUUGUAUUUGAGUUUAACAAUAUUUUGUUAUUCUUCCUUUUCCUUAAUUGAAAAAACCAGAACUUUGAAGAACAAAUAAUUAAAUAAGAUGAGGGAAAGUGGGAAAUAAGAACAAACAAGUUUCCACCGUAUGUUUCUUAGUAAUUUUAGUUUAUUUAUAUAUGAAUUACUUUAAAAAAUAUCAUUAACAAAUCCCUAAUGUUUAUAAAGAUUUAUUAAAUAAAGUUUUGGCCAGAUAAAAUUAAUUAAUUUAAAAUAGCUCUGUGGAAGCUUGGUGGGCCCAUAACCACAUAUUUUCUUUUUUCUUUUUCUUCUUCUCUCUCGCACCAAUUUUGUGAAAUCGAAUUAGAAUUGUUUUCGAGUUGGGGAAAAGAUCGAGCAAAGAUCACUCUGAAUCAAUCGAUUAGCUAUUAUGGGAGUUGAUAAAGGAAAAGGUUUAUCGGAAAACGUCUCAAGUUCCGGUGAUUUCUUCUUUCGUGCUGGUCCGUCCUUGACCCGUGAUAGUGCCAUGACUCCAAGUAGCUCGCAUGGUUAGUUCGCUAAUCUUUUUUGAAAUCGAUUGAUUUUGUAAUAGACGGAUGAUUCCAACUAGUUCGUGUGGUUGGUUCUUGUAUUGCUAGGGUUUCCGGGUUCUUGUAGAUUGGUGUUUUGAGUAUAUGUUUUUCUAGUAUUGGCUUAGACUGUUGCUUGCUUGCUUUGUGAUCCUUCUUUUGGUACAAACUCUCUCUGUCAUUCUUUAAUAGAAUUGUCAAGUACAUGCUAACAAGUUUACUUUCUUCUUCUUCUUUUUCUUCUUGUUUUAUCACAGUUCCCUUUCUCAGCACACGAUAUCCAUUGCGCAUGCCGCUGCGUUACGGAUGUGCAUUGUUCGGAUGCUCAUUGCCGGUGCCCACUUCAGAAAAAAGAUACUGUUGCGAGAGUCAUGAGAUCAUGGCUACUCAAAUGGAUGCCAUGUCCGGUGCGUGCAUUUUCUUCGAUGGUUUGAAGACUGUGGACGUGAGCCUAUGUACUGCAUUGCUGCACAGAACAAGGGGUGGAACAGGUGUAGGAGUUCCAACAUCUCCUGAAGUAUCUUCGCUGUUCUCCCAUGGGAGCUCGGCCCUGAAUUCCACCUGCAGCCUCUCCCUGGCGAAGCAUGUAGGAGCUGGGCGUUCUUCUGUAAAGACCCUCCCAAAAAGAUAUACCCUACAAUGGGUGAGACUUCAUUUUCCUGGAAAAUGAAGGAAUACUUUGAUAUAAUGGUUGAUACAGCUGAAGUGUCUGUUGUCAGACACUCCCUCACUGCCACUGCAUCUUCAAAAGCUCGAGUGAAACAGGGCGACUGGGGACUUCUCCGAUACUCCCACAUGGGUGUCUACCUGUUUUGCCUGACUCUAAAUGCAUCCAGAUCAACUCUUACGCGAACUGCAGCAGCAAAGGAGGGCAGUGGAUUACAGGUUAUGUUUGAUAGUUUUGUUUCUUCUUUACUGAACAUUGGUAAAAGGAAACGUAAAGAGCGAAUUGCCUUGAUGUCUGGCAAGCGAUGGGGCUCUUUGAAGAUCACUGAGGGGUCCAAAAACUCUGCAGAGUCUAAGUCUGGAGUCGAGAUGUUUAAGGAAAUAAGGGACUAUAUUGUGAAACUAGGGUCGGAGGCGCUCACUGAAGAUUUGGAAAUAGAAGUGAGGUACAAAAUUCAAGCACUCUCAGCAGAUGCAGUUGCGUGGUUUGAUCAGAAUGAGGCUGCAGACUUAGAUGAUUGGAGGGCAAAAGCCAAUGAGUUCGAGACAGCUUUGCAUGAACUCAAGAGGGCAUGAAUCAAUGUCGGUGUAAGUGAAUAUAAACUGUAGGUGUAGGCAGAACCAUAAAUAGUAGGAGUAGUAAAACCAAUCAGGGUGUUUCACGUUGGUUACUGCAAUUUUUUUUGUUUAGAGACCAGAUUGUGGUUAUUUUUUUUUUAGGCCAGCCCAUUAUUCAUUUCAUUUGGAACGCUUUGAACAUAAUGAUGUUUUGACGCUUUAAUCAACUUGGGAAUUGGGAUCUUGAUCAAAUGGUUUCAGUUUUCCAAAUUUUUUCCAUCUCACUCUGUUUUGUUGUGUAGACAAAUAUGCAUAUAUGGCUUUGGCAAACAAAAUUUCUAAACUCCAACCCGUUUGUAAAAUAAAUAAGAAAAAUGAUGAAAUUAGAGAGGCUGUGAGAAGGGAUAAUAAACAGCGGUUUAGUCUCAUAAAUGAGAAUGGAGAGCUCUUCAUUGACGCUUACCGGCUGAGUCAGAAAAGUUACUUAAACCAAUACUGUCACCAGAAGAAGCUCCACUGUGUGUACAUGGAACUUAAAGGAAGAAUUUGGAAUCCAUCUUAGCAUCGGGCUUAAAGCGCAUGAGUAGAAUGCAUGUUCACUUCUCUUGUGGCUUACGAACAGAUGGUGAAGUGAUUAGUGGCAUGAGAAGGAAUGUAAAUUUUAUAAUCUUCCUCGACAUCAAGAAAGAUCUUGAAGAUGGGAUUGCGUUCUAAAUUUCAGACAACAAAGUGAUUUUGACUGAAGGCAUUGAUGGUGUAGUAUCCGUCGAUUACUUCCAGAAGAUCGAGAGUCUUGGCCUGAUCGGCAAUCCAUACCUUUGUGAUUCAUAUAAUUCAACAUCACCAUUUUAAAUGUAGAAAAAGGAAUUCUCUUCUCACAAACGCAGGGAUUCUCUUCUCCGACAGGUAACAACACAAUGCUCUGUUAUUAACUCACCAAUUCCUGCAACUCUUUUUCUUACGGCUUUUCCCGAAACUUUUUUGCAAAAUUCUUUUUAAAGAUGGUUCCUUUUGGGGCUACCGGUGGAUUUUUCAAAUUCAAAUAAAGUUUUAGAGAUGAGGUUAAGUUUAGUUACAAAGAGUUUUAAUUUCAUUCUUUGUAUUCUCUAUUGGUAAAGUUGUUAUUUCUUCAAGACAGAAAUUGUAGUUUUUGUACUAUGGACAAACGUAUAAUCUCUACAGACAAAAUCAAUCAUCGUGCCUCUGAUGAACGGGUGCGAUUAGAAGAUCGUGAAGGUGUGACUGAAGAUAAUUGUCUUGGAGCUAUUAGGAAGCUAGAGGUAUAUGAGUUGUGUAUUUCUCAGCUAAUGUAUAGUUAUUAUUAGAAUUUGAAUACAUUAGCUAAUGUAUAGUUAUAACUAGACUUUCUGUUAUCUGCAUCUCUUCUUUAUACCUUUCAUCCCCGUCUAUUUCCUUACGUUUUAAGAUAAGCAUGAUCUAGAUGCGAUGAAGUUAUGCAUAGGUGGUGUUUGUGUGUGAAACAAUGUUUAUAGUUAAAGUUAGCCCUGAUGUCCAAACAAGUGAUUAGCAGUCACUAGUUAACCAUGGUGCAAAGAACUCUACCAAAACAAAUCCAUUAGAAUUAAGAAACUGCAACAAGGAACAAAUUAAGAACACUAAUACAGUUUCACUGAUUUCCGACCGUCCGAUUGAUGUUGAGAUUGGUAGUGCAGAUGACAUUGAAGAGAGAAUCUCCGGAAUCUGUGAGGCAUUGCAGGGGACGAAGAAAGCUCUGAGAGAAUCAGAGAGCUGAAACUUGUCGAGGAAGAAGAAGAGAACCUGCGGUUCUUUUGCUACAAAAUGAAGUCAUUCCCACAAUGACACACGAACCCUUUUCCGGGCGAAUCCAAAUACUUGAAAUUUGGGCAUUGUUGGGCCUUAGGAAGCCCAAACUUGUUUAUAAAGCUUCUGUUAUUUACAUUCUGCAACGUCGUUUCUUAGACUCCUACUACCAAAAAAAAAUCGUCUCUGGUUCUCUUUCUUUGUUAACAAACCCAUCGAAAGAAUUGAUCAAUGGAAUGAAACUUUAUUCCUCUUCUUCCUCUAAACUCUUUGGUCAAUUCCUUCUUCUUUCAAUUCGAUUGUGUGCUAAGAUCCAUCUUGGGGUAUAAUCAGAAUCUUGUUGCCCCGGAUCUGGACUGGCAUCAUCAUCGACAUCCUUCUCUUUCUUCAAUUCGGUAAGAGUUCUUCGAGCAGACUCUAGAUUCGGUUUAAACCAAUUGUUUUUUUGUUGUCGUGUUCUUGCUCUCAAUUUCUGGGUAACCAAGUUUGAGCUUAUUCCUUUUGAUUCUGCUCGGAUCUCUGAUUCUUUUAGGUGAGAUUCCUAUACAUGUCAAUUACAGCUUUUUUUUUUAACAUUUCUCAAUUUUCUUGAGUUGGUAACGUUUUCGAGAUUUUGUUGAUUAGUGCAAGACGACAAGUGAUGAAAAGACAGAGACAAAGGCUUCAAGUUUGUUGAUAACCCUGUCUAAAGAGUUACCUUGAGAGAUUCUGACAUAACAGGAAAAAAAGUUAAAAUACUCAACACUUGCUUGGAAUUUAAAACCCUUAAAAUAGUUUUUUAGUGAUUUGGUUUUGAAAAUUUUCUAUUUCUUUUGCAGGUCAUAAGAAGAAAAGACUUUAUUAGUCUGUCUCUAUGGAUACAGAUCUGAUCAGCAGUCUACCCGAUGAUGUUCUUGGCAAAAUCCUGUCUUUAGUUCCGACAAAGCUUGCUGCUGCAACGUCGGUUCUGUCCAAGAGGUGGAGGAAUCUGCUUCCUCUUGUAGAUAGCCUCGAUUUUGAUGAAUCCAUGCUUUUUUAUCCCGACAACAAAGACGGAGAAGACGAAGCAUCUAGUGACGAGAGUGGUCUACGUCGACGUCAUCGCUUCUCUCAUUUCGUGGACAAAACGCUUGCUCUGUUAAACAAUGCUCCGCUUAUCAAGAAAUUCUCUCUGAAAUGCUUUUAUGAAAAUGAUGAAGCUCGUAUCAACAGUUGGAUUCGCACCGCUCUAGAACGUGGCUGCUUGGAGCUAAAAUUAGAGGCAGCCAAUUAUCUAUGUAUAGAUUCUCAGUAUUUCACUAGCAACACACUGGUUAAACUCACCAUUUCCGAUGGAUUUUAUCCUGAAGGCCAUCUUCCUUUUGGGGGUGUGUUUUUCCCUGCGCUCAAAACACUUACUCUCGUUGAAGUUUCGUUUGCAAGUCGUGACAUGCUUGAAUUCUUCAUCCAUGGAUGCCCUGCGCUUGAGGAAUUAUUCCUAUGCGUUUGGAUGCAAUACUUGUCAAGUCCAAAUGUCAAGCGAGUUACCAUCACUAGUGAUUUUGAUGAUAAUGUUUACCAACUUCCUAGCAUUAGGAUUAAGACACCGAGUCUUAUGUACCUUGACUACUCGAGUUAUGUCGCGGGAGAUUAUUAUGUUGUUUUGGAUUCGCUAGUCGAAGCUAGACUGGAUCUUCGAUUAUAUGAGUCAAUCAUCUAUGAUGAUGAUGGUUCAUUGUGGAAUGAAGAAGUUUUUGGCAAUGUUACGAAUCUGAUUGAGGGGAUCAGAACCAUUAAGAGCCUUCACUUGUCUCCUAAUUCUCUAGAGGUCAGUUUUGCUACUUCUUCUCUUGAGCCCUCACAUGCAGGAGAGAGCCAGUCUAGUGCUAGCUAGCAAGGUCUAUAACUUAUUAGUAAUAUGGCUUAUAUAUAUAUAUAUAUAUAUCAGGUGUUUUACUUUUGUUGUGAUUCGGAUUUCAUGCCGGUGUUGGAAGAUCUCGUUAAUUUAGCUAUCGAAAGUGACAAGGAAAAAGGCUGGGAAGUAAUGCCAAGCCUGCUCAACAAGUCCCCAAAUCUACAAACUUUAGUCAUCAAGGUAUUAUCAUCUUUUGAAGAAAACACACAUAAUUCUUUUCUUUGCUGUCAUUGUACAUGUCAAAUGGUGGUGUGGUUUCAGGGUCUUGUGCACAGAGUUACAGAUUGUUGUGGAGACGCGUGCGCUUGCAUCCGUAUGAAGGACAGGGAGAUAGUAUCCUGUUUGUCGAGGUGUCGAGUGAAGGUGCUUGAGAUUCUUGGGUACGGAGGAAGUUUUAGAGAGCUGAAACAGAUGAGGCAUUUCUUGGGGAAGUUGAGAUGUCUUGAAACUGUGAAAGUUGGCGUUAAAGAGGACAGCAAAAAGAGUAACUACUUGGUAGCUAAUGUAAUGGCUCUCCCCAGAGUUUCAUCAAAAUGCAAAAUUCAGUUCAUCUGAUUUUUCCCUCUUUCUCUUUCUCUCUCGUGGUUAUGCAUUUGUUUUAUAGUUUAAAGUUUAGAAAUUUGUUUUUGCAAAAGCAUAUAUGCAUUCUUUUCAAAAUUUCGUUUAAAAAAGAUGAUCUAGAGAAACAGUAAUUAUGAUAGUUCAAGCUGCGUUUAACAGUGAGAAUAAAAUAGAAGGACAAUGAUGAAGAAAUGUCAAAAAAAAAAAAAAGAAAAUAAAAGAUUCGGAUAUAUCAGAACCAGGUUUCGAUCCUGGGACCUGUGGGUUAUGGGCCCACCACGCUUCCGCUGCGCCACUCUGAUGUUUUGAUUACCUUGAAAGUAAAAACUAUAAAUAUAUUUCGUAUUCUCAAAUUCCAAUUCUUUUCUCGAACAUUAUGUUCCCCCAACCGGAAGAGAAAUUCAAAGAUCUGAAAACAGUGAAAGAUGCGACGACGACCAGGAAUCGGAGGAUUGCAAAAGGCCGCAGCUGCUAGGGUUUCACUCCUAAACCCAAUUUCAUAUUUUUCUCUCGAUUCUAAGUUGAUUUUUGCGCUUUUUAACUCCUUAUCUAUCUAUCAAAAACAGGAUCAGUACAGGUUACUAGGAGAAAAUGUAGCCAAGUUACGCACUGAUAUGAUGAAAGAACAGCUCGCCACGUUCCGUUCCCAGCUUGAAGAGUUUGCUCGUAAACACAAGGUCGUUAUUUGCUCUUGUUAUGUCAUCGUCUUGAUUUCGUAUUAAGAACUUGUAGUUCAUGUUGGAAUUGAUAAAAUUUGUGGUAAUUUUGUCUUUGGUUGCAGAAUGACAUUCGUAAGAAUCCAGCCUUCAGGGCUCAAUUCCAUGAAAUGUGUUCUAACAUUGGUGUGGAUCCUCUUGCUUCCAACAAGGGUUUCUGGGCUGAGCUCCUUGGAAUUGGUGACUUCUACUAUGAACUUGGUAUGUUUCCUCUCCUUUCUAGCGCCACUGAAGAAGAUGCUUCUUCUUUUUGGUUAGCUAUGAUUCAUAAGUCCAUGUCUGGAUAAGGGAAAUAGAAAUCUCGUGUAUGGAAAAUGGCAUAUGUGUGUAGUUAUCUUUUUUUUGGUUAGCUAUGAUUCAUAAGUUCUUAAAUUAAUCAAACAGGAGUUCAGAUUAUUGAGGUUUGCAUGCUUACAAGGUCACACAAUGGAGGUUUGAUCAGCUUGCAAGAGCUCUGCAACCAUCUUCGUCAAAGAAGGAAGAAGGAUCGUGAAGCUGUGACUGAAGAUGAUUGUCUUCGAGCUAUUAGCAAGCUAAAGGUAUCUAUCUAUCUGAGUUGUGUUUUUCUUUUUCUUUUAGAUUUUUGAUAAACUGGAAAUAUUUGAACUGUUCUUGCUGGUAUCUUGGGAUUUUCUCCUCAGGUACUGGGUAGUGGAUUUGAGGUUAUCACAAUUGGGAAGAAAAAGCUUGUCCGUUCAGUACCCACGGAGUUGAACAAAGACCAUAACCAGAUCUUGGAGUUGGCUCAGGUUAUAAUCAUAAUGAUACAUAUUUCCCCAAACGAAAACAACUUUUACAUGUUUUACAUUAUAUCUUAGAAGUUCUACCUGAAGUGACUCAAGGAUUUCUGUUGCUUUCCACACAGGGCCAAGGCUUUGUGAUUGUGGAAGAGGUACAAAGACGCCUCUCAUGGACAUCUGGUCGGGUUAUAGAUGCUCUCGAAACUUUGUUAGAAGUAUGCAUUUGCAUUUCAUUUCCCCAAUUGGAUUAUGUGCUUUGAUACUUAUAUUAUACUGAUAGAUGCAAUGCAAUCUAUGAGAGUCCUGAAACCUUGCAAUAUUAUAAUUCAUUUUCAGGAGGGCCUUGCGAUGAUCGACAACGGCCAUAAAGACGGAAAGUGUCGGUACUGGUUUCCCUGUGUUUCUUCUGUUUACUCAUCCAUCGGAUCUGAUACUUAACCUGGUACAUGCUCUGUUUUUUUUUACUUGUUUUAUAUUAAAUACAGUCACACUUUAUUACAUACUGUAUAAAUUAUGAAGAAAUCUCUUCAUUAUAUUACUUAAAUUUUCUUGUACAUUUAUCAAGAAUUGUUUAUUUCAUAGACCACCUUGUAAAAAAAUUAUUUAUGCUUGGUCGUUGGAGAUCUCGGUUUCUUCUGUCCAGUCAGAGUUUGGUUCACUCCAUGACCUAGGUCUCACCCCAAGCUGGAAAUAAAACACCAUCUCCAAUGCCUCAAAGACCUUACUCUCAUCCAAAACACUGUUCCAUGCCCCACUCACGAUGCAGUAAUUGUUGUUAUACGGUGCUCGAUGAUGUUCUGCGUGCUGUCUCCGUGAAACAAGCAACCCCAUGUCCUGCAACGCCACCACGAGAGGUGGAAGCUUGCUCUUGGUUCCAUGUGCCCAAGCAUGGAAUUGCUGGCUAAACAUUAUGCAAAAUGCAAAUGUGCACACAAAGCCGUGAAAGACAGGGUCGUUAAAUGCAAGGUCUAGUGGGAGAACUGUAAAGGUUAUGACUUGAGCCAGAGCGUGUAGAUUGUUGGCAAAUUGCCGUCUGGUGAUUGUCCAAGGCCACUUGUGGUGACCCUGAAAUGCUUCGAUUUGGCUUCCUACUACUGGUGUUGACUCAUCACCGUAGUUAUCAAUGGCCCAGUGGUAGACACCAGAACCUAGAUCAGCUAAGAUGUACCCUGCACAACCGGCUAAAGCUGGUUCGAGCCAGAGAUGAGAAUCAAACCCUCCAAUGACAGAUUUAGCUAAAGAGACAAACAAAGUGGUGCAGCCUGCUGCAACCCAUAACCGGUGGGUCCAUGUUGAUUUCAAAGUUGGGUCGUUGGACAGAGGAGGACUCGCAAGACGUUGCUCAACCACAAGCUUCUCACGGUUAGGCUGAGGCUUGGACGAUUGCAGAGUGUGGUUGUUGGACAGAGGAGGUUUCACAAUGUGUUGCUCUACCACAAGCUUCUCACGAUUUGGCUGAGGCUUGAUGGUAGUAACAGAGCAGGUGACACGUACACGGAGAAGCGACGGACGGUAGCUUGUUGGGAUGUUGGUGAUGGGUCUUAGAGGGUACUUGGUUUGAAGUGAUACAGCCAUUGAGAGAGAUUGCAGGUGAAAGAAUUCAAAUUUUCUAGUUUUCUCGAAGCUAUAACCACAGGAUAUGAUAGAGGACGAGAUUACGCAUAAGUUAUGUUGUGGUGUACGUUAGUGUUGCGUGGGGCUAUUCUGAUCGCUAGCACAUUACCAAGUUGGUUAUACCAACUGUCAAACUUAUUUGAAAUUUGGAUUCUUAGUUUCUAAAAGUUACAAACUAAAACCCAACAUUUCAAAAAUGUUCUGUUAGCCCCCCAACCCAAAAAAUAAUUUUAGUUCGGUUUCUCAAAAUCAGUUAUUCUGGUUUAGUUUCGAAUUCGAUUCAGAUUGGUAUAUUCGGAUUGUGUUUGUCUUAUUCAAAAUUUUAUAUGCGAAACUGGAAUAUGUUAGAACGUUUGACCAACAAAAAUGGUAUGAUGUGGAGAUUUAAAAUAACUUGACUUCACAUCGUUACAUGAAUCUGGAAAGUAGACAAAAUAAAUAAAUAAAAUACGUUAAGAAAAGAAACUCAUGGACGAUCGCAAAAUCGAGACUUGCGAAUUCGACACGGAAACGAGACAGUAACCGACUCAAGGGCGUUAACAAUGGCUGCUUCAUCGUCUCCGUGCGUCUUCUUCACCACUACCUUACUGCUGCUUCUCUCUAUUUCAUCCGUGAAAUUACCAUUUCACCCUCGGGACCUGCUUCCGCUUUUGCCCAGGCAAGUCUCGUGGCCGGUUCUUAAUUCUCUCAACACAGCCGUCGAUCUCCUCCCUACUUUCAUCGGCUCCGCUUCUGUUAAAAACGACGCCGUGGAGUGGAAAGGUGCUUGCUUUUAUGAGAACAAAGCUUGGUUAGAGCUCAAUAACAAGUCCGGUUCCGAAUUCGGCGGCGGCACACUUCACAUUAAGGUUACGAAAUGAUGAAUUGGAGCUCUAAAAUCUUUGCUUUUCAUGUUCUGGGUUUGAUUUUGAGCGAAUACGUUUGAGGUUUUUGUUCAUGGGUUUGUUUAUGUUCUCACGCUGUUAGAUUUUAGAUAUUAGACUUCUGAGCUCCUGAAAAAUUUCGGAGAACAUUUGAAAAUUAUAGGCUUAAGAGUUACAUUUACUCUUUACCUUGGAUGUUUCUAUGGAAGCUCACAGAUUUUAGAUUAUUCCAUUGUUAGUUACUACCUUUUCUAUAUGAUCCUGGGAAGCUGUUUUUCGAAUGAUGAAUCCUAAAUUGAUCCAGUUAUUACGUGUUUUGUGCAGGUCGAUAAGGCACAUAGUUGGACUUGCAUGGAUAUUUAUGUCUUUGUCACUCCAUAUCGUGUGACAUGGGAUUGGUACUUUGUUUCGAGGGAGCACACUAUGGAAUUCAAGGAGUGGGAGGGUAAAGCCGAGUAUGAAUAUGUAAGCUGCUCUUCUUCCGUUGUUAUCUUUUUUUUUUUCAUUUUUCUGUUAAUAUAGCUAAUGGAUUUUUUUUUUUUUGCCUUUCUGGCUCACGUUUGAUCAGGUUAAGCAGAAAGGAGUUUCAAUAUUCCUCAUGGAAGCAGGGAUGUUGGGAACUCUUCGAGCGCUGUGGGAUGUCUUCCCUCUAUUUACCAAUACCGGUUGGGGGGAGAACUCUAAUAUCGCGUUUCUUAAGAAUCAUAUGGGUGCUAAUUUCUAUGCUCGUCCUAAACCUUGGGUUACAAAUAUUACUACCGAUGAAAUUCACUCUGGAGACUUACUAGCUAUCUCCAAAAUCCGUGGGCGGUGGGGUGGUUUUGAGACCCUUGAGAAGUGGGUAAGUGGAGCCUAUGCUGGUCACACUGCUGUCUGUUUGAGGGAUUCUGAAGGGAAACUCUGGGUUGGUGAAUCCGGGAAUGAAAAUGAAAAGGUAAAACUUAAAUUUCUGGAUGAAUUAGUUUUAAAUUAUACGUGGGUUCUAUUAAUGAUGGUAUAGCCAUUGAGUACUAGUUCUUGUUCUGGGUAUCAUUAGAUGAUUAUCUCUGCUAAGAACAAACUAAACUGAUUUUGUUGAACAUCAUCGAAAUGCUUGAUUAGUAACAUUUUAUAUAGUUUCUCGGAACUUGAUAUGACAUGUUCAUAUAAAACCAGUGACUUCUUUCCAAGCCAGUCUUGUGGAAACUGAUUCUUUUAAUGAAACUGCAUUUUCCUUCCUAUUUUUUAUGCAUCUCAUGGUUUUUUUUGCUGUCUUCUCCUUUGAACCUUUGGGUCAUAGGGAGAAGAUGUAAUAGCGAUAUUGCCAUGGGAAGAGUGGUGGGAGUUUGAACAAACCAAGGAUGACUCAAAUCCCCACAUUGCAUUGCUACCGUUGCAUCCUGAUUAUCGAGCCAAGUUUAAUGUUACAGCUGCAUGGGAAUAUGCUCGUAGCAUGGAUGGCAAACCAUAUGGCUAUCACAACUUGAUCUUUAGCUGGAUCGAUACCAUCAGCGGAAAUUACCCACCUCCUCUGGAUGCUCACCUUGUAGGUUUUCAUUUCUCAGAAUUUUGGCAUUGAUGAAUCUCUUUCUUCUUCUUUCUUUAAACAGCUUCUAUCAGUUAGGUUAUGGGUGACGUUGUGAUUGUUUUUUUCCAGGUUGCUUCUGUUAUGACAGUUUGGAGCAAAAUCCAGCCUGAUUAUGCUGCUAACAUGUGGAAUGAAGCCCUUAACAAGCGACUCGGAACAGAGGUAUUAGCAUUUUGUUCAUUCAUUUCACUUUUUCAUAAUGCUUGAUCAAACAUUUUACUCUUAUCUUUCGAGUUCUAUGGAUUAAAAUAAGUAGAAGCUUUUAGAGUAGCAUUGGCUCUUGGCACACGGUACCAUAUGCUUUCUAUUGUUUUUUUUCUCUCUUUUCCGUCAGUAAAUUGGUCAUUGAUUUCUUCUCUUUAGUUCUUUUGCUGAGAUUUGCCAAAAUGGCAGGGUCUUGAUCUUCCUGAUGUACUGGUGGAAGUCGAAAAGCGUGGAUCCUCUUUUGAUGAGUUGCUGGCAGUUCCGGAACAAGAUGAUUGGAUAUAUAGUGAUGGGAAAUCAACUUCUUGUAUCGCUUUUAUCCUCGAAAUGUACAAAGAAGCUGGGCUUUUCGAUCCAAUCUCUAGUUCCAUUCAAGUCACGGAAUUCACGGUGAGAACCAACCUGUACACACCCAAGAAGAUAUACACCCAUACAAAACACAUACACACACUGACCAGUAAAAUUACUUUUUACAGAUCAAAGAUGCUUACAUGCUCAAGUUUUUCGAGAAUAAUGCAAGCCGUUUUCCCAAAUGGUGCAAUGACAAUGAUGAUGUGAAGCUUCCGUACUGUCAAAUACUUGGGAAAUACAGGAUGGAACUUCCCGGUUACAACACAAUGGAGCCAUACCCGCAUAUGAACGAGCACUGCCCGUCUCUGCCUCCAAAAUACCACAGACCAAAGAACUGCUAGAACCGAAAAAUCAAUUGUAUUGUCUGUUUGUUAGGAAUGACUUAGUGUUAUAUGCACGAAUUAAAUUAAAAAGGUCAGUGUCUUUAAAUAGACAAAAAAAAACCUUUGGUAAGAUUCUGUAUAUUUUUGUAUAUAUAAAUCACAGACAUAUCUUCCAUGGUCUGUCUCUUUUGCGGAGAAAUUUCCCGAAAGUAAUCUAGGUCGGAAAUUUGGCUGCGGCGAGAUACCCUGAUUUAUGUGGACUCUGACUCAUAUAACAUUUCUCAUUGAUACAACAAAAAUCAACUUUGUUUCACGUGAAUGAAUCAAUAACUCAUGUCAUUGAUAUAACAAAAUUGUUUGAUCUGGAUGAUACAAUCCUGCAAUACAAUGACUAGUGUCUAGGUCUCAACUAAACUUCUUUCCCAUUCGAAUACAUGUGACAUGUCAAAACUUUUACGAGGCAACAUCUGUUGAGAUUCCCAUGGCGUUUCUCCAAGCAUAUCAGAGAAUAUCAGCAAAAGGUGUUGGCACGCAUGGAGUUCAUUGAUCUUAUCCAGAUCUGUGGCUUGUUCUGAUGAAAGAUCCCUCCACGCUUGAUAAUAUGACCUGUGGAGAAGGAUUCAGGUCAAGCUUUGGAGUGAUAAACAAUGCAAAGCUUUGGAAUGAUGAACAAUAGCGGAAUCGUUUACCAUCUCCAGCCCGGAAUAGCCUCAGGAGGACUACUAAUUUUAGAACACAAAGAUUUUAUGAGCUUGUAAUCGCCAUCGGACUCUAAAAAGAAGAAAGAAAAUUUUUAGCUUCAGACUCUAGAUGUGAUGGCAGAACAAGAUGCAGCUUAAAACACCUAAGAACAAGCCUGAAUAAUUCUAUAGUUUCAACAGAUCAUUUUUUUUAUCUCUAACCAGAUGAAAAUUCACGCAGAAAGCUUGAUUCCAAUAUCAAAACCCAAAGCUAAUCUAGUCAAGAGCUCAAUUCUCAAUCAAAGCCACGUAAUCCGGAGAACAAGAGUUUUGUAUGUCAGUGAAAAGCAGCAUACCUCCAGUCCCGAGGUCAUUGUGAAGAAGCAUGAGAGAAAGUGCAAAUACAACAGAGGGAAGAAGAACCCUGUAGUUUGUACACAGGAGCUGUUGGAGGUGUACAAUUACUUCCCCUAUUAUGUGCUCUGAAUUUUUCAUGCUGUCUUCGAGAUUUCUUUUCUUAAAGUAUCCUAACAAUGUCAGCAAAGUUUCUGGUUUUGUUUUACUUAAGACUGUCUGGUCAAAAUCACUAGCUUUAGAAUAAAGCUUCCCAAGAAUAACUGAAGCCGACAGCCAGCGUAGAAACUUUGCUACCAAAGUCUCCUCUUGUGGAUCUUCGGUGAGUAUUUUAGUAUCUUGAUGAGACUCAAUAGGUUUAGAUCCCUUUUUAAGGUCACUCUUUAGUGCUGUGGAGGUUCCCCACAAAAGAAACCUUCUCAGCUUGUCCACGUCCUGAAAAGAUAUCAUAUGAUACAAACACUUUAAGCUCUUCAAAACAAAAUUGGAGGGAUGCUCAAUAGUCAGAGAAAGGGAGAGAGAUACCAUGCAUAUUAUGUCAACUGGCGGGGUGCUCAUUAAUAUAGUAAUAAGCCCACUCUCUGCACUAGCUUCGACUUGAGGAGAACCAAAAUUAGCAACACCCUCAAAGAGUUGGAAUAUUCCCUCGAUUGUGAUGGUGAAAUGUGGCUGGUACAUUUUUCGUUUCUGUGAAAUCUUUAGAGUAGCAGAUAGUAUCUGCAAAAUUAAAUCAACUGAAGUACCAUUUGCUUGUACUGAUACCAAGCCACCACCUAAAAGUUUGUAUAAACGCGAUGAGAUUUCCAUUAGCCCUUCGAGGCCAAAUCGUUGCAACCACUCUGUAAUGUUUCUGGAGGCGAGAACAUCAGUUAUGAUCUGAUACAACAAUAUCACAAAGUAAGUCAAUUAACGAAUACACUAUUCUACAUAAGGACUCUUGAUGCAAAACAGACAACAAUCCUGGUUAACCAUUGAGAAAUUUGAUUCAAUUUUGCAUUCAUCAUCAUAUUUAUAAAACAGAAUCUAUAUUCUUAAACAGAGUGCACACUUGUCCAUGACUAAAUUAAUAGCAUUAAUGGAUAUACUGUACAUACCUCCAAGACAACUACCAAGUGCAGAUCUUUGUCUCCAAUCGGCUUUGUAGUAAAAUUUGAGAUAAACGAUGAACACCAUGAAAACAGACCACAGUUUUCAACUAGAUGUCGGGCCAUCUUAUGGAAUUUGACUGACUUUCUCACAACCUGAAAAGUGAAAGAAAGACAGUUUAUGUCGCGUUGAAUUAAGAGCUUGAAGGUUUACAGAAGAUACCCCAUAGUUUACAGACCAAAUAAAUACAUUCUCAGCAUUAACCUUAUAUUGAUAUUGAAUAAGGAACUGCAUAUAAGUGCAAAAUAAACACUAAAUGACAUAAAGGAAAGAAAGUAUCACCUGAAGGAUUAGUCUUUUAGUUUCAUCAUCAGCAAGAGGAGAUGAGGAAAAACUAAUCACUGUCUCAAGGAUGGAGUUUUUAAUGUAAAUUUGAACAUCAUCAUCUGAUUUCAAGCCCAGACACACUAGGCGUAGUUCCCAAAACCUCUGCGAUCUAAAGUUAACAGCGCUGCUCCAGAAAAAAUCAUGAAACAAAGGUAUUCCCUAACAAAGAGAAAAAUCAAAAGUCGUUUGAAUGCUGGCAUAGUGUAAAGGAUAAAGACAAAAGUUUACAGUUUUCAGAGAAUAAGUACCCUCAGUUUCAGUGUAGAUGAACUCUGCAAAAGUUUAUUUAUGGGAACAUAAUGUUCGUGAGAAGGAUCCAACAAUAUCAGAGAUGUCUCAGCAGCAAAAAUAGCAGAAACAGUUGGGAUUCUUUGCCAUGGUUCCUCAACUCCAUUUUGUACAUACAUUAGCAGAAGCCUAAGCCCUGUUACAUGCUUGUUCUUCCUACAAUUCUACAUCAAAAUGUUCUAGUUAAACAAAGAAAUUUUCACUGGUGUGUUCAGAACCAAUUUAACUUUGGAAUAAUCGAGAACAAAUCUGACCAUUAAACCUCUGCAAAACCAAUUACUUAACGAAAAGAAAAGCAUUGGUAGGAUUAGGACCCAAAACUCCCAACAAAAUUAAUACUUCUGCUAUGUAGCAGUUGAAAAUUAAUAUCUUUUCCCAUCUUUUUGUAGAAUUUAAGUUACUGAAAGUACCAUUCACAAAAUAACUAUUACCUCAAGGGCAUCCAGAAAUAUUUGAAGAGUUUCAUAACCCAAUUUUCUCAUCCCAAGAUCUGCUGAAGACAUGCUCACAAAUGCAACUGCAAGCAAGCCUAAGCUGGCGAAUUCCACAGGUUCAAUGUAACCCACGGACAAUGAGUCUAUCGAGAAGUGCAGGAUGAAAGCCGGAUCAUAUCGUUCAAUGUCCUCAAUAACAGGUGAGCAUUUCUACACAGGGAGGAGGGAUUAAUUUGAUAGAUGUUUAAAAAUGCAAGUAUACGAACUUUUAACUGAAAAUUAAAACUAAAGACGGGUACCUCGUUUAUUGGAUCAUCAUAUAGGUAAAAAUUGUCCGAUUUCUCUGUAGUCCGUUGAUAAGGAAAAAACAAAACAGUUGAAGCACAGAUUUUGGGAUCAACACAAAGAUUCUCUUUAAAAAGACUCUGCUGGACAUCUUCCACUAACUCAGCUUGACCAACAUUAGAUGCAUCCUGUUUGAAACGCAGUCCCUCUCUUAAUUUCAAGGCAGCUUUACCCCACAAAUCUGUUUCAGAAACAUUUAGUGUCUGUUCGGCAUCAAUCAACUUGAUAUCAUGCAUCAGCUUGUAGAUCUCCAAGUCGAUUUCGCUCAGAGUUGCACCAUAAGAACACAAAAGAAAAAAAUGCAGUUCUUUGAGAUUGAUGCCUGGAUCUUUUCCACAUUUGAAGAGCAGCACUCUGAGAAUUUUGACAAUUUCUAACUGCUUCGCAUAGUUAGGUGCUUCGAGACAACACCUUUUAACACCGACAGAAUUCGGACUUGAGAUGAUAAGAUGAUUUAGGAUGCUGGAGACAGGCCUGAAUAAUUCACCAGUAUGUGAGGAUGAUAUGGAGAGAGAACUGAUAGUUGGUGUAAACUGAGAGUGAGAUAUUAAGAGUUGGAUAUAUGGUGCAUAUGAGUACUUCCCUCUACACAAUAAAGAGAAAAUUUCUCUCAGUAUCUUCAGUGUCUUCGAGUCCUCAAAUCUAUACAGAAGCACUGAUUUCAUCAAUCUCUCCAGGAAGGGAAGGGAAUCCAACUGAACGAGCUCCUCACACAUGUUUUCCAAAAACUGUAGAAUACUUCUCAAAAUGAAGUUUUCAAGGCUUUUGCACAAGGACCAACAUUUGUCCUGUUUUCCUUCAGAAUUCCCUUUGAAAGAUCCAUCAGAUUUCUUGACAACACAUUGCCAACUAUUAACUAAAGCAUCUAGCAACGGGUUUGAUAAAAUCGCUCUAUUGGAUCCAAUUUUUGAAGAACUUUUCUUCACACAAGUACCUGCUGCACGUUUAACUUGACACAAACUGCUAUCCUCAGGAAACAAGCAAAUCCUUGAAAGUGUUACUUUUGCAACCACACGGAUAGCAACAUUUAACAUUUGGUCUACUGACUGAACGUCCACUUCCUUUAUCUCGUAAUCCAACAUCUCCUUGCCAGUACUAGUGUGAGGAAACAUGGAAUCAAAUACCUUAAAGAGAUCAUCUUCUUUAGUUGGACUUUCAGUCAAGGAAAAGUGGUACUGAAACAUACGUACUGCCUUCCCAAUAAGACUCGCAUUAAACAUAGUGUCCAUAUCCUCAGUCGUUGACAGAAGAAUCUCUUCAUACUUCUCUUCAAAGAUGCACCUAGACAAAAACCUCGGCCACUGAAGAAAACCAUUUAUUAGUAUAUUUGAAUAAACUGAAGUUAUAUCCAAACAUCUAUUAAACGGCUUCUCGAGUUUUGCAAAAACUGAUGUCAGAUACGAUAGCACAGCAGGCAGGAGCAUGAUAAACUGAUCAUCUGUAAGCGCAGAGACAUCCUGUUUCUUACUUAGCAUGCUAAAGAAAAAGUUUCCAAAGACUAACAGAUGCAAGGGACUGGACUCCACAAGGUAGAACAAUAUCUUGGCUCUGGUUAUGCUUGCCCGGUUAAUGCAAUGGAUAAUCAAGUCUUCAGGGGUUCUUCCAACAAUCAGUGAAAUUUUCAAAACCAACGGGUGAACACUAUAAUUUUGAUUAUGUUUCCCCCUGAAAAUACCACCACAAACUUUAAGCAAACAAAUAUCUGCCGAAUCCAAAUCAAGAGAGGUAGAAAACUUGCAUGCCAUGCUAUAUACUUUCUCAAUGAUGUUACUGGCAUAAUUCUUUUCUUCUAAUUCCCACAGCAAAUCAUAUACCCCUCUCUUAGCAGUCGGCUGGUGUGAAUAUAAUACAAGCAUUUCAAAAGCUCCACCUGCAAUACCCAAUCCCAAACUGAGAAGAAUACUUGAAUUUGGGCUUGCCAACCCUCCCUCAUCAAUUUUACUCAGCAUGGAAUGAGCAAUAAUAAAAAGUUUAAAAGGUGAUAUAAAUCUUAACAAAGCAUGAAUCAAUUGUGAUGGUUGGAGAAGAGAAGCGUAACUUUGAGAACAACCACAAAGCUCAAACUUGACCCUAAAUUCCAAGAGAAGCCUUUCAACCAAGUCCUUAAACGCUAUAAUUGACUUAUUUUCCCUGAGGUCCUCUUUCCACAGAUUGUGUUUCUCAUCAAGCAAAAAGUGCUCACAAGUAGAAACCAAAAGAUCAAGGAUGUGUUGAUCUAUUUCACUAUAUACUAGCCUGCCCGUUGUCAGCGAUGUUUCUGAAAAAAUCUCAACAUUCUGCACUGGAGGUAAUGUGCCACAAUCCAAGGGACUCUCUAACAGUGCCAUCACAACUGGGUGGCAAAGAACUGUCAGGGCCACUUGAUGCUUCCACUUUGCAAAAGAAGCAAACAACUUAUUUGAAGAGGAUCCAGAAACAAGCUCCGGUUCUGAUAUUUGAGAGAACAAGUUCUUCAUGAGAUGUAAGCAGAUCUCAGAGAGUUGAUGGAGUACUGGAGCUGGUUGAACCUUGUAAGAUGAUCGUAUUUGGAAGAGCCAGAACAUUAUUAAUUGGAUAUUUGAGUCAAUACUACCACUUUUAGGCUGCGAAACUUUUAGCAGGAGUAGCUCUGAUAUUCUUGGAAACUCUGGUAAGCAAGAUAUAUCCAUGCUCAUAAUUGCGUUAAGUAAUACAGGAAAAGGAGCCUGCUCUAAGAACAUAGAGAAGGCAGAAGAUUCAAUAUCACAAUUGUUCAUCUUACUUCUGAUUUCUUCAGUUACGGACGAGUGGCCAGAAAAAUCAAUCUCACUAUCUACUGUUGCUUCACACAGAUUCCUUGACCCAGUAAAUUCUGAACCUGGAGCAAACAAGUCAGGCGAUAGUUUUGAAAGGUUUCCAAGGAAAUUUUCCUCUAGAAAGGUGAUGGACUGUAAAAAUGAGAAUGGUGUUCCAUAAAAGGCCCAAGAAACAUCCAUCACAGGAGCAAAAUUUUGCAAGAUCGAUUCAGGUGUUGCACAUAUCAAUGCAGAAGAAAACGCUUUAACUAUUCCUGCAAUUUCAUCCGGAGAAAUGCUUCUAACUAGUCUUUUGAUCUCAUCAAGAGUCUCUGUAAAAGUACUAUCAGUAGGAAGACCCGUUGUCCUUCUGGAAUGCAAGAUGAUAGGUUUUUCGUUUGACAAGGAUUGUGAGAAACGAAGCAACCUUCUCAAUGGCCUCCAUUCACAUAAAGAAUCCUUAGAUCCAUCAACCACAUCAGAUAAAACUGACUGGAUCAAACAUGAGAGUAAUUUGGAAUCUACCUACAAUAUUGAAUUUAUAGGAAAGAUAUUGGUAUCUUAAGCGGUGUAAACUAGAAUAUAAACCAUAUUGCAUGGUAAAGGUUAAAUACAUACACCUGCGUUUGCAAAGAUAUUUUACCUGAGUUUGCAAAAGAUAUUUCAGUGUGCUGCAGACGUACAGAGAUAUUGCUGACUUCUCCGGUAAAGACGUUUUAGAUUCAGAAUUUAGUAGCCUCACACACUUCUGUAGUAGACAAAUAAUUAGGGGGCUAAAACCAAUUGAUACACCUGCAACCAACGCAGAGAAGAUACACACAAGUCAAAAAAUACUUCUAGGUCUAUAACAAGUAACUAGGAUAAAACUUGCAUGAGAUUAAUUGAAUCGUGUUUGAUAAUCAACAAGUUUUCAUCAAUUCUAUACCAAACCAUUGAUCUCGGGGGCAAAAAUACAUAUACCUUUUAAAUGGGACAAGCUACUUCUGACAAUGUCCCAGUGCUUGAAUAAAUUAUUUCCAACAGUCGAAACUGCAUCACAUAAAAAGGAGAUGACAACUGAUGACAUGCUCUGUACAGCCUCCUGAACCUCAUGAGGUAGUUUAAUCUUUUCAAAACAUGGUAGAAACAAGAACCAUGCACCAAUUUCACUUGGAUUGUUUUCAAAUGCACCGGUACUGUUCAUAGCUGCCACUGCUAAAUUGUACGCUAGAUCCUUCACCCCGUUGUGUGGUGAAGAAAGUAACAAAUUCAUGAACACACGCAAAUGCUUGUGCAUAAGUGGUGGAAUUCUUGUAGGACCUCUGUCACUUUGAGACUUUGGCGUCCAACUGAUGUACUCAUUUAGCAAAGACAAGAGAGCUCUCUGCAAUUCAACUGGCAAACCUGAAGAAUUGCUCAGAAAUUUCAUGAAGACAUCAAACGAUCCUUCAAGCUCAUUAGGUACAGCACGCUGCAAAGAUGAAACAUGUAGCUUAAAACCAGAACUCAUCAAGUACAGAUGAGGAACGUUUAAGCCACCAAUAAUGCAUAGAUAUCUUUACAUUAAUAAAUAAACUAUAACAAAGUGACACAAGAAAGAGACAUUUGACCAGAACUGGAUAAGCAACGUAUGAAUAUUUCCAGUUCUCUAGCUGUCAACUGGACAAACCACUACAACUCAAAAAUCAAACUUCAAUUGGUAUACAUUACAAAGACUUCAAAACUAAUAUUUGACAAGGAGAAUUUUAAAGGACAGUGCAAAACAAUAGACAUCCUGUCACUGGCUAUAUAUCAUUAUAGCUAGAGGAUUUUAAACUAAUAACUUUUCUGUAAAGGUUCGGCUUUUUCAUUUUUCAACAACACAAACAAAAAUAAUGAUAAGAAAAAUCAACGUACCACAUAAAUCUUGAGGGCAUCCAGAAGCUUUAUGUGAAAACACAUCUCUGCUUCUUCGACCGAAUCAAUAGGCUUAGAACAAAGCUCUGAAACCCAAAUUUCUGAAACAAUCCCAAGAUAUUCUUUUUCAGCAUCUUCCUGAUCUGUCAUAUGAGCAUCCAUAUUAUCCUCUGCCAAAAAGAUAUCUUUAUCAGAACCUACCCCACCAAUGACAAUAUCACCAGCCUCUUCUUCCAAAACAUCCUUCUCAGAUCGCUUAAAGCGUUUUUUUCUGCCUACUAAUCCACUAUCCAACUCUGCUUCUCUCUUCAAUGACAGCUUUUGAGUUCCACUAGAACCGUCCAAAGACUUCAGUACAAUCAAUAAGACCUGGGAAUCUGGAAAAAAGCUGCUCACUUCACCCAUGACGUUCCGCUCAACAGAGCAUCUAUGAGAUGAACAAAGGUUCCAAGCAGUAACAAAAGAAUCCAACAGCCUCAGCGUCUCCAAGAGAAAUCUCAAGGUCCCAUGUUUCACAAGAAAAUCAGAAUGGAGCAUUCCUUUAGUGAUCAGUGACCGGCUAAAUGGUCGGGGGCAUAUGCAUUUCAUGAUAGUCUGAACAUCCGAACCACCAGAAGGAAGUGUAGCACGUUGAUCUGGAUUGAGAAAGUCAAAAGAACAUGAAGUUCUUACUGACGAUACCAAAUUUGCUGCCACGGAAAUAGAAGAAAACCUGCAAUGACUUCAGUUACUAUGCAAAAAGAAUGACAAAACAGCAAAAAUUGCGUAGUAAAAUAAAAGAUAUAUACACUUUCGUGCUCUGAAGAAGACUAACCAGGAUGGUGAUGCAAAAUCUUCCACAUUGUAUGGAAACUCGUCCAAGAAAGCUGAAGCUAAAGACGGUCUACCCCUAACAAUGGCUAGAAGCAAAUCCCUGUGAUAACCAAUUUCUGCUGCUCUCAACCUCUUCAUGAGCAUUAGUAGUCUGUCUGAAUUGCCUCUCAAAUUUCUCUUUGCAUCUGGCAUCAAUCCAUUACAGGGGUCUGUGCAAACUUUAACAAGAACAUCAUGGGCCAACUCAUUCACAAUCCCACCAUCCUCUCUUGCUGAAAUGCUGGCUAGCUGCUCUAGCGUCGCACUUCCAAAAAGAACACUCCUUAGACCAGGAGAAAUCAAUGAUUCUUCAACAAGGAUCUUAUCCUUUAACGUAGACAAGACAGAAGCCACAGUGUCUUCAUCGUCUUUCCCAAGGCCCCGCAGGACUUUCGAAUACAUUUCUUUCUGCUGCAAAACUGAUCUUAGCAAUCCAGGCUUCCCAACUUCAAGGAAUGAUAUUGCAAACCCAACAAAGGCCUUCCUUGUUGAAUGUUUCUUAACCUUUUCAGUCCCUCGCGUUUUAUACUCUGCUAGUUUUGCAAAACUCUUAAAAUCAAACUUCUUAGCUAUUUCUGAUGCCAUGCCUGGACCACGUCUAACAAUCGAAGCUAACAAUGAAAGUGCAGCAGACUGUUGUUUUCCCUCUUUUCUGUUCAAUUCUUUGUAAAUGUCAUCCAGUUUAUCUUCAAUAAGUAACCUACCAAACUGGUCUAUAGCUCUUCCUAUAUCAGUUGAUCUAUCUUUUCCAUCUGGAUGACUCAAAAUCGUCUGGAUAAGCGAGAAUAUGUAGGACAGUCCUUGUUUUUCAUGUCGAAGCUUCCAUGCCUCCAGAAGCUCAGCAAAGUUGGGUGAGCUCUGGAAAUAAAGACGCAACAAAUCGCCACCAGUUUCUCCCUUGAGUAACUUAACAAAUUCUUUUGCAGCAUCAGAACAUAGCUUAAUCUCAUGUAAGCAAAUCUUAUGCAACAAUUCUCUAAGUUUAGCUUCGUGGGAUGGUCUGAAAGCCAUCACUGGGAUAUUUUCCACCUCAACAUCUCUAUUCCCUCCGUCCACCAUCAUUCCUGAUAUAUCAAACAAAUUAUUCAAUCAGAGAGUAAAAACUACUUCUCCACCAGCCCACACUGUUCAAGAGAAUUAAAGCUACUCAAAGACAAAAACUUUACAGGGAAAUACAAACAAGAGAUACAAGUCUUCAAUAUAAUUGACUCAAAGAUCCCAACAAGUAACAGUUUUUACUACUUUUCCGCAAUUUCCAAUGGUUAGUUUUUUUUUUUUUGGUUGGAAAAAAUCAAACAGAUAUUGCUAAACGAGUCUGCACAUGUCAAGCUCUUAUCGUACCUUGAUCUUCCAAGUCUGAUAUUGAUUCCGCCAUUAAAAGAACACUACAGAGAGUUCUUCUCUCUUCCCGGGGUUUUAGGGUUUAACAGGACAAAACAUUUCGGCGACGCUGAGAUGUUUUGAAAUUAGGCAUCUCAAUCCCAAACCGAUCCCGAUCGGUCCGAAUCGAUUAGACUUUACUUAACCGGGUUGUUCCAGUGCUCUUAUAAUGGGCCGAGCCCAAGCCUUUUUUAUUGGGCCAUGAGAGGUUCAUAUCACAAGCAACUUUUGACUAUAAAAAGGAAACAGAGACAGGAAAUCUUUCUCUCCCUCUUUUGCCCUUUCGUCCUCGAGCUCAUCCCUUAAAUUGCAUCGGCGACAUUCGUCCCUUCUGCUAGGUUAUCGUCGUCAUGAUGCAGCAGCCACCUCCAGCUUCUAACGGUUCUGCCGCUGGGUCAGGUCAGAUUCCUUCUGACCAACAAGCUUAUCACCAGCAGCAGCAGUCGUGGAUGAUGCAGCACCAGCAGCAACAGCAAGGUCAGCCGCCUGCAGGAUGGAAUCAGCAGUCUGCACCGUCUCCUGGUCAACCUCAGCAGCAGCAAUAUGGUGGUGGUGGUGGAUCUCAGAAUCCAGGAUCAGCUGGUGAGAUCCGGUCGCUGUGGAUCGGUGACUUGCAGCCAUGGAUGGAGGAGAACUAUCUCAUGAACAUCUUUUCUCUUACUGGCGAUGUAAUUUUUAAAAUCCUGUUAAUUCGUUGCUCCGAGUUUUUGUUUUAAUCUCUUGUUUUUCUGUUAAAUGUAUUGAAAGUUUCAUCCUUUAUGGUUGCAGGCUACAUCAGCUAAAGUUAUCCGCAAUAAACAGAGCGGAUAUUCAGAAGGUUAUGGGUUUAUUGAGUUUGUGAACCAUGCUACAGCUGAGAGGAUUUUACAGGCUUACAAUGGUACUACAAUGCCCAGCAGUGACCAGGCCUUCAGGUUGAACUGGGCUCAGCUUGGAGCUGGAGAGAGACGCCAGGCUGAAGGGCCUGAGCACACGGUUUUUGUUGGAGACUUGGCGCCUGAUGUUACCGACCACAUGCUUACUGAAACGUUUAAGGCUGUGUAUUCCUCUGUCAAGGGAGCUAAAGUUGUGACAGAUAGGACUACUGGACGGUCCAAAGGAUAUGGAUUUGUCAGGUUUGGGGAUGAAAGUGAGCAGAUUCGUGCCAUGACUGAAAUGAAUGGUCAAUACUGCUCAUCAAGGCCUAUGCGUACUGGUCCAGCUGCCAACAAGAAGCCUCUUACAAUGCAACCAGGUAUGUUUUGAUAUUAAGGAGCCUGAUAUCUGAUCACUUAUGAAUAUGUUUAGUGGUGAUAUGACUCACAUUGUCCUUAACUUUCUAUGCUAGUUGAUUGUCUUUUCUUUGGGUUAUUCUUUACCACUAUCUUUCUGGUUAGUGAAGCUUUUUCUGUUAGUUGGUGCUCUAAGAUUAAGAGAAUGUGUCUACCCUUUUCUUCCGCUUCUUGCCUUUCAGCUCUUCAAAGAAUUUAAUAUCGCAAAACAUCCUAAAACUUAUAAGAAAAAACUCAUGUUGUCUUAAAGCAGGAGAACAAGGGGCUCUCUUUGGGGGGGGCCUGGAACUGACUUCAGCUGAAAAUGAUUCCACCUUAUUGCGUGGCCUCAUUUAGGUCAGUUGGUUAUGUUUUCAGAAGAAGUUAAUUACAAAGCUUUUACUCCAUUCGCAAAUUAUUUUCCAGUUCCUUACUUAUCAAGCAUAAGUCUUUCCUUUUAAUUUUAAGCCCUACCUUUAAGUUAAUUCUUUUCAUGUUACAGAGUUCAUUACUCCAUUUGCUUUUUAUUCCAGUUUGAAUCCUUAAAGAGUGUUUUGUUAUCUUUUUCAUACCUCUCAAUUCAUCUUUUUCCAGUAAAUAGUGCUGCAAUUUUUUUCCUUCUUUCAGUUACAUUGCGCCUCUAAAUUUAUACUUGCAACCCUUUUUAGUGUUACUUUUCUUCUUUCCUGAAAAGUUGAUUACAAUGGUAAGGCAGUCAGACUUUCGCAGGAAUUUAGGUUACUUGAUACCCUAGAGAAUUUUAGUCCCAUUCUCUAAUUUCUCAAAGUUGGAUCGUGCAGGCACUUUCCCCUAAUACAUCUUUAAUGAUUUUUGUAUCAAUUAUCAACUAAUUUCAGAAUCACUCUUCUAGUUGUAUCAUAUAUAUGUCAUUUGCUUAUAUGCUGAUAUUUUUGGGUCUUGAUUUGGAUAAGUUCUGCAACUGCUAUUGUUGUGUUACUUGUGUAUGUGUGUUUGCUUUAGUGUCUGUUUCCUUGCACUGUCAGCUGGAUUAUAAGUAAAUAGAUGUUUGAGUUUUUUUUCCUUACUGUCUCUUGACUGCUUUCUUGCAGCUUCAUAUCAGAACACUCAAGGAAACCAAGGAGAAAGUGAUCCAACUAACACAACAGUGAGUACUUUGUUUUGGUUUCCCUAAGCCUUUUUUUUUUGACAUCGCCUAAGGCUUUUCUAUGUGGGGUAUAUUGUUGAAUUUAAGCAUUAUGUUUCCUAUUCCAGAUUUUUGUUGGAGCUUUGGAUCAAAGUGUAAUAGAAGAUGAUUUGAAGUCAGUUUUUGGUCAAUUUGGUGAACUAGUUCAUGUGAAAAUACCAGCAGGAAAACGUUGCGGAUUUGUUCAAUACGCCAAUAGGUAGUGUGAAUUUGGAGACGAACUUCAUCAUAUUUUGAGAAUGGUUUUUCACAUAUUUUAUAUGUCUGUGUGCUUCAGGGCAUGUGCAGAGCAAGCCCUCUCCUUGUUGAACGGAACACAACUGGGUGGACAAAGCAUUCGUCUUUCAUGGGGUCGCAGUCCUUCCAACAAGCAGGUUUGUAUCUGUUAGACAAGGCACCAAGCUUACUAUGCUCUCAGAUACGUUAUGUGAUCUGAUGACUUGAUCCAUGGAUUUCACAGACUCAACCUGAUCAAGCCCAGUAUGGUGGUGGUGGUGGUGGAGGAUACUAUGGGUAUCCUCCUCAGGGAUAUGAAGCAUACGGAUAUGCACCUCCUCCUCAGGACCCUAACGCCUACUACGGUGGUUAUGCUGGGGGCGGCUAUGGAAACUACCAGCAGCCUGGUGGCUACCAGCAGCAACAGCAGGUAAUUCUUUGGUUUUUAUCUGAAAAUCUUCAAAUGAAAAGUAUCCAUGACAUGCUAAAUGUUAUUUGCGAGCUUACUGAUUCUUGUUUAUCCGAAUUUGCAGUGAAGCAUGAUGUGUAAGUCGUGAUCGACCUGAAGUUAUAGAAAGCUGUCACCGUUUGAAAAUGGUGAAUGAAUGAAUUAUUGAAGUGGAUGUGUAUUAGCUCUUCUCGUCUCAGAUUCUCUCUUGAACUCUUUUUUCUUUUGGAUUAUUUUUUCGUUCGCGUGGCUAUUGUUGAGUGUCCUUGCAAGUCAUAACAAGAGGCUUAACCAAAGUGCUUUUUGUCAUUUGACUUGACCAUUAUGUUUUCUUCCUACUCUUGCUGUAACAUUUCUUAUUGUAUCACCACCCUUUGACUACUUUUAACACUCAAAUUAUUCAGUACUACUAGCUACUACCCUCAUAAAUUUUCAAUAAUACUCAUUUGGUGAUUCUAUUUAUAAUUUUACAAUGAUAAUUGAUUUUAGUAAUUGUGUGUGUUUGCUUUAAGCUUUAAACUGUAAAUAUAAUAUUUUUAGUGCUAAACGUAACAGUUUGUAUUGAGAGCAAUGGAGUUUUUAGUCUCAAGUCUAUUGUCAAAGACUGGAAAAAUCGACGUGGGCCGUGUUAUACCAAAUAAGGGCCCAUCAAGCCUCUGGAGAAGAAAAAAAAGAGAGGAGAGAUUUGCUGUUACCGGUUCCCUCGUAUUUCUAGAUCUGUUCUUUCAUUUUCUUCACCUUUUAAUUUUUUUUUUUCUAAGUAGGAUGAUAUAAAUUUAGCUCCGAAUAGACCGUGAUUUGAUAGAAACUUCUAGAGAUUUGAAUUCUUUUCAGAGAAAAUCGAACAUUGAAAGGUCGUCAAAAAAAGGAUGGGAAACGCAAGGAAAGUGGAAGACGACGACAACAACAACUCUUCAUCAUCAUCAUCAUCGCUGUUAAUAGCAGCAACCAUGUGCAUAAUCGGAUUGCAAGUUCAUGUUCACGUCAAGGAUGGUUCCGUCUUUUCUGGGAUUUUCUUCACCGCUUCCGUCGACAACGGCUUUGGUAAAUCUUUCAUUCAGUUUCUGUUUCGUCGAUCAUUAUGUUUCGAAUUGAUUUCAUAUGUUUUGCGUGAUUAUGUUUUCCUAUCGGAAUGUGUUACCUGUUAGAGAUCUGAAUGGAAUCUUUUACUAUUGAAUCCUCCUAGGUUUUGUUAAUUUCAAUUCAAAUAGACAGUUUAAAACAGAUCAAGGACAUGUACAUUUUUUGUAUAGUUUCUUAAUAUGUCUGUGUAUUUAUCGGUGUUAUUUCAUAUUAUUAUGUGAUACAGGCAUUGUUUUGAAGAAUGCAAGAAUUACUAAGAAGGGGACAAGUAAAUCCAAUGUAGCAAGCGGGACUGUGGUCGAUACACUUGUUAUUCUGUCUUCCAAUAUUGUUCAAAUUGUUGCGGAAGUGCGUUCUUUUGUCCGUAAUUUACUUACUUCUCUCUUAGAGGUUCAUUUGUAACAAUCUGUGUGACAUGCUUCUGGAUUUGUUUUCAUAGGGAGUCUCGCUUCCAUCGAAUGUUAGAACAUGCAAUAAUGAGGUCGGAUCAGCCACAGAAACAUUACCUUCUGAGCCUCGUUUAUGUGCUGCAAAUGUUUCCACUCAAGGAAGGGGAUAUAAUCAUAAGAGGUAAAUUACUUUUAGAAAUUUCUGAAACAGAAACUAAACUACUGGUGAAGGGGUUAUGGGUUUGAAAGCACCAGAUGAUAAUUGGGAUAAUCUCUUAAACUUCCGAAAACAGGAUUACUUACAAUUUAUCUGAAAAAAUGAAGUAAAUAUGUUAACAGAAUCCUGAUUUCCAUAUUGAUAUUUUCAUUCUGUUACCAAUUUUCUAUUUCCAUGUCAAUCUUAGAAAUCUAGUUUAGCAUCUGCAUCAAACAUAUCAAUACUGGCACAAAGCACUUACUAUCUUGGGCAUACCAAUUAAACUUUGCCUAGAUAAAUUUAUUCAUUUUCUCUGAUUCUUGUAUGCUUUUGUUGACAGGCAGGCUGGAGCCAAGAUUUUGAAGCCUAGUGUACAAAUUCCAGACAUUCAUCAAGAGGAUAAUGUUAGUCUUGUAGAAAGAUAGUUCAUUUGUUUAUUUCGGUUAUUGCUUAGCAGCUGCUUACUUGUUAGUUUCCUAUUGCAGAUUGAUAUCCAAAGCUCAAGUUCUAGCUGUGAGUUCAUUGUCCCUGGAAUUGUUUGUUUUUUUAUCUUUGUUAUAACUAUGGUAUACUUGUUUCUUCUUCAUUUUGAUGGUGAAUUGUUUUCUAACAUGCUUAUCCUCAACUUUCAUUCAUGUGAAAUAACAAACAUCCAGUGGAUAGCAUAUCCGAACGAGUUAAACCCAUAGAAGAAGAUAACUUGAUGCCGGAACCUUUUAGUAAUGGUUUUCACGAUGCUUCUGAAAGGCCCUCUUCAACUGACAAUUCAUCAUCACAAAGUACAACUUUUGAUGACACCUCGGAAUUGUGUCGGGGUAGAAUGGCAUCUUCAACUGCAUCAGUACCUAUCCAGGCCGUCAAAAAGGCUAAGGUAAUUCCUAAGUACAGUUUAGAUUGAUUGUAGGGUCCUAAAUAUUUGUUAUCCAUUCUUUCUCUUAUAUUCAAACUAGGCGUGUUCAUUGGAAUCGUUGUUAUGUUGUCAAUCAGUCUGAGUGUUUACAUUACUUUAUCUGUUACUCAAUUACCAAGUUUCUAUUUCUAAAACUUCUACCACAUACAGGAGUUCAAGCUGAAUCCAGAGGCAAAGAUUUUUUCUCCGUCUUAUACAAAAAGGCUUUCACCGUCUCCAGUUGCUGUGCCUGAUGUUGGAAAUAUUGCUUAUAUACCAAGCAACACUCCCAUGCUACCAGUUCCUGAAGCUAUUUACCCAGGAGUUGGAAACAAUGCUUAUGUGCCGCAAGCACCUCCACCUUCUAAGUUUGUACCAUAUGGUAAUUUGACUGCUGGACAUGCUGUCAGCGGAUUUCAAUUUCCUCAACACGUAAGUAUUAUCUUUUCAAUAUCGUCCCUGCCUAUCUUACACUCUUCAGGCAUGUUAUGUCAAAGGGCUUUUAUCACCUAGUAAUUGAGGAUACUGUUUCUCUCACCAGUAAGCGCUUGCAUGGUUAACAACCAUAAAUGUUAGUAUUGAAGACCAGAUUGAUCAUUUUGAAUUGAUAUGACUUAGUUUGUAGUGUUAAAAUGCUUCCAUUUACUUUCUACCACCAACUUUUGUUUCUUUUGCCAUCGAUGAAUCAUACUUCCAUUUGCAACCCAUUUUCUUGCAGAUGAUUGGACCUACCGUUAACAGGGCACAGCCUCAGAGAUUCACCUCUCAGUACCAUUCUGUUCAAACUGCACCGAUGCUUGUAAAUCCAAGUCCUCAGGUUAUAUUUCAUGGAGGUUCCCAAAACUUACUUUUGUUAAAAGCGCAGUUGUAAGAAAAUUUGCUCUGUAUUGAGCUAUAUUGGUGUAAUUGUUUCUAAAGACUCUUUUUACUGUCCUACAGGUGAUGGUUGCAAGAUCGGGGCAGCUUGUAUAUGUCCAAUCAGUUUCUCAGGUUAGAACUUGAUGUAUAUAGUUUCUUGAUUAUUUGUUUCUAUUUUAAAAUAUAUGCAAUUUGGUGAACCUUUAAUGAUGUUAUAUUAAUCGAAUGUAUGUCCUGUAUUGCUGAGUGAAAGAAGAAAUAUUAUUACGCAGUCAAUUGGUUUAAGUUUGGUCGAAAAUCUCCUCUUAUUCAUAUCUUUAUAGUCAUUUUUAGUAAUCGUCUUUCUUAUUUUUCCAGGAUCUGGUUCAAGGAACACCGCCUCUCUCACCUAUGCUCUCUCGUCCUCUACCUACUGCACAACAUGUCCAAUACCUGAAGCAUCACGGUAAAUACUUGAGUCUACCUUGAUUUGCCUUUUUGGGCCAAACCAAAAGGGUGGGUCGUAACUAGAAUGAAUUAUUCUGUGAUGCAGGUGUAGUAGCAGCUGGCCAGCUGCUACCGCUAUGUGUCUCCCAACCGUUCACGACUGGUGGACCGCAACCUUAUGGCAUUCCCACCCAAUUCCCGGUUAUGGAGCAGCCUCCUUUUCCCACAAAUCAGCCAAUGACAUUUGCAGUUGCUAAUGGUUUCUACACAAAGUUUCCAUAAACAAAGUCUCAUUGUUUUUGGUUUAAAUACCUUUAUUCUUUACCUCUCCAACCUAAUAAGGGUUAAGAAGGUCCUAGUUUUUUCCUAUUUUUGGGUUUUGUAUUAUUUUGUUUUGGGUGUUUUGCUCUGUUUUGGCUUAUUAUAUUGGGGGGGUUUUCAUUGGUCUAUCGAUUUGAAUUGGGUAAAAACAGUUGUGGAAUGUGAAAACAAUAUGAUUCUUUGGAAAAGUAUAGCAGAUCACAUAUUGGUGAUCUCAAUAAAUUGCACUGGAAGAGAAAUUACGUCUAAAACAGAGCAAGACUAAUCAUGUAACAGUUACACGAGAGAGAGAGAGACAAAUGAAACAUUAGAGAGGGUACAUAACCGUAAAAAUUUGAUUUAGCCCAUAAAGCAACGUUAAGUCGGUUUAUUAUUUUAAUUUUGUUUUUGUUUCGGUUUCAGCUGACCAAAAAGUUCUCCGUCCGCAAAAUAUUCACCGAUUCGAAUCUCCGGCGAUCAGAAAUCUCGCGGUGAAAUUUGAUGGAAGAACAGCUGCCAAAAUCGCUCAAGAAUCUCGACUUGAAUAGGAAUCGUGGACCAAAGAAGAAGAUUCUUGUUUCAGCUUAUCUAUCCUCCUCACGUAAGCCUCUCUUUCGACGUUCUUUUCUCGAGCUGGGUUAAAAUUGAGAAUGGAUUUGCGGGUACUGAAUUUGGGGAUAAGCAUGGCUGGUGAUGUUUAGGAGUUGGAAUUUGACAAUGUUUUUACUGGUUUGCUUCAAUCGCAGGAAUAAUGUCUCCACUGAAAUCAAAACCUCCAUCUCUUGUGAGCUUAUGUCUUGGUGUUAUUGGGAAGCAUUUGGAGGAAAUGAUUCCUUGUUUAGCUGAUAUCUCUGUUAUAUUUCCUGCCGACAUCAAGGUUAAUUUGGUUUCAGUGUUUUCUUCUUUCAAGCUGUUUAGUACUAUCUUUUUUGCUAAUCGAAGGCAUAGUCAUGUGCAACAGAUGUCGAUUGCAGCAAUUGCUAGAAGAAAAAAGCUACUGGAUGAUGAUGUGAUUACCUCUUUGGCUGACAGUUCCUGGGAAAUUCUAGACGUUAGCGGUUCAGAUGUUACGAAUUCUGGCUUAGCUAAAGUGGCGGAAAUGUGCAAAUCUCUCCGAGCUGUGGACAUUAGGUAUUAUAGUUGCUUACUGAGAAUUCAGUUGACGUAUGAGUUGGGCUCUUGAUCUUUUGUGCUCGUAUCUCAUGGUAUGCAUGACUUUUAAUUGGUAGUACUGACUUAGCUGAGUAGCAUGAUGCUUUCUCUAUGUUUAUUCUUAAGUACCGUUGAUCGAAUUUCUGUAUAAUCUGUUUCCCUUGAGAUGGGAAGAAGAUAAGCUACCAACACAUGGGUUUCGUUCGAUUUUUGCAGGCUGGAAUGGUUAUUUUAUUUGUAGUUAUGGUCUUCCUGGUUCUUUAGUUAGGAGCUUCUCUAUGUUGUUUAAGUGGUGCUCGUUAGACCGUAAGUAUCAUAUAGUUUCCUUGUUUUGUUAUGCAGCCGGUGCAACAAAAUCUCAUCCAUGGGCGUCUUAGAGCUUGUACAACACUGCCGUUCAUUGGAGACUCUUAGAUGCGGGUAAAUUUUUCUUCUCCAGCUAACUGCAGUAAACUGGCCUUUUAUGUGUUGUUGUUGGGGUGGCUUGUCUGUUUAUUUAUGACUUAAUAAGUGAUCAUCUGGGUAAAAUAAGAUAUUGAACCCAUAGUGUGUGGGUUUGACUAGGGCUAACAAAGUUUUAAAAACAUGCAAUGAGAGAAAAUUUAAUUUUGCAGAGGAUGCCCAAGCAGUGAGUCCACCGCACGCAGAUCUUUGAGUUUUUUUAAGCCAAACUUGAGUAAUGGUGAAGGAGAAACAUGGGAAGAAAUAGACACUUCAGAGAUUGGCCAUGGUGGUCAAUCAUUGCGUUGGCUUGUUUGGGUAUGUAUCGUCCCUCUGACAGUCUGACUAAUAAGCUACCAGUAAACAAAAAGAAUCUACUUUCUCCACCUGUGUCUUUCGCCACUCAGUGUACUCAUUUAAUUUGCUUUUUCUGCAGCCACGAAUUGAUAAGGAUUCAUUGGAGAUGUUAUCCUUGGAGUGUCCAAGAAUAGUGGUAAAUCCCAAACCAUCACUUGUCGCGUACAGAGCAGACGAGGUUCCUCGAGAAGCACUACCAGAUGUUGCAGUGGACGAACCAUUUGUCAAAGAUAUUGAUCCUAAGACGUGGGUUGUAACUGGAGUUGUGCAGAAGCCCACAUCUUUCCUGUUAUGCAAUGAACUGCCAAUAGCAGAGAAGUUCAGACUAGCAUUUGCAGAGAGAGAUGCAAGAUUGGCCCCUAAACGUGCAAAGAAUGCAAGGCAACGUCAGCGUCGUGCUGAGAGGGAUUGGAUGAUGUCAAGCGACGAAGCCAAAGCAAUGGUUUUGGCAUCAAAGGCCACCAGAUCUUUGCACAAGAGUUAGCAAUAUGAAUUCUCUUCAUCAAAUAUAUGUCAAAGAAAAUAUAGGAGGAAGAUGAGUGGAUUUUCUUAUGAGGCAUGCCUCUUCUCUACUGUGGUCGAGUUGAAUUAGUUCACAGCAGUUUUUGGGAGGAAAAGUGAAUAGAAAAGAAAAGUGGCUGGUUACAGAAAAGUGUUUGUAACAGUUUAAUCUUGUUUCCAGAUCUUUCAAUUGGUGCUACAGUCAAAGAUACGUUAAACUGUUUAUAGAAUGAAGUGUGUAAUUUUGCAUUUUCUUAUAGCAACUCUUGCCGAUAAAGGUUUAGUGUAACCUGAAAGAAAAAAGAUGCUCACAAAACUUGCUUUAUUUGGAUCUUAACAUAAGAAGAAAACAGAAGGCGAGAAACACUCUGAGAUCACUUGGCGCUCAAACUCCGGAUGACGUAUGGUAGAAUACCGCCGUGAUCAUAGUAUGCCAAUUCGACCUGUGCAACGUUCCCAAGAAAACAAGUCUCAGAUCAAUUGAAAGUUUUGAUUUUACAGAUUUUGUUUGCUAUAUAACCAGUUUACCUCUGUAUCAAAACGCAGGGUGCAGACAAAGGAUUUGCCAGUGUCAGUGGUUACAGUGACGUCUUGACCGGGUCUAAUGUCACUGACUUUUGUAGGAAGGUGGACUGUGUAGCGUUCAUGACCGGUCAGUCCAAGGGUUUCCGCGUCCUCCCCGGACUUGAAACACAGAGGAAUGAUCCCCAUACCAGCCAGGUUGCUGCGGUGGAUUCUCUCAAAGCUCUUGGCAAUUACAGCUUUUACUCCCUAAUUUGUGCUUAACUGUUACGAUCACAAGACAUAACCAAAAUCUGACAACUGUUGUAAACAAUGUAAAACUUACCAAAAGCAAGGGGCCCUUUGCAGCCCAAUCGCGAGAGCUACCACUUCCAUACUCAGCACCAGCCAGGAUGAUCGUAUCCUGUUCAGCGGUCUUGUAUUUCUGAAAGCAUAUGUGAAUUGAGUUAGCGACUUAAAAAAGGAUCUAUAUAUAUAUAUAUAUAUAUAUAUGUUGAAGCUGUCUGACGAUUCUACUUACACUUGCUGCAUCAAAAACGCUAAGCUUCUCUCCAGUCGGAAUGUGAACAGUCUUGGGGCCAACUUCUCCUUUCAAGAGCUUGUUAACAAUACGGAUAUUGGCAAAUGUACCACGAGCCAUAACCUCGUCGUUUCCCCUUCGACUUCCAUAUGAGUUGAAGUCUUCUGGAAUCACACCACGGUCCAUUAGAAACUUUGCAGCAGGACUAGUUUUUUGAAUGUUUCCUGCUGGAGAGAUGUGGUCUGUUGUUACGCUGUCCCCAAAGUUCAACAAGCAGUAGGCAUCCUUCACUUGACGAGGACCAGGUGGAUUUGCGGUCAUAUUCUUGAAAUACGGAGGUUCAUGAAUGUACGUGGAGUUUGGAUCCCAAGAAUAUAACGUGGAACUCGGUGCAGAGAGUUCAUUCCACAAGGGGUUUCCCUCUGUUAUUGUUUCGUACGAGCUUUUGAACAUGCUUGGUAGCACGCUAUAUUGAACAACCUAUGGAAGAGUAUGAGGAAUUUUAGCAAGGAACAUUUAAAGGUGAAUAACUUAUCCUCUAAGCAUGUCACCAAUGUACCUGAGCAACUUCCUCAUUGCUUGGCCAUACGUCCCUCAGGUACACACUUUUGCCAUCUCUUCCGGUUCCUAUAGGCUCUUUCUCAAAAUCAAUGUCAACCUGUAUUCAUAGGAGAUCAAUAUAUAGAAACAAACUCGAGAUUGAUGAGACUACUUAGCGAAUAAAUACUCAAUCUUGUUGAUGAUGAACUAUGAUGCCAGACCAAUUAAGGAUAUCCAAAGGAGACAAACACAAACAUUUCAAAUUUGAACUGAAAGUUGAAAAGUACAAACCGUUCCAGCAAGGGCAUAAGCAACAACUAAUGGUGGUGACGCAAGAUAGUUAGCUCUUGUCUGUGGAUGAACACGACCUUCAAAGUUUCGGUUUCCAGACAGCACAGCAGCCGGGAUGAUAUCUGUGACACAGAGAAAGCACAAUGGAUCAGCCAAAAAGUGACCUUCAAUUUGACGAUGUAAGGCACUGAUUUAUCGGUGGAGAAACACAAUUGAUGAGGAUUCCAGGUGAAAUGGAAAUGAAAAUGGCAGAAGGAGAUGCUUAGAGAAACAAAAAAAAAACACGUUUUGACAAUUUUAUAGUAUGUUCGUAUUGAUGAGGAUGUUGUUACCAGUUCCUUCUAUAGCAGAUGCAACUUCUGGGUCAAGGUUUCCAGAAUUCCCAAUGCAUGUUGUGCAGCCGUAGCCGACAAUUUCGAAUCCUUGCUUGGUCAAGUACUCUCGGAGCCCACUGCAGAGAAGGUAAACGUUCAGUAUGGAUGUUCCAUGAUCAGAUAAGUUAUCCAGAUGGAAAUAGCGUUGACUCCAACACACCUUCGAUCCAAAUAUUUCUCGACAACUCUAGACCCUGGAGCAAGACUUGUCUUAACCCAUGGUUUUACCUGAAUUGAAAAGUCAACUACAGUCAAAACAGGAUUCAUAACCCAGUGAUCUCAGGGCAAAGAGAAAAGGUGGAAAACUCACCUCCAGGCCAAGAUCCGAAGCUUUUUUUGCAACGAGUGCUGCCCCGAUCAUGACACUAGGGUUUGACGUGUUUGUACAACUGGUAAUUGCCGCAAUAACAACACUACCAUGCUUGAUCUCAGCAGGUUGUCCGUUGUACGAGAACUUCACAACUUCUUCUUGUUUUUCUUUUGGCACUGCAAAACCCUUGAACAAAAAGCAAAGUCUUACCAAUUAUCCAAAAAAAAAAAGAAAUCAACGUCAUUGGUUGUUUUAUGAUUUUUGUUGUAACCACAUCUUGCAUCUCACCUUGAAUCCAACAGGAUUGUCAAGGCAUGCAUGCCAGUCAGCCUUCAUGUCUUUCAGAGGCACUCGGUCAUGAGGCCUAUUGAACAGAAAAUAUAGUAAUUAAUGAAACCUUAGGGAGGUACGGGCGAUGGAUCAGAACGUUCAAAAAAUAUCAAAACGAAGUGAAAGUAUACCUUUUAGGCCCAGAAAUACAUGGUUCAACAUGUCCCAAAUCCAACUGCAAAUAAGAUGUGUAUGCUCUUUCUUGCUGGGGCUGCAAUAAAGUCCCGAUAUUUGGAGUUAAGAAUCUUGUCGACAUAAUAAAAUACAGUAAACUGAUCAAGGAUGUCCAUACCUCGUUGUAGUCAACAAACAUAUUGUUUGCGCGUAAAUAUGAUUCUAUCAUUGACACCUAAAAUAAACCAAGUUGGCGAUCAUGUGAGUCACAGAAACCAGAGGAAACAGGAUAGAUGUUUAGGCAUAGGAUACAGAAAAAGUAAGCCACGUGAUAAUGCACACUGAAGAACAUAACAACCUAAGUCUACAGAUAGCUUGCUAAAAUGUUUUGAAACAGAUUAUGCAGCAAUAGUCAGCCGCAGCACACGUAAACCACAAGAACCAGAACUUGAAACUAAAAGCACAUUUUAUGCAUGAUGAUUCUACUUUACCAAAAAAGAAAGAAUGAAAAAGUAGAGAAAGUGGAGAGAGAGAAUUCACAGUUUCGUCGCUUCUUCCUGUCAACUUCAGGUAUUCCAGUGUAACAUGAUCCACUGGGAAGAAACCCAUAGUUGCUCCAUACUCGGGAGACAUAUUUGCAAUUGUGGCUCUAUCAGCCAGUGAAAGUUCACUCAUCCCCUCACCUUCAUAUCAAAAUAAAUAAGUUAAAACAUGGAUACUGACCAAAUAAUAGUCCAUCAGAAAUUCAAAGUUACGCAGCCAUGGUUCUCACCAUAAAAUUCAACAAACUUGCCGACAACACCAUGCUUCCUUAAUAUUUGGGUCACAGUGAGAACUAAAUCAGUAGCAGUAACCCCUUCCUUCAACUUUCCAUCCAACUUAAAUCCGACCACGCCAGGUAACACCAUGCUCAUGGGCUGACAUUGAAGUACCAUAUGACUAUAUGAGUGGCAAAACAAAUUUGACACUUACAAAUAAACAGUGAAGGUGUACAGACGAAAUGAGCUCACCUGACCAAGCAUUGCUGCCUCUGCCUCAAUUCCUCCAACACCCCACCCAGCGACUCCUAAUCCAUCAAUCAUGGUUGUGUGGGAGUCGGUUCCAACAACGCUAUCAGGGUAGAGAAAUCCAUUCGAGUUGAAAACAACACGUCCAAGGUAUUCCAAGUUGACCUGCAGUAUCAAAUAAUAACAAGCUAUCAUAACAGAACCCUUAGACAGCAUUAUGAGAUUCAUGCACCCUUGAAAAUCUAGUAGUCUACCAAACAGAUUAAACAGGCUAAUACUCUAAUCACACUUAUGUUUUAGAAAACCUGUUCAAAAUUUUCAACAAGGCAACCAGAAUUUACUGUCAUCACAUGUUAUACCCUAAUUAUACAUCUCUAGAUUAGAAUGAAAGUGUCAUCUUGUACCUGAUGGACAAUCCCAGACCCAGGAGGAACGACCAGCAUGUUUUGGAAGGCCGUUGAACCCCACUUAAGGAACGUAAAUCUUUCUUUGUUCCUUUUGAAUUCAAGCUCCAAAUUUUUCUGUGCGGCAUCUUCUGACCUUGCAAAGUCAACUUGGAUCGAGUGAUCAACGACAAGAUCCACAGGAACCUAGAUAUAUACAGGAAAAUAUGAGAACUGCAGGAUUAAACAUAUUACAGCCGCAAAGCAAUGAGAAACUUCACUAACCAAGGGGUUGAUCUUGCUAGGAUCACUACCAAGAUUCUUCACUGCAUCCCUCAUAGAAGCAAGAUCAACUAGAACUGGUACUCCAGUGAAGUCCUGGGCAAAAAUUACAAGUUAGGAUAGAGCUGAAUCAAUCGGUACCGGUCUUAGAGGCCUGGAGAGGGGUUUUUGGUGUAGAACGGUAGAAGUAAAGAAAAAAUAUGCUACAAACCUGUAAUAUAACACGGGCUGGCUUGAAGGCAAUUUCAACCUGCUUAGUAGAUGUAUUCUCCCAGUCGAGGAUUUUCUCAACGUCAUCCUUUGUGACUUGAUAGUUGUCACAGUUACGAAUCGCUGAUUCCAAUAGUAUCCUUACAGAAAAUGGCAACUUAUCUGCAUUAUCACGAAAAGGUGUUAACUUCACCAAAAAUCCAUUACAAUACAAACAGAGAGAGGCUCGGGGAAACAUACCAACUCUUGGAUCGUUUAAAGCUGGUAACGAGUAGUAGUUUCCAUACUCUCCACCACCAGGUUUAGGAAGACUUGUCAAUAUAUCCUUGUAGGCAUGCUCAGAAGCUGCGUUUUUCACAUCAAACGUUAUAAUCAAAAUUCAAUUGACACAUACCACAUGAAUUUGCUUGUUCAUCUAGUAGACUAAAUCUACAAAUAUAUCAUAAACAAAAUGCAAGAGCAAAUCAAAUGUUCAUCUAGCUAGUUUAACAUGGAUCAGAACAUAUCAGAAUUCAGUAGAUCCUCAUUCUAAAGCGAAAUCGAUCAAAGCAGAUAUGCGGUAAUCACGGAUUCUUGUAAUACAAGUUAAGAGCAAUCAUUCUUAGAACGUCAGAGAAAGCAAACAGACAUACCCAUGGUUGCGUAUGUCCGUUCAAAUUUCUCCAUAACCGGAGCGGAGUUCCUAGAUUGAGCACGAAGGCUAGCAGGCGAUCCCCAGCUCACACCAUGGCUCCACCGCGUGGAAGCAGAGCAAACUCGAAACGAGCGGAGAGCCGAAGAAAAGCUCUUAGAUCGGUUCAUCUGAUUGAGAAGCAAUGGCGCUGAGGGAGCCGAAACCGAAGCUGUCUCGGUAGAGGCGAUCUUCGUGAGGGAAGAAGAAAGCCUCGUGGAGGCAGAACGCACGCCGGAAGUGGCGCGUCGAUACAUGGCGGCAAAUCAAAACAGUUGAAGAGAUUGGAGAAAUCUCCAGAAGAAGGAAGAAGGAUCAAAAUGAAAGCCCAGAAAAUAGGAUAUUUGAGAUUGGAAGAAGAUCGUGGAAGGGACGAGGAAGAGAGAGAUUUCGUCAAGCUUCUGAAAGAGGCGAAUCAGAGAUUUUACAGAACCUUCCAAGGACACACUCACUAAUAAUAUACAAUGCCCAAGGUCACGUCAGGAGUGUCGCGUUUAACCGUUGGAUGACCUCGAGACGAACAAAUGGACGGCUUAUGAUUCACUUUGGACCGUUGACCAUUUUAUAAUUGCAUUUUUUUAUUAAUUUGAAAUACUUAAAAAGAAAAUUUGUUCUUGCAAAUUAUGUAACAUCUUAUCUUAUUAUAUACCGUAUAAAGGUUACAGCUAAAGACCAACGUGAGAACAUUCGAAUAAUUGGCUUUUCGUCGAAAGAUGGGAAUAUUUUCUUUUUCCAGAAAGUAAUUUUUAUAUUCACAAACUAAAAAUGAGUAAUUUAGAACUAUAACAUAAACCAGAAUAAAAUUCAGAACUACACUUAUUUUGGUAAUUCUACGUUUGAUUGGGUUGUUUGUGUCUGGCAAAAGCCAAGUAGGAUUUCUCCUCUGAACAUAAAACAAUUAUUCUAUAUAUAUUUUUUUCUUAAAUCCACUUCCAUGACAUGAAAAUGAAUACUAUACUAUUUUCCAAUCAAAAUGUAUGAUAAAGUCAACGAAGAAAAACGAAGGGUAGCUGCUAGGCUCUUCUUCAGCUAUGAAGGACAAGGCAAGCUAAAAGUCUCAAGCAUUAUGCCAAGAGACAAACACCCUAAACAAAACAAAGCAUAAGAAGAUGGCUUCUCAUUUUGACUCUUCUAAGUCCUCAUUGACAGCGUGAAAGGCCACAAAUUUAGGGUCUUGAAAAGCUCUCUGGUCUUAUGGUUCAUCGGUAAGGCUCAAACCAAUCGGUAUGUGUGGAGUACAACAAACAAAAUAACUGGACGGAAAAUUCUGUUGAUUGUUUUUUCUGCGUGAAGAAUGAUGUGUUUAGGAUGGUGGCUGCCAUGUCCCAGGCCUAAAUGAUGAUCCAGAUCCUGAUGGCUCUGUUGUCCUGCAUCAUCAUCAACACCACCAUUAGUUUGCAUUUAAAGCAUACCAAACACCAUACAUACAAUAUGUUCAUAGAUAACAGAUUGAGCAUCGUAGCAGUCAGUCUCUAACAAUCGGAAACAAGUGUCAUGUUUCAUAUCUGUGAGCCAGAAUGCGAAACUUUAGGAUUAAAAAUAUGUAAGUCAGCUAGACUUACUUUGGUUCGGGUGGUUCUGCAGAAACUAUCUCGGGUUCAUGUUCCUUGGCCCUGUAAAGCAAUGUGAGAGCAUUUGAUUAUGGAGGUCUUGUGAAAGAUGAUGUGUUUUGCAUCCAGAAAAAAAAAAUAGAAUGUAAGAAGAUUUAACACAGAUAUGAUUGGUGCGGAAAUAUUAUGAAUCAUGAUGACUCACCUUGAUUUAUCUGCUUCUUCACUAGCUUCCUCUGGUUCACCACCUUAAAGCAUUAACAAAAAUAAGGAAAUAAACUAAAACUGUCAGUCUUACUUCCACGAGUUUAUGGUAGAACAAUAAUCUCUUUUACGGUUAUAAUCUGAAAUCUAGCAACUGUAGUAACCUCAGUCCUUGAAUUAACAAAUGACAUAAAGGAUAUAUAAUGGUGAAUGUGAUCAAUUUUGUUGCCCUUCUAAGCUAACGCAAUCAUUAUGGUUGGGAACAUUUUACAAUCAGAACUUACAAACUUCACAAGGCAAAUUCAAAAGAUGUUUCUGAUUCACUUUCACAAAACUAUUCUAAUGAUCAGUCAAUAGUUACAUCCGGAAAAGUUAAACAAGAAUCAACAAAUUCCCUCAAAACAAUUCUUAUGACACAAAUUGUGUCAUUCCAAAGACACUUUAUCAAGUAGAUUUAGCUCCCGAGCGAGAAGUUUCAGUGGACACCAUUUGAUGAGUCAAACACCACAACAAUAUAAAUGCCUAUCCAUAAUAAUUUCUAUCAAAUUUACACAAGGGGAUUUCAGAAAAAGGGAGUAUACAAUUCCUAAGAAGUUAGUCAUCCGCAUCUAUGGUGACUCCCUUAAUCUAUUGGCUGAGAAAAUGUAAUACCUUUUGAAUCCGGUGGAAAUUGGCGAACAAAGCUUGUCAAAUCUGGACCGUCAACUUUACCUUUACACAAGGAGACCGCACAUUAAGCUACCAAUUCAGAAAUGAAAGCAAAUUUUGUGGGCUAUACUGUUAAUUACCAAUGGUGAUUUUGCGUCCCGUGCCUUCUCUGGCUUUCUUCUCCUCCUCUUCUUUCUUGAGAACUUAACAAGGAAUUGAAGGCAAAAGAAAAACGAUAAAUGUUUUGCAUUGAACUUGAAGCGACAUAUUAAAUGGAAAAAUGCAUACGAAUUUCUUGACUUGCUAACACAGAAGCGCAAAAAUAACUUGUUGACUUUGUUCAUUCAGAACUUGGAAGUUUGAAAAAUCAAGUCCUCAAAGUGGUAAACUGUUUGCAGUAAGGAUCAAUGACACCAGGAAAUAAUAAUGUUGAGACGUUUUUAAAAAUAAAUAAGUUCUGGAAAAUGUAUUAAUAAUCUGGAACACCUACGAGCAACAUUAAGCUUCACACGCUCACGCCUUGCUUCAAGUUCAACCAUUUCCUGGACCAACAAACAAACACCAAUAUCAAUUUAGUUGCCCUUCUAUGCUGACGACAAAUAAUUCUGGUUAAAGAGAAGUUCAUCUUACCUCAGGAGUAGGAGCCCUUUUCCGCUGCCCAUUCAGCCAACAUAUCCAUUCAACUACAACAUUGAUCAAACAAAAAUGUAACUAGAUUCAUGCAUGCAUGCCACAUAUCUUAUAGAUGUGCUUAUGUUUCAAAUCUAACAUCAGACAAGUAAAUGAAUAUAUGAUCAUAUAUAAGAACCCAUUUUAUAUGUUUUUAAGAAGAGUUACCAGGAAUAGAGGUUGGGUCCUCCUCUCGUCUAAAGACAACCCAUCUUUUCUCCUUCACUGGAUAGUAGAAAGAAGCACAUCAGAACAUAUUACUCUACAAAAAUGGAGUCUACAAGAGUCUUAUUAAUCGUUCUGAGCAUCUAAAUAAGCUCUGUUAGUUUUCAUUUGGGUAUCAAUUACAUAAUUCCCCGUACUCAUGACACGACCACACUUAGCUGAAUCAUUUCAUGUAUGAAAAGAAAACAAUGUUAAAUUUCUAAAUUUAUUUGCUUCACUGCAAUACGCGAUAGGCAAAGACAGCUGAUUCAUCUAAUCGAACGGAAAAAAACCAAAGAAAUUCAGCAACUUGACAAAAAGAAGGAAUUAAGGAAAGAAGAGGUUGGAAGAACAAUACUCGCCCAAUCCGUCAAUCUCCUCCAUUCUGGAAAAGUACUUGUUACCAGUCUUGUCUACUCCAAUGAAACUCUUGCUACUGAACAAUCCGGCAACUCUCGCCCAUAGUCUCGACAUAGCUUCUCCCGCCGAUUACUUCUCCGUAUGAUCCACAAACUCAACACCCAGAAUUGUUCCCCGAUCGAGUCUGCUCCGUCUGGAUCAAAAAUCCGACCCGGUAAACGGAUAUUUAAAUAGUGUAGAAGAAGAUCCGACCCGACUAAUCAGAGGGUCUUGGUUUAGAGUAUGAUUAAAUGAACCAGGGAUUGGAAUACGCCGGUUUAAGUGUCAGGAACAAUGACAAACGUACGCAUCGUAUAUUUUCAAAACAAAACCCUAAUUUUAAUUUUCCCACCUCUCGAAUCCCCAAUUCCAGUUUUCCCGCCUCUCCAUCACACCCGCUCCUUCCUCUACAAAAUCCCUCCUUUCAUCACAAUACUCUUCUUCUUCACCAUGAAAGGAAUCUCCAGAUCGCCGGUGAGAAGAAACGACGGUUUCCACCGUUACUUGAAACCAGGGGCUCUGGCUCAGAUCCGUAAUUCUAGAAUCAACGCUAGAUCCAACUCGCCCCUGACUCGUUCUCUCACGGAUCCAGUCCACCCGCUUUCAUCUUCUACCGAGAGUCCUGUUGCUGCGCCUCCGCAGACCAUAACUAUGGACCAGAUGCCCCAUCUCUUGAGCAAGAUCUAUGGUCCGUAUCGAAUCGGUAGGAAGAAAUUUGGCCCUGCGAGAUCUGCGAUGAUGAAUUUGAACCCUUCCCAAACUCUAUACUUGAAUCUACGAAUGGUAAUAGCAACGUCUUGAGUAAUAAUGAUGUUUUAGUUGCUCAUUGAAUUAAGCUUAAGUUCAUUUCCCUUCUUUAUGUAGAUUACUUUGUAACUGUUACACUUUGGGGAAAUAUCUUCAAUACUCAUCAGACUUAUAUAAUUACAGUUCAAAAAUCUCAAUAAAUAGUGUUUCUUUCUCAAUCUAUCAGAAGAAUGAUUUCACUUUAUUAAUUGAAUUCAUUUUCCCAUUUGGGCUUAGUUCAUAAGGGGACACAAGCUUUAUCUCAAAUAUCAUGUCUAUCAUUCCUCUGCUUGCAAAUCUUUAUAUGGAUCUCAUUUGAGUUUCAUAGGGUGAAAACAUAUAUAUGUCCUGCUUUUUAUAGCCUGAGCCUCAACAUCUCACUGUUGCAUCUCCUUUAUGAGGAUGAUGUUUUGUAUCUAUGAAUGUGGACAAAUUUAUUGGUUAGUCAGUAAUGGUGAUAUAUGCUACUCAAUUUCGUGUGAGAUGUUGGAUUUUUCUUGACAAUGUAGUGUGGAAUACCGAGUAACAGCCAGAGUGGCCAUCUAAACAAUUCAAUAUAUGAACGGAUGAAUGAUUAGCCUCAGACUAAAAUGUGGUUAUGGUAUAGACUAUACCGUAUAGUAAUGAUAUAAUCACAGCAUUAUGCUAUACCUUAUCAAGAUUGAGCAUCCAAAUUGUCUUUCACUUAAGGGAUGUGACUUCUAGAAAGGUAACAUGGAUAAUAAUUGGGAUAUAAUUCGCUUUCACUUGAUAUAACCACUUACGAAUUGGUACAAAUAAAUUAGCUUUAUAUAAGAAAAACAGAUUUGCUAGUCAUAAGACUCAUAACUAAUAAAGAUGUAAUCACUAUCCUUUUUUUAGUUCAACUAUAAUCACUACUCAAACAUAAUAAAUGGCCUUCAAACAAAUCAAAAAGUUUGGUGGUACAAAUAUUUUGCUUGUUGACAUGUAUCUGUUUUUGUACUUUGGUUGUUCUAACUCAUCUUCUUUUUCAUCGGUAGCAAUUCUUAGACAAAUCACAUGAGAGAGCUUCUUGAUUUUGAAUUUGGACCACAAAAUGUAUUGUUGAUGAAGGCCCAGAAUAUACAAAACCUUUACUUUUCACAAAUCGUGGCUCAAAUUGAUUAGGUCAGCAAAGAUAAGUUGAAAUCUUGAAGUGAGUGAUAUUGUUUUUUAUACUCCUAUAAGAGAACAAGAAAGUUCGAUGAAUGACGGCUACGCAAAGGGCCCAAAGCGCUCGUUAACCAUCGAAGAAUCUUCCUUUCAAGCUAAACGUUUUGUUUGUUCUUAAAACACAAAUCAAAUUACUAGUUUACUACUUUCCUUCUUUUUUUAACUUUCUCAACUCUUUCAUGCCUAGAUUAGCCGCCAUGGAUAAUAUAUAUUUCCCCUAGUUCUCUUAUGAAUAUUUACGAUUUAUAUAUGGAGAUCUCAUAGGAUGAUCUUUUUAGAUGUGCAGUUUUGUAGGAAUUCUACUGCAAUCAAAUAUACGUCUAUUAAUUAAUAGGAAAAGAAAAACAAUAGCACACAAGUAAGACAACCACUUAUUCUGUUUAAAAAAAUAGUUUCUCAAAUUGUUAUAAACAAAAAUUAAUGUUUUUGGGUUGCUUUUUGAGUAGGAUAUACGAAAUCCAGAUUAAUUUUGAGAUCUAGAAAUGUAUGCUUCAUUAAAAUAAGCUAUGAGCAUGACCAACUAUGUAAGUAUGUAACAUGCAUGGAUGGUCGCCUUUCCGUGUCAAUAAAAACGCUGAUGACUUGUAGCUUUGUCUUGUCAGGGAAAAUAACACUAUUACCAAGUCAGCCGUCUGAAUUGGACCUUUGUCAAGCCACAGGCUCCAAAUUUUCUAUCGUUCAAGGGGAUGAAUCUGUGAAACUUUUUGACUAAUUUAAGUAACAAAAAGUGGGAUAUCGACACUAAUAACUUAUUAGUAAUAACAUGUGGUACCCAUUUUAUAAUAAAAAAAAAAAAACAAAACUUCGAGAGUAAAUUCAAUUCAUGAAUUACUUUCCGUGAUGAAAGAAACUAAAAGUAAAAUUGGCUACAUAUGCUUUAGUGAAGUAAGGUAGUGUACUUUGUUGACCGUAAAAACUCAUCUUCUCAUUAUGACACAACGCACCAAAUGUUGAUGAUCAUAAUAAAUGUCCGGACGUAUAAUGAAUAUAGAUUCCCGCGUCUUUGGAUGAUAUCUAUAAAGACAAAAUAAGAACCAAUCUACGUAUUCGUUCUUCAAUCCCACACCUCUUGUGUCACUUUCUACCUUUCUCUUCUCAAAUUUUCAAGCUAUUUUGCUUCUCUUGACACAGAUUCCACUCUAUAAAUCUCAUUAUAUUAUUAUAUUCUCUAAGCUUCAUUUUAAUCAAACGUCAAAAGGUAGGUUCGUAGAUUUUCUUACAUUCUUGUCUCUUUUGCGAGUUUGUGACUACUAGCUUUAGAGUUUUUGUAUAAUCGAAGAUCUUUCAAUGGAUUCUUCGUGGUCGUCUGUUAUGUUUUGUAGAAGCAGCUGAGUAUCAAUGGAGCAGAACUACAUGAGGCAUGAGCUAUGGAGAGAUGGAGAUUUUCAAGAAGAUGAUGUGUGGGAUGUUCUUGAUGCAUAUCAAUCACCGUUUAUGAAUAGUAUUAGUAACCAUACCACUAAAACUUCUUUCUCAACCCAAACUUUACUUCCAAGCGAACCUAGAAUGAUUCCUGAGAGGCAGAGGAUAGAAGGAAUGACACCUAUGAGACAACAGUCGGCUCCUGUCAAUGUCCCUGAUUGGUCAAUGGUUCAAAGAAAAAAGACAGAGAAAGUUGAUGAUGAUGAGAAUGUGUCACCUGAGGAAUAUUUCCUGCGGCGCAGUCGAUCAUCGUCCUCUUCAGUUAUGGAAGGAGUUGGAAGGAAACUGAAAGGAAGAGAUUUAAGCAAAGUAAGGAAUGCAAUAUUGAAGCAAACUGGAUUUCUUGAGUAGACCAAGAUUGUAUAAAUGUUUAUUAGGUGAUUUCAUUUUUUAAAAACUCUAGUUUGCUAAGAUGUAUACAUAUAUAUGUAUAUAGGUGGGUUUUUUUCUUCUUUUGGUUUUGAUAUAUGUAUAGGUGAUUUGAUUCGGCAUAGUAAUAUAAUAAAGAAGAAUCUCGAGCGGCUCUGCAUCUGCAACCACUAUCACAAAUUCGGGGAUCAAAUAAUUUACAAGAAGAUUAGGAUUUUAGAGGGAACGAGUUUCUCGACUUGAAGAUUCUCAAAGAACUCUUAAGGCUAAGCAAUGUUUCUUCUAUGUAUGUGUGUAUAAUGGGCCUGCGCAAUAGAUUUCGGCCCAAUUUCAUUUAACGAGAGGGUUUGUGUAUGAUUCAGUUCUUAUGUGAGCAAGCUUUGUUUGUACCACCAGUUAUUUUGUCACCUAUUUUGUCAACGAGUUAUUAUUUUUAUUUUAUUUUUGGUAAACUUGUCAACGAGUUAUUAUAAAUCGAAACCAUGGGAGACCUAACAGAUCUGAGUGAUUCUUCUUAUGAUUUAUUUCAUUUUGUUGAGACCAUGGAAAAUUCCUUUGCAUGAAUGUUGAUGAAUUUAGUGUUUUUUAUUCUUUCUUUUUCCUUGGCAGUGAGAAAUUAAGCAAUAAAGUCUUAUAGAAAAUUAUUUAUAUAGGAAAGCAUAUAAAGUUUAAGAAUUUUGAACUCUUUUUUCUCUUCUAAUAUGUUAAGUAAUAAAGCAUUAAAAUUUUAGCAGGAUCACUUAAUUAUAAAACUUAAAACCAUAAAUAAUAUAUUUUUUUGUUGCAAAAUUUUUUGGUAUUAAUACACAACGGACCAUGCAUAAUAUUCUAUAAAAAUAAAUAAAACAGUCAAAAAUUUGUAUUUGCGUUUGCGUUUACAUAAAGAGAACAAACUUCAGUGACAUGCAUUGAAAUCAUAUAGAUAAUUACAUAAUUUUCUCUCAUCUUAAAAUGUCCACGUCAACAACACUAUUUUUUGCAUUAAAGUAUAUUUAAAAUAUUCGUUAAUGAGAUGAGACAAAUUAAGUCACUAAAAAUAACAUAAAGACGAUGUUAAAAGACAAUUUAAGUACACUAAAAAACCAUAGUAUAUAAGUAGAGUUUUCUCUCAUCUUAAAGUCUCCACCUAAGCAACACUACUUUGUGUACACAAAUUGUCCUAUAACAUCCACAACAUCGUCUUUUUGUUAUUUUUAGUAAUUUUAGAGUUUUCGUCUUCUCAACAAGUUUUCAUACCAAAUUGUCCAAUUGAAUUGAACCGGUUAAGCGAACGAUAUGGUUAUCAUCAACAAAAAGAAAAUAAAAAAACGUCGCAUAAGCUUUUACCAGAAAUUUCUAAUGGCCAUUAAGUUUGUUAGGUGGAGAGCAUCGUCCUCACGGAGUUGGGUCCGAUCACAUCCAUCUUCGGGAGGACGGAUAUGACCGCGCGUGAAGAAAGUAUAAACAGCUACUUUUAGUCCUUUGUACUUCAAUUUCAAGUUUUAGCUGUCGUCCUCUCGUCAAAAUAUUAACAGACAUAAUAGGUUUUGGGUUUAAUUUGACUUCUUUUAAAAAAAAAAAUUCGGCUGGAUAUGUAUAAAUUGAAUGUCUAUUGUUAUUAGAGAAAAAACUCUUUGAGAAAAAAAAACAAAUUAUUAGAUGAUUUCAUUCAUUAAAAAAACUAUUUUGCUACGAUGUUUACAUAUAUAUAGGUGAAUUUUUUCUCUUUUGGUUUUAAUAAAUAGGUGAUUUGAUUUGGCAUAAAUAAAACAAAUGUCUGAACUAUUGUUGAAAAUGGAUGAUAUAAGGUUAAAUUUUUUACCUAAAGUUAGGUUGUGAAAAAGACUUGCAAGUAAAGAUGGUAUGAGCUUUAAAAUUCAUUGAAUUACACGAUUCGAACCGUCGAUGACAAAGACUAUUGAUCUUAAUAAAAAGAAAAUUUCGAAAAAAAGUAGAGGUGAGUUGUUGUUAGUUGGAAAUCGUUGAUUGAGGAUCAUGUGCAGCACACGUGGUCAAUGUUGAUUCCCUUUGUCGCCAUUCUUCGACAGCUUGGGAACAUGCAUGUGAUUGCUAAUUGAGUUUAACUUUCGUACCCAAACAUAUUCAUUCAUCAUCGUUCAUGUUGAGAUUUUUUUGUUAAUAUGACUUCUUUAUACACAAAUAUCCUAGUUACGUAUCUGGUUACUCAAUUUUUGUUUAUAAAUCAGAAAGAAAAAGAAGAAUUCACCUAAUAUUUUGUCAGAAAAAAAAAACUAAUUAAAUCUAGUUGUAUAAUUAAUUUGAUUUGUGGAGUUUUGACUAGGUUCGCUGGUCAACUUUUGCGUAGAGUGGUCCUGUCGGUAGCUUCAAUUUUAAUUAGUUUUUUUGCUUAAUCCAAUCUACUUGGUAUUAUUACUGUAAAGUGAAAAUUAACUAAUAAAGCAAAAAAUAAUAAUUUUAAUUAUCCCAACACAAAAUAAAGAUUCCAUUCAUCUUCUUCCAGCUUCGAAUUCCGCGCACCAAAGGCAAGAACAAAGCCACGGCUUUUCUCUCUUGUCGUUUUCUUCAUACAUUCGUCUUUUCAUAGGAUCAAUCUACACUUUCUCUGUUAACAUUUUCGUUUCCGAGGAGAAAAGUCUCGAUCUUUUGGAUCUGGGAGGUUUGGUUUGGGGUUGACUCGGUUUUGACUCGGGACGAGUCGUCUCUUGAGAUGGAUGUCUCGUGUUUAGUAGCUCUUUGAGAGUCUGCCUUUCUGGGUUCAAUAGAUUAUAGUUUCGCUUAGAAACACACACAAAGAUGUCGUUGAAGCAUCAUCACAGAGGAUUAGAGCUCUCUGCUUCGAAAAGUUUUGUCUCAAAGAAAUGGACUUUAUUUCUAUGUAUCGGUUUCUUCUGCGCAGGAAUUCUCUUCUCCGACAGGUAACUAAACAAUGCUCUGUAAUUACCACUCACUAAUUCCUGUCUUUAUUUCUUCUGUAAAUAUCUCUUUUUGGACUGUCGGUGGGUAUAAUUUUCUCACUCUCACAACACCCAGAUUUGUAAAUCUAACGAUUUUUUUCGUGCUGUGAAAGUUUUGCAUAUGUCGAGGAAGACAAAGAUAAUGGAAAUUUUUUCUUUUUCUUUCCGGGAAAAUGUCGUUAAGUUUUCCUGUUUCGAUGAAAAAAUUACAAUGAUUUUAGUUUCAUUCGCUGUUGGCAAAGUUGUAAUUCUUCUUCAUUUAAGUAAUGAAAAGUACAUCCUGAGAUUCAUUUGUAGACAAAAGGUAUAUUCUUUAUGGACAAAAUGCUUGAGAUGUUUUUGUAGUCCAUGGAAGAACCAAAAUCAAUCACAAGCCGUUGAUAGUCUAAUUGUACCCUAAUCAGACUGUGUUUGUUAGUAGAAUGUGGCCAGAGCCUGAAGCCAAUGUUGUAUCAAGGGACACAGUAGCGUCAGAUGAGCGGCUGCGGUUAGAGUCUGAGGACUGUGAUUCAUCAAAAGUAAGUUUUCUAAUUUAGGUGCAUUGAUAGUCAUGAGCCCUAGAGGAAUUCUUGAUUCCUGAGUUGUUCAUACCAUUCUUAAUUGUUUAUCAGAAGGGUUUGAAGCGUGAAUCGAAAGACAUCCUUGGAGAAGUUUACAAGAGUCCAGAUGCCAUUCAGUAAGUGGGAAAUAUAUGAUAUGGAACUUCACUUCUUCUUUUUAAUUUUUGGUUGCGGUUUUUCGUUAAACUUUAUGGUUUUUCUUGAAUGGUGCUAUGCAGAACGCUUGAUAAAACGAUUUCAAAUCUGGAAAACGAAUUGGCGGCUGCAAGAGCUGCGCAAGAAUCCAUCAUGAAUGGUUCACCAGUUUCUGAUGACUUUAAGCUUCCUGAAACUGUCACUAAAAGAAAGUAUCUGAUGGUUGUUGGGGUAAAUACUGCGUUUAGCAGCAGAAAGCGUAGGGAUUCAGUCCGUGCUACUUGGAUGCCUCCCGGUAUGUUGAUCUAAGCAGCGGUUUCAGCCUAAAGUAUCUUUUUUCGGGACUAAACAUAGGUCUUCUUUAGGUGAGGAGAGAAAGAAGCUUGAGGAAGAGAAAGGGAUUGUGAUGCGGUUUGUGAUAGGCCAUAGGUAAAACUUGUACCUUAAGAGUGGCACGUUAUUUGCUAGGUUGAUUUAGUUAUAUAUUUCCUGAUUGAGUGUUUUCUGUGGGCAGUGCUACUCCUGGUGGAAUUCUUGAUAGAGCGAUUCAGGCUGAAGAAAGUAAACAUGGAGACUUCUUGAGGCUGGUAAGACUUUUACGGGUCAUGUUUCUCAUCGAAUUAUACUUUUUGUGGACACUGGACAGGUUCACGGCAGUCACAUUUUACCGAUAUCCAGGCUUUCUGUUUUUUAAUUGUUAUGUUUGUUUGAGCAGGAUCAUGUUGAAGGUUAUCUCGAGCUGUCAGCAAAGACUAAAACUUACUUUACCACGGCUUUUGCAAUGUGGGAUGCAGACUUCUACGUGAAAGUAGAUGAUGAUGUGCAUGUAAAUAUAGGUGAAUAUAAACCCUCUUAAAGUAUCUGAAUUGUUUUGUUUCUUGCCAUCUCAAGUUUGCGCCUUUGCUCACUUCUGUUACGGAUAUUUCUGCAGCCACGCUCGGAGCAGAAUUAGCAAGAUACCGGAUGAAGCCUCGAGUCUACAUUGGUUGCAUGAAAUCUGGACCCGUUCUUGCUCAGAAGUAAGUUGUUCACCUUCAAGAGACCACUUCUCAUUGUAAAUGUUUGUCUCACUUCCAUUUCUCUCUGAAAUUUCCAUUUUUAGAGGAGUGCGAUAUCAUGAACCCGAAUACUGGAAAUUUGGAGAAGAGGGUAACAAGUACUUCCGCCAUGCCACUGGUCAGCUCUAUGCAAUUUCCAGGGAAUUGGCGUCUUACAUAUCGAUAAACCAGUGAGUUCUUUCCCACUGCCUUGGCAAAUCCGAAAAGUAAUCUGCUUUAUGCUUAAACGCUCAUACGCUGAUUGUGUAUUAACCAAAGACAAAUUGUGUAUACAGAAACGUACUUCACAAAUAUGUGAAUGAGGAUGUCUCUUUAGGAUCAUGGUUUCUUGGAUUAGAUGUGGAACAUGUAGAUGACCGUAGGCUAUGUUGUGGUACAACAGGUAAAAAAUUUCAAGUUCCCUUAUCUAUUUCCAAGUAUGGAAUUUUUCUCGAUUCCAAUUUUAAUCAAUGAGAAACUGCAGAUUGUGAGUGGAAAGCGCAGGCGGGCAACAUCUGUGUUGCCUCGUUCGAUUGGAGCUGCAGUGGGAUUUGUAGAUCAGCGGAUCGGAUGAAGGAUGUUCAUCGGAGGUGUGGAGAAGGUGAAAAAGCUCUCCUGGCUGCAUCUUUCUGAACACAAUAACUAAAGAAACACACUGAGGAAGAAGAGUACAGAGACAAAUCCGCUCGACACAGUAGUAUAGACACACAUUCAAACUGCUCAACACUCUCUCUAUAUCUGUAUGUAUGUAUGUAUCUUGUGAACUGAGAUGAGAAGGGUGCUUUUUGCCCUCCUUUCUUGUUUCUUUAUGCCUUUUUCAAUUCUCUGAAGGUCUGGAGUUCUUUGCACCCAGAAAAUGCAGAUUUUAGCUGCAGAAGGCAGACUCUAUGAGUGCACCUUCAGAGCACUGCAUUGAGGCGAUUUCUCCGCCCUUUGAGCUUUUCUUCUUCAUUUCUUUUUGGAUUUUGCCUCUUUUGUUCCAUUUUUCUUUUGCCAUGAUUGUGGUGAAACAAGGACUGUACUUAUGCGUGUACUAAGAACACAAAACUAUCCAAUAAAGAGUAGACCAUGUGAGAAGAAAAUUAUAAGCAUAGAAGAAACUUUUCUUGGUUAAUAGGAAUGUGCACACAAUGAUUUCUGGCAGGUAUAUUCCACUUUCAGGAGAUGCAAAGAGGCUGGUAGAUCAUUUGGGAUGUCCGUUGGCAUGUAACCGAUGAACAAUGCCAAGAUCUCUAUACUUGUUAUAUCUCAAGCAUGAGGAUCAUAAAACUUUAAUAAUUACAACAUAUUUGACAGAUAUCAUAAUUCAGGAUUUUAAUUGUACAAUCAAGAACAUGUUUCCAUUUAGUUGUCCAUUGAUCUUUCGCCUUUCUCUAGCAGAUCCCUGGCAAGUUGUUGGUGUCAUCGUCAACUGGAAACAGCAAAGCGAACUGGUGAUCGUCAAGGACAAGGCUGUCCUCUGUUGUUAUCGCAGAGGAAUGCCCGUUUGAGAUCUCUUCGCUUUCACUUCCCCAGUCAAGAAGCUUUGUUAUGUCCUCAUCUUGCAUCGUAUUCAUCUGGAGACACUCGUCUUCCUUUGGUGUUAAACCUGUGUGUCAAUCAAAACAAAACAUUCAAAAACACUUGUUUUUGCAGAUUGAAGCAUUUUGAGCUGUCUGAUUAUUACCUUGCAAGGGAAAUAGAUUGUUGGAAGAACCACAAUGUCCAAAACUACCCGAGAAGAAGUUGUUGUUGUUGUCCUGGAGAGCAGCCAUGAGUUGUCUCCGCUUAGGAGCACGAAAGCUAUCAGCUAAAGCCUCGGCCUCCUCCAUAAGAUCCUCUAACAGCUGGCAGGUAUUUGUAUGCAAACUGGUGUUAAGGUUUUGGUUACAAUCACCAUUGUCUAAGAACUUGCUCACUUGAUAGACUCCUAAAGAGGUGGAGAAUGGAAUGUGGUUUGAAGAGAGCUCAUGUUUCAUGGAGUAAACCGGAUUGGUAGACUGAUAGGAGGAAAGUGGGAAAUGGGUGUUAAGAAAGGUCGGAGAAGAAGUAUAAGAGGCCUUGGGAGAGAAGGCAGUGUUGUAACAACGUUUGGGACACAGAGAAGGCGGUUGGAGAAGAGGAAAGGUAAAAGAAGAAGCGGGUGUUGGAGACGGGAGAGGUGAGGAGGGUGUGUUGGGCUGUUGAGGAUACAUUUGUUGUUGAUGAUUGCUUGGGGAAAUAUCUGGAGGGUAGAGAGGGAGGCCUUGGCGUUGGAAGCGUUUCAACCUCGUGUUCCAGUAGUUCUUGAUCUCGUUAUCUGUUCUUCCUGGUAACUAAUAAAAAGAAACAGUAGAAGAAGACAAUGGUUAAGUUUUUUGAGAGUUGGAAGAAGAAGUCGAAGCCUAGAAAACAGAGAGAAGCAAUGCAGUUUUAUGAGAUUUAUAAGUGAAGGAUUGAUAACCUGAGCAGCCAUGCGAGCCCAUUUGUUGCCGAGCUGAGAAUGGAGUUGUAUGAUGAGACGUUCUUCCUCAGGGGUGAAGGAGCCUUUCCUGAGAUUAGGUCGGAGGUGGUUAGCCCAGCGGAGGCGGCAGCUCUUACCGCACCGAGCCAGCCACGUCUUCUUCUGAACAGCAUUCCAGUUCCCUUCACCGUAUUCCCGUACAUAAGCAGCCAAAGUCUCGUCCUCCGCCACCGUCCAUGGCCCUUUCUUCAGAACCACCCGUCCACCUCCACCGUCCUCGGAUGCUCCCCCACCGUAUACGAUCAUUGCCCCCUCUGCGUCCCCGGUGAAAGGUUGAACGUCAGGGGGUUCUUAAAAAAAGAUUUGGAACCUACAAAAUGAUAUUCACCCCCUGAGUUCUUCCAUACUCGAUCUUUGUUACCUCCUCCUCUCUAACAAAUGACAAGAGCAAGAACGUUAAAGGAACAAAGAUUUAACUUUGGUAAUUUACGCGGAACCUAAAAAUAAAAAACAGAGGAUAUACGAUAUUAGAUAAAGACAGUAAGAGAGAGAGAUAUAUCUGCCAGAGUUUGUUUCUCUGGAGAGAACACAAAAAAGUCCUCUUGAGUAUAUUUGGCUUACUUUCGUAUAAAGCCAACUCAUCAUCAAAUAAUAAUCUCAAGAUCUUUUAUUUUAUUUUUAUCUACGUAAAACUAUGUUUACCAUCUAUUUUAAGCACAUUUUUACGGUCUUGUAGUGUAAAUGCAUGUGAAUUGUCUUCUUUGGAUUCAUCAAAAAGGUAUCGUUUCCUUUGGAUAAAAUAUAAUUAUUUAUUGUAAUUAACUUUGUCAUCAACACCCACGGACCACGUUGAUGUUUUGCCAUAAUUAAGCAAUAGAAAAAUGAAAAGACUCGACGUCGACGGUACAAUAGAUAAUGCCAAUAUAUAUUAAAAUUAAGGUAGAAUAAGUUUGCAUGUGAAUACAUACAAGUUGAUAUAAUAUGACUUAUAAGUUUCAAACUUUUCCAAACAACACAACUAAAAUGCCAAGUUCAUGAAAGCUCUAAAAUGGGGUUACCAAUUUGCUGCUAAGACAUUCUCGAAAUUUGUAAAAGUAUCAGAUAAAGUCUUCUCCACAUUACUCAUCAUUGUAUUCGCUACAAUCGCUUCAGUUACAAUCGCCUGAAAUCCAACCGACACAACACAUCCAGCUUCUUCAUCGCCUGAGUUUUGGCCGGGCAUUAUGGUGAAUCCACACGGAUAGGUAAUGGAGAACGAACUAUCACCGUUUAUAAUUUUCCGAAGAGAUGACUCGUCAAGAAUCGAGUGGAUCACCAUCGACGAUGAUGCCUCAUUGUAUGCUUCUUGAAGCAAAAACACCUCCGUAGAAUUAUUCAGCUGCAUGCAUUAACGUGUUAAUAAUGUUUAUGUUAGUCAACAAUAUAUAUAACUCGUUUUUGGUUUUUCAUAAGAAAUAAAAUUAUCUACGUACCCGGAAACUGAAUAGGGAGACGUCAUUCCUCGGAGUAGUGUCGUCUCUUGUGAUCCGAAGCACUUGUUUUAAACCAUUUCCAGAUAAUCGUAAGUGGUUGAAUAUCUCUCGUUUCUUCACACCGUAGAUGAAAGGAAAUAGCAUUUCCGGUUUAGCAUGUAUUUUAGCCAAACCGCUAGCGCUAAUAAUACCACAAGGGUGCCUUAUCAUGUCUGGACUCUCUCGAGUGAAAACUCUGACGUCAAACGUUCGACCCGCACCGAGCCGCCUCCAUUGGUACCCGAUUACCCCACACGUACCGGAGCAAAAUAAGUGAACCAUAUGCCUUGAUACUUCGAGCAAGUUGUCACGACCGGUCGAAUUGACUACUGCGUGAGUACCAUGCAUGGUAGUUGUGUCAGUAAGAAAACGGUUAAUCUGAACUAAUCAAAAACAAAACAGAAAAGCUUUUACUACUUGAGACAAGUUGGUUCGUGAUAUCCAUUAAUGGAACAUAAGUAGUUUUGGAGCAGUAUCGUUGUAGAGCGACGAGCCAUUUCUUUGCACCAAAUCCUAUACCAUAAGAGAGGUAAGGCCUCAACCGGUUUAGAAUUGCAUCCUCCUUGUAAACCCAGUGUUCCAAAAUUGUUACCUACGUAUGUUUAACCGAUUAAAUUAAGUCUUCUCGCCAACAUCAAAUUAGAUAAUAAUAAUAAUAAUAAUAAAAAGUACUGUACCUUUGAAUAUCCAUUUGGAAGAUGUUGAAUAAUAAAUCCAGAAGGAAAUCUGAGAAACUCAGGUCGUAAAUCGUCUGAAUAGGAGCUUAAAUACAUGGAGAUAUCUGCUAUAAUCCAUGUAUCAUUUCCUAUACGGUGACAAUAUCGGAGAACUUUUAUUUUUCGGGUCGGAAUUACCGGGGUGAUUAAUGUUAGAAACUCCAUAUCAAUCUACAUGUCCACAAACGAAAGCUAUUAUUAAAGAUAAAAUGAAUAUAAUUGAAAAUAAUAGGAUAAAUACAUUAAUCGAAAAACAUUUUAUACCAUCUUAACAUCGUCGUUGCUUGAUUCGAUUGACACAUUUCCAACGAGUGAUGGGAAAAUACUCACCCAACGCACCUAAAAAAAGUAUAGAUAGAAAAGAAAAAUAAAAUAAAUCCUAAUUCUAAUAUACAUGUAAUAAGAAAUUAACAUGAUUCAUUCUAGUUAGUUGUUCUUGAAGUUAUACACUUACAGGAUUUUCAAGUUUUCUCACAAGCCAUGAAGCAUCAACGCGGAUUACUGCAGAAGCUCUUGACGCCUCAUGGAAAAACCUUGGGACAUUUUUUGCAUACCAAGGAAAGAAUUGAGAGUAGUACUCGUUCAGAUUCAGCAUCUCUAUGUUUUCACAUUGUGAUCUACUCCACAAAGGAGACUCGGGCGUUGCCAAAGCAAUAAUUUCGUUGACUAUACAUGCCAAGACCCCCAUUAAGUUAAGCGAGUACGAGGAAAAGUUGGGUAAUUGUUGUCCCAAAAAAUCCGAUAACAUUGUGAAGGAAGUGAGUGUCUCUCUGUCAGACCGCGAAAGAGCAUUCUCGAACUGCCAUGGUUCGGUUUGGUUGAUGCUUUCAUCUUCAGAUAUCAAAUUUUCUUGAGAUGCCAUGGUCUACCUUAAGACUUAAGGGUAAUUCGUGUGACAAACAUAUAGUAAGGAAUUAAAUUUUUUGAAUAACAUAGAUAUAGCUACAUGGCCUGUCCUUGGAUUUAAAGUUACUCGAACUCUAAUUUACAUAACACACAACCACUAGACUAAGCAAGUGUUUUAAUAAUGUGGCCUUAAAAACUGGCUUAAAACAUAUGUUUUGGCUGCUUUAUGGGUGGACUGAGCCUGUAUAACUACUUUUUUUUAUUCUACUUAAGAACAUGUGUGAAUAUGACAAAGUAGAUCUUAUCCUAAUAAUUUCAAAUACGCUAAUUACAAAUGUAUGUAUAAUUUUCUUUCCUUUUGUAUAGAUGUAAGAUUCAAAUAUAAUUACAAAAACAAAAAAAAAACAAAAAAAUUGCAAAGGUUGGAGAUUACUAAUCAAAGCCUUUGAAAAAAGUUCAUUUUAAAAUUAGAUAUAGUAAUAAAUAUUGGAUCUAUAUAUUUAUUACAGAUGCUUCUAAUUUUUAAAUUAAAAAAUACAAAUUAUCAAAGAUCAAGGAGAUGAAUGAAAAGUUGUCUAUAUUUUACUAACCUGUAUCAAAUAUUUGCGAUGCAAGAACUGGUGUCUUUGGUGAAGCGAACUACAAAGGGUCUGAUUGGCGAGGAUGCAAGAAGGAAUAAUUUUUUUUCUAAAUCUACUGCAAAAAGGAGAAGUUUCUUUGUUAUCCUUUUUUUUUUUUUGUCAAACAGUUUCUUUGUUAUCCAAGAUUUAUUUUUCAAUUAAAAAAUUUUCAUUACAUAAUAAAGAAAAAACUUGUAUACUCUACAUCGACAGAGCCAAAAAUUAGUUGGUAUUUAUAGAAAAUAUAAACCGCGUGAAAAUUCUCAUAUCAAAAUUGCAUAUUUGUUUCUAUGGUAGUACUCUUAUGAUCAUUUAAUUUGUACAUUAUUUUAGUAAAUAAAUUGUAUCUAAGAAAAUAGUUAGAACUUAGUUAACUUCAUAAAUAAUAAAAUAAGUGCGACCAGAAGACAAGAAUGAAUCAAGUAAUUGAAUAAAAAUUGUAAAAUGGUUUUGACAUUUUUUUUUAGUCAUGUUCAACGCAUUAAAUAUACAAUAAAGAAAGUUAUGAACUUAAUUCAUUUUAGAUCUUCUUUUUAGGUAUUUAAAAGCUUCAAAGUAAAUUAUUACUCAAGUAAUUAUUUAUCAAGUAAAACUUUAGAGCAUCUUUAUCCAUAGUUUUUCAACAUGAGUCUCUCACAAUUGGAAAUUUAAAGAAAGUAAUACUUUGGAGAAAAAAAAAAGUAAUACUUUAUGGAGUGGGUAUUUCAAAUAGUAGAGAAAUUCACUCAAAAAGUUAAUCAACUCUUUCUCAAUUAUGAGAGACUCAAGUGAAAGACCAUCAAUAAAUAUGCUUUUAGUUCUUCAUUGUUUUAAUCUUUAAGUAAUCAUGGUGAUGAAUAAAAAGUAGAUACAUUAGAAAAGCAAACACAUAACGGAACAAAUUGAAAAUAACAUGAUUUAAAAGUUGCAUAUGUCGUUGAUAUUUCCAUUGUUGAUUAACAUUGCUUAUCUUAUGGCACUAACUAGAACAUCAUAGUGAUUUUUAAUUGCUUUAGAUCUCUAAAACGAUUUAAAUAGUGGUAAACUGAUCUUCAUUUCGAUUUCAUGAUAACACCAAAUGUUAGGCUGUAUUGUAUAUCCUCUACUCUAUAUAUCGACAAUUCGACAUGCAUUAUGAAUUGACAUAAUAUCAUUCUACGGUCUACAACGACCCUAACUAAUCUUUUGACGUAAUGAUUAGUGAUAAGAUUUUUAUCUCGUAAAAUUUUGUUUUAUUUAUUUUUUAACUACCGUAUCACAUUAUAAUUUAUAAUCUUGCCAAUGACCAAACACCGUUCCAUAGAAUAUAGAUGUAAAUCUAAUUGAUGCAUUAGUCAUAGACUCAUAGAAAUAGUAAAAAAAAACGACAUGGUCGUAGACCAAUACUCUCACAGGUUAACAGUAACCGGAACCACAAUAUGGAAUUGAAAAUCAUUCAACUCAAAUUGCAGAUCUUUUUUAGUUUGUCAAAAUUGUACAACUUUCUGUUCAUACAUUCAUCAAAAAAGUAAAAUAAAAAUUCGACGAAUUAUAGUUGGACACGUGUAAAUAUUCCGGUGACUUGCUCAAAAGUCUCUCGUAUGCGUUUGCCGAUCUUCUCGAUUCUCCAAUUCCAAACCCUAUCAUUUUGAUUCGUCCUUCCGGGUUUCCACAACGCUGCGGUUAGAUUUUGUCAAUUUCGCUCUUUCUUGAUUCAUUUUUGUUUUCGGUAGCGAGAAAUAUCUGUAUCGGAAAAAAUAUGAAUCUGAGUUUGGUUUUUGGUUUGAAAGUUCUUCAAUUUAGCUGAUUAACUAUAGAUGAGGAUGAAAAAAUCCUUCCUUUUUGUAUUUUUUCCAUUUUGCUGAUGAAUUUUUUCGACCUGUGUUCUUAAAAAAAAAAACAGAGAUUCGGUACAAAUGAUGUUGCGUGCUGUUAUCAGGAGAGCUACCACUAAAGGCUCUUCUCCUUCGGUUAGUGAUCAAUUGUGAUCUCAUCUGGUACUUACUUGAUCGAAAUGUGACAACUUUAUCUCUAUAUAUUUUAUCAGCUAUUCGGAAAAUCACUGCAAUCUUCUCGUGUUGCUGCAUCUUCCCCAAGCUUGCUAACAGGUUCAGAAACAGGGGUACGUUUUGUUUUUGUUCUCAAUCGAGAUGGUAUUAUAUGGUUAUGAAUCUUAUCAUCCAAUUUCUAUGUAUCUGUCUUUUUUCGAUGAACAAUCUAAUUAAGUUUCAUUUGAGAAUCUGAACAGGCAUUUCUGCAUUGUGGAAAUCAUGCUCGUAGCUUUCAUAACCUUGCUUUGCCAGGUUACUUUUUUAUAUGUGACUUUUGGGUUAUUUUUAGUUUCUUAAGAUUUUUGUGCUCUUAUAUGUUUGUAUCCCUCUAGCAGGGAACUCGGGCAUCUCGAGAUCAGCGAGUUUAGUUUCCUCUACCCUGCAAAGAUGGGUCAGGCCUUUUUCAUCUGAAAGUGGUAUGUAUCUUCUACCUGAGCUCUUUCUCUCUCUUUUAGUUGAGGUAUUAGGUUUGCCAUAUCUGGGAACCUAUGAUUGUUUAGAAGUAGAAAUUCAGGAGCUCACAAUUUUGACUCCAUUCUGAUGCAGAUUCUUGUGAAACUUUAGUUUUGCAAUCUGCUAUUACUGUAGCUUUGAUUGAAUUUGUAGGGAUUUCUCACUCGCUUUCUUUUUAAUGUUACUGAAGGAGAUACUGUGGAAGCUGUUGUGCCUCAUAUGGGGGAAUCAAUCACUGAUGGCACCUUAGCCACCUUUCUGAAGAGUAUGUCUCUUUUGCAUUAUCUUUUUCGGUUCUUUCUGAUGCGUAAAUAUAUAUCUAAAAGUUCUUUUGUUGGUGCAUCUGAUGAUUACCUUUCAGAACCUGGUGAGAGAGUCCAGGCUGAUGAGGCUAUUGCACAAAUUGAAACUGAUAAGGUAUCAAUAUUUAUUUUUUCUUGCUCUUUUAUCUAAAGACAUUUUGGAAAAUUUUGAGUUAAAAAUUUCAAAUACUAUCAUUUGAUAUAUCUUCUGCAAUAGGUGACAAUAGAUAUUGCUAGCCCAGCAAGUGGUGUAAUCCAAGAGGUAAAUAUGUUUGCUAGUUGUGUUGUUUUAUUUUCACUCGCUAUUAUUAUUCUCUUGUUGGUGUCUCUAUAGUUAGUCUUCACUGAGUAGACCUGUUUGGAUUGGUCUUCUAAUGCAGUUUCUAGUCAAGGAAGGAGAUACUGUAGAACCAGGAACCAAGGUCGCUAUUAUAUCAAAGUCUGAGGAUGCUGCAUCUCAGGCUACCCCCUCCCAGAAGAUACCAGAGACAACUGAUUCCAAACCUUCUCCUCCUGCUGAAGAUAAGCAGAAGCCUAAAGUGGAAAGUGCUCCUGUAGCAGAGAAACCCAAGGCACCAUCCUCACCACCUCCACCCAAACAGUCUGCUAAAGAACCGCAGCUUCCUCCUAAAGAAAGAGAAAGACGGGUAUGCAAAAUCUAUCAUUUUUCCUUGCUUCCGUCUGUAAAUUUUAAAAUGACUGUGGUCAGAGGUUAAAUAAAGUUAUGUUUGUUCCCUAAUGAGAAGCUUUACAGUCACAUGAUUGGUGAUAUGACAUCUGACAACACUGCAGGUUCCUAUGACAAGACUUCGUAAACGGGUUGCAACAAGAUUGAAAGACUCUCAAAAUACUUUCGCAUUGCUGACAACUUUCAAUGAAGUUGAUAUGUGAGUAACAGCUUAAACCCGUCAAGUUGAUAUGUCUAUAUCAGUUAUGCGAGUCCUUUUGGUGCACUGAAUUAUACUAGUCAGUUUGAUUUUGCUUGCUAAUUGUGGAGCUCUUUUCUUCGUGAAGGACAAAUUUGAUGAAGCUCCGGUCCCAAUACAAGGAUGCGUUUUAUGAAAAACAUGGAGUGAAGUUGGGGCUUAUGUCUGGAUUCAUUAAAGUAUGCAGUACCUACUUUUUUCUCGAUGUUAUUACAAUUCCAGAGUUAAAUGGUAAGAAAUAAAACAAUGUUCUUUGGUAUCUGUCUCAGGCUGCUGUUAGUGCCCUCCAGCAUCAACCAGUUGUAAAUGCAGUUAUCGAUGGGGAUGAUAUCAUAUACAGAGACUAUGUGGAUAUCAGUAUCGCUGUUGGUACCUCUAAGGUUAGUUCACAUUCACGAGCUAUCGUUGGUUUGUGCUAAAUUUCAUCCUUAAUACAUUCAUGUAUGUGAGGCUGAAAUUUUCUUGUUGUGGUCUCUUUUCCAGGGACUUGUAGUACCAGUCAUAAGAGGUGCUGAUAAAAUGAACUUUGCCGAGAUAGAGAAGACGAUAAACACACUUGCGAGGAAGGCAAAUGAAGGAACCAUAUCCAUAGAUGAGAUGGCUGGAGGAUCAUUCACCGUUUCAAAUGGCGGUGUCUAUGGAAGUCUCAUAAGCACUCCGAUCAUUAACCCUCCUCAGGUUUAAAUUUAUUUCCCAUCUCACCGGGUCUCAAUCAGAACCACUUUUUUGUUUACAAACAGCAACCUGUGGUUUUGCAGUCUGCUAUACUCGGUAUGCACUCGAUUGUGUCGCGUCCAAUGGUUGUAGGAGGAAGCGUAGUGCCAAGACCAAUGAUGUACGUCGCACUUACGUAUGAUCACAGGCUGAUUGAUGGUAGAGAGGCUGUCUACUUCCUGCGCCGUGUCAAGGAUGUUGUGGAGGAUCCACAAAGGCUUCUUCUUGACAUAUAAAAAAAGUCGGUUUCGGGGAGUCAGGAAGUGUAUGGCUUUUUGCCAGUUAUAGACCUGCAGUGUCUUUAAAACGUUUGGGAGGGUAACAACAAUUUUUUCUCUUUCAAGUUUCUUUACAGUUUCCUGAAUAUUGCCGGAUGGGAAGGCUUCAGUGUCUAAGUUCUUAUUUGUUACACCAUAUGUUCAAUUUUGACUGAAUAAAAUGACCCUUUUGAGGUUCUUCGACUUGAAUGAUUUUUCAUGACUCAGAACAUACCUUCGGAAUUCUUCCUUUUCUUUUUUUUUUGUAGGCCUCAUAUGUUUUAUAAAUAACAUCUAGACGAGAGAGAAGCAAUAUGCUUUCUUUGUAUUAAAUAGAAAUUAACAUUUUAUAAGAGAGAACUGAAACGUAAAUAAUUUUAGCAUACUUUGCUUUCUUACUUUCAAGGGAAAAAUCCAUAAAUUGUAUCAUAGUCUUACUGUCAACAAAAGGAAAUCAACUAUAAGAGGAUUCACUCAGAUCUGUUAGAUCUCCGAUGGUUCCGACUUAUAAUAAUUUAUUGAAGGUAAAGAUUCUAUCUUCUUGUUGAAUGUGACAUGAAUCAUGGUAACACGCAGACCAGGAAAUUCUCAGAUCCUGACUUCUAUGCGCUCCUCUUGUAAGUGUUCUUUCACAGAUUGGAUUGGUACCUUAAUAGAAUAAUAGUGUUACCAGGUAUAAGAUUUUGCCAAUAGGUUUUAACAAGAGUAAAAACGGUUACCUCUUUCCGGUGGAAAAUGCCGGCAGCAAGCGCGGCAGAUGCGUUUGUCUUCUCAAACACCUCGGAAAAGUGCCUGGGAGUACCUGCUCCACUGCUUGCGAUCACCGGUAUGCCUACUGAAUCUGAGAUGAGCUUUACUAAGUCUAUGUCAAAUCCUUUCCCUUGACCUGAAACUCGCAGAAAAGGAAGGCAUCAUAAGGAGAUAAAAUUUUUGAAUACAUUGAUCUUUAACUCCAACAGCAGUGGCUCAAUAGGUGGUUGUGUGUGCUUUUGAUUUUCGUGGAUCAUAUUUACUUCUCAUUGCAUGUAAAGGUGCUCCAAAAUUUCAGAUAUGAAACUAAUUCAAAGAUUGAAGGACUUUUCGAGUGUACCAUCACAGUCUAUGCAGUUCAAUAGUAUUUCACCAGCACCUAAUUCUUCAACCGCUUUCGCAAGCUCAAAUGCUCCAAUAGGCCGACCUUCUCGUCCUCCACUGACCUUUUAGUUGAGAAACCAAUAGUUAAGGAAUGAUACAAACCGAUUAUAAACUGUAAAGGGUGUCUCAAAUUUUACCGUGCACUGAUACCAGGCAUAUUCUUCUCCAUUUGGGCCUAACACCAGCAAGAUUAAAUCCCGGUUAUUACAUGUAUGCAAACUUAUGGGGAAACUCUAGUCAAUGUGACUGUGCUGUUUGUAUAGUUCAAGCAGCUCAAGGCUAUUCAACGAAAACUAAAAUAAGAUUGACGCAAGAUGAACCAUAUCAUGUCCCUUAGGAAAAUAAAGUUCUCAGUUGACAUAGCAAUAAUAAGUUAAUAACAUUUGCCUUGUAAUUUUAAUGCAUAAGAACGCUCAACUUUUUCCAUCUAAUGCAUGAUAUGUAGCCACCCUACAUAAUAUUCCUUUGAACCAUGAAAAAGUAAAUAUAAGAGAGGUGGGAACACCAGCAUACCUGGAUUAGUUACUCUGAUGACUUUGUAUGGCACAUCAUCCGGAUGGUUCACAUAAACUCUACGAGGAUCAAUACUUACAACCACUGCCUGUGGAGAGAAAAACUCUAUCAAAUAAGUGCAAUUUCUCACAAAAACUAGGGAACAUGAGAAACAACUAUCUAAACGUAGUCAAUUCACUGUUUACUCCAUCUGUAACUAAGAUAUUGAUAUCCUAAUGUAAAGCAACUAGUAUCCCUUUAUUUUCUGCAAGCUGAGGUCUAAGAAAAAAGAAAGCCAAUUGUUCUGAACUGUUAAGCAAUUACCUGAUUUCCAUAAACUCUGGAUAUCUGUUCUAAACUACUCUUUCCUGUCUUCACCUACAAGAACUCGGAAAAAGGGAUAAAAUGAUCCUUCCAUUUUUAGAUACUAUAGCAUGAACAACAAGUCGGAUAAAUUAGACGGGCAAUUACAAACUUACCCCUGAUUUUAUGAACUCCUCUGCAGCGUAAACAGCGUCACUUCCUAUGGAGAUCUUAUCAGCACCGGAUCUGAAAUACUCAGCAGCAACUUCCAAGCUAGAAUAGUACCUGAGUCAAAGUAACUUGAUAUUAAAUUGUUGUAGAGAAUAAAAAUUGCAAGGUCCUUGCUGAAAUAAAAAAGAACAUAAUGCUUGCACAGACAUGUUCACAGAAACAUGCUGAAAAGAUUAACAUGUACCUGCCACUAGCAUCUGUAAAGUCUCUAAUACCACCUCCAACAGUUAGUGGUACAAAGACAUUCUUUGAUGUGUGCCUCAACACCUAUAAAGUAUGAAAAGUGAUCUAAAUCGGAAAUUACAGGGAAGGUGCGGAAGUAAGACUUAAAUUCUACUGAGAACGGAAAAAUUUUAGGUACCUGAAUCAUCGGCAAAUCCCCUAGAGGAAAAUCGCGGAAUCCAGUGAUGUUUAAAAAGCUAAUCUGAAAACCCACAAGCAGCACGGUAAAGCGCCAAACCAAAUCUAGAAAAAGGUGUCUUGGAGCCAUUCACAUAAUAUUGCAAGGAGAUCAUAUACUGUCAAAGUAUACCUCAUCUGCACCAUCUUUGUAAUACUGCCCCGCCAAAUCAACCGGUUUGCCAAGGUUUCGAACCUGCGCAAGAAAAAGGAAUGAAUCCAGAGCAUUGUUACAGACGUUAAUAAUUAGCUAAACCCAACAGCUUUAAGGUAAUAUAAGGACGUAUCACAAAAACAUCCAAAUAUCAACAAUGUUUUAUAUUUUCACAAAGAACACAUCCCAGGAUAUGACAUUUAAGCAACAAUUUUCAACAAACCUCAUUUUCAUUAGAUUGCUCUCUCACAUCAUACUGAUCCCCUUUAGUAACUACGAGAUCUCCUUUAUCAUUCGUCCUCACAUCAAGACAAGCAAUCACCUAAAGAAAAACAAAAUAUUAAUAGAAAAACUCCCUACCAGAAUAGUUAAGAGAAAAGACAGCAAUGUUGUAGAGGAGACAGACUUCCAAUGAUAACAGGACAAACUUAUUACCCUCUUUGCAAGUUUUGAGGCCUUCCCUUCCAUUGGCUUCUGUCUUCAAGUGAAUUGUGGUUUCCAUUAGACACCAAAAAAUCAGGAAUUACAUUGUACAUGUAAGGCUAGAGUGAAAUCUACCUGUGUUGCAGGUAAUUUUGGAUGCAAGAACCUUCUCAAAACAGAAAGCCCCACCUCUGAAUAGUUCCAGAUUCAGAAUUAGUACGAUACCAAAUAUGAAAACAGACUCUGAAUAAGAGAAAAAAGAUGUCAACAAAAAAUUGACUAGACUAUCAUACCCCCGCUCUUCUCAGGAUGAAACUGGACUGCAUGCACAUUUCCCCUUCUUAUGGAAGAUAUAAAUGAUUCACCAUAAUUGCAGGUAGACGAAAUCCAGUCCUUAUUUUCAUCUGACUACAGAAAUUAUGGAACUAUAAUUAUCACAUGCAUGUAGAAGAAGAGAAAGACAAUAUGGUACAUAUACGAAAAUGAAAGAAAAAAAGAAGAGAUUAUUUAGAUCCAUACUGGAAUGGCCCGGUACGAAUGAACAAAAUAUACAUGACGAUUUCCAACAUCAUCCAAAAUUUCAGAAUCCUUCCCCACUUGCAACGCAUUCCAGCCAAUGUGGGGUACUCUUAUACCAGCUGAAGAAUCAAAGCGUCCAACUAUUCCCGGUAUCACGCCAAGACCUUUGACUGGCAAAAAUAUACACCAUGAAAACACAUACUAUCAUAAUGUAGAUCAUGUUGAAGGAGAGAUUCCUGAAGAAAUAAUAUGAAGAAGGGGCAAUCGAGCUAAACCUGGUCCAUUCUCCUCACUAGACUCGAAAAGUAGUUGUAGCCCAAGACAUAUGCCGAGAAAGGGACGGUCAUUCUCAAUAUAUGUGCACAAAGCUUCAGCCAUCCUGCAAACGUCAAAGAACCAAAAUCGUAUAUGAAGAAUUAGAGAAGACAUGUUCAUUGUAAGUUUUAUGAACAACUCGGAAUGAAAAGCACUUAAAAUUAUGAGUUAAGCAUGAAAUGUGGUUCCAAAUUUGCUACAAUUAAAAGACCUCUCUAACCUCGGACAGUAACAAGUAAGCUACUUCGAGCAAAUUGAUAACAUACAAUUAAUCAAAGAGAGAAAUCCACAGAGCUUAGUAAUAAGUACCCAGUUUUGUUAAGUACAUCCAUGGCGGGUGCAAAAGCUCCAACGCCGGGAAAGAUGAGGCGAUCAGCAUUCAGAAUGUCUCCCGGCGUUUGAACCUAACAUUUCAAGUUCCCAAAUGUAAUCACUUUCAUAUCAUUCUUUCCCUAACGACGCAUAAGAGAUCACUACAUUUCCCAGAAAUAAAAUUGGAUUCAAAAGCCUACGUCUUUGAUGCUGAACCCGAGAUGACGAAGAGCAUUGCGGAUGCUUCGAACAUUCCCAGCUCCGUAGUCAAGCAAAGUCACUGCUACGCAACAAAGAGACAGAGUAAAAAAAACAAAGCUUCAGCAUAAAAAGACUAAUCAAAAUUUUAGUAUAACAGGGCAAAAUAAAACAAUAGCAAAUACCAGAAUCGGAGGAAGAAGAUGCACGGACGGAGAGGCUUCUGGGAGAUUUGAAUUUGCGAUUACCAUUGCCAAUGUUCUUCUGGAAGAGGAAUAAAGAAGCCGGAGAAGAAGCGCGAAUCGAAGAAGAUGAAGGAAGGUUUUGUCUGGAAGAGACAAUUGACGAGAAUGGCGCCGCCGUAGCCUCCAUUGAUAUCAAACUCACUCACUGCUUCGAUUGCUAAUUCAAAAGGUCGUCGUCUCUCGUCACUUUGUCAACACUUCACUGACGACGUCGUUUUCCCUCGUGUAGCGUUGUUAUGGGCUUUUAUGAACUUCUCUUAAACGGACAUAACGGGCUUGGGCUUCAUUUGACUUUUACAAGAGUGAGUAUUUUAGAUCCCAUGCUCUAGUUAUUUAUAACGGAUAAAAAAGUGGUUACUAAAAUAAAAUACAAGUUAUAGAAGAAACAAAAAACUUACAAGUUAUGUAUACGGUAUACCAUACAUAGGAGAUACAUGUCUCUUAGAAACAACAACAGCAAAAUAUUAUUUCAAACACCAGUUUGAAUUUGAAGUGAAAUUAAAUAUUGGAAUGGAUAAGGGCUUAGGGUCUAUGUAGUACACCAACUCCAGCCAUCCAAUGCAAGGCAUGAAAGAUGAGCAAAACAAAAAAGGACAAAAUAAAAGGUUUACAUAUGAUAUUACUAUUAUUGAGUGUGUUUGCCAACAAUAACUCUUCCCAUCCUUUUUCUCAAGUCAACUCUUUUUAAUACAUCUUCUAUCUGAAUCAUUUCUAUAUAAUGAUUUCGUAACAUGUUCUAGUUCUUACAAGACAUUUAUAUUACAUCGUACAUAAAUUGAAAUUUUGAUGUAGGUUUUUGGAUCGGUUGAAUUAAUAUAUUUUGGAUUGGAGAACAUCAUAACAUGUGCUUUGUGUAGGUAAACUUAAUAACCUUUUUCACCAUAGAAUUUAAUUGCACUAGUUGUGGAUAUUUGUGUAAUGUUGGGAUGAGGUGGUCAAAUUUGGGCAUUCACCGGCCCUUGCUACUAUCAACAAUUCACAAACCACUACGCAAGGCCGGCUCUGAGUCCAGCAAAGUGACACAUAGGCUUAGGGACCCCAUAAUUUCCAGUUGUUUUUAUUUAAGAAAUAGGCUCCAAUUUUAUAAUUUUUUUUGCAAAAGAAGCCACCAAUUUUAAAAACCUUUAAACUACUCUAAAAUUUGUUUGGGCCUCCAAAUUUCAGGACCGGCCCUGCCACUACGAAAAUCAAAAGAUAGAAAAAAAAUGAGAUGACAAGUCAUUUUGGUAUGUUAUGCGUUUGAUGAAUGUCAUCAGGACGUCAUCAAUGAGUCAUCAAUCAUCAGCAUCAACUCUUAAGUCACAAAGAACUUAUUUCUACCUGUGAUCAGUUUUCAUUUUGUAGGUAAACUAUAUUAUAUGUUAUGCGUUUAUGAAUAUUAAAGAUAUUGGCAAUGAGAUGGUAAGACAAUGGUUUGUAUAUUAUUAUUUUAUUUUAUUUUGUAAUAUUAUUAGCUUACAACAGUUCAGAUCAAUAUGUUUUAAUGAUUUAAAAGGAGACAUAUACUUAAAUAUAAAAUAAUCAAUUCAAAGUAAUUGUACUAUACAUAAUACAUUUAUACAAGUGAAAGUGAUUUAGAGCUUUUGUCGACCAAAUUAAAGAUAUUAUUCUAUUAAGUGGUGUUCUUAAAUUGUUGUAUUUGGAUAAGUACGGGAAGAAAAACAUAAUUUAUGUUUCAACAAAUUUCCACAAACGGUACCUAAUAAAUUGUACGGCAUUGAUAUAAACUAAUUUGUUUUGUUAGGUAUCGGUGUCAAAGUAGGAAUGUUCUGCUCCAAUGAUCAUGUAUAUAGAGUAGAACUAUCAACUAUCAAGACCGACGAGAUUGUCAGUGUCGGUGUAUGUGUGCUUUUAGAUUUCAGACGGUGAAAGUUGACGAAAGUGAUUAGUCCAGUUUAUUUACUUCUUCAAAGAUGUAUUUUAGUAAGUAAACGUGGACUUUGAUUUUGUACUCCCCCAAAGAGUCGUCUGCGUUCACAUAACGGGGUCUUAUGCGGUUUAGGUAAACACACAAGAAUUUGUAUUGAAAUGACUUCGCCUCUAGAUAAUUGUUGGACCAAAUACAGAUUGAAUUCGUCUAUUGUCAAUCUCAUUGAUUUAAGCUCCAACAAGACAAGUUGAACAAAAAAAAAAAAGAUAUAAUUUGAAUUGUCUUACACAGUCGUACGUAUAAUAGUAAUCGUUAGCACAUACCCUAACGGCUAACGCAUAUGUUGCAUAGGAAAGAUUGAGUAAUGUAUUUACAUAUUCUUUAAUUUUGAACACAUGGGCAUUGUUCAUUGUUUCAUAAGACUUGGUUAGUGGAUUAAAAAUGAGCUUGCAAUUUGGAAAACAAUUAUUUUUUUUAGUAUGAAACAAAUUCUUUAUGGAUACAUUUUUAUCUUCAUCACUAAAAUAAUAAAAUGCAAUUAAAUUUCCUUGAAUAGCAACAUUAGAGUAGAAAUUAUUAAUGAUGUCGUCAGAGGAAUAUUCCGAGAACAAGCUGUCUUGAUUCGAAAUCCAAUCUUCAUCUUCUUCCAUCGACGACGUUGUUUCAACGCAAAUCACGUCAUCGUCGCCGUCGCGUUUCUCGGUUUCUUCAUAUUCAUCGCCUCUCACUUGAAUCCAUCCGUCGUCUUCUUCAGUAACCCAAUCGGGUAAGCUUAAAAAUUCAUCUCCGGCGAGUUUCUCGAUCCGUUUAGCCGGUGAACCCCAAGAUUCCGAGUAAUCAGCAAAAGGGUCUUCGUGAUCCAUCGAAAUUAAGUGAGUUUUCGAGGUUUCGCAUGAAUCCCAGAAUCGUUGAUCCAACACUGUGCUUGGAGAAGAAGUCUUGUUCUUCAAACAAUCGCUUGUCUGAGAUUCUUCUUCGUCGUUGAGAAAUGAAUGUUUAAGCAAUUCUUCCACAGUCCAUCUCUGUUUUGGAUCUUCCUUCAAACAAUUAUUCAAAAAGUCUUUAGCUUUCUCCGAUAUCCACCCAGGAAUCUCCGGCGACUCACCAGAGAAUCCAAUCUUAUACAUUGCAGCAACGACGUCGUUUAGCUCCGGCCAAGGAUUUGAUCCAGUCAUCAUCUCGAUCACUGUACAUCCCAAAGCCCACACAUCAGCCGGAAACCUCUGUUCUUCACCACGAGCAACUUCUGGCGCCAUAAACGCCGGUGUACCGGAAAAUCCCGACUUGCCAACUGAUUUAGCACAUCCCAUAUCGGCGAUUUUCAAAACGCCGUUUUCCUCAACCAGAACGUUCUGGCUCUUCAAGUCGCAGUGAACAAUCCCUCUCUCGUGAAGAUACACCAAACCGUUAAGAAUUUGACGCGUGUGUGAUCUUAUCUCCGGCUCCGGCAACUUCCCGCCGGAAUUUUUGAUUAAAUCGUGAAGACUCCCGCCGGAAACGUACUCCAUCAGUAUAUUGUACACCAAUCGAUCGUUCUCGUACGUUAAACCAGAGCCGAUGUACUUGACUAUGUGAGGAGAGCUCAAUGUAGACAAGAAUGAUUGCUCUUUCUGCAAGAACGAUGAAGAAGAUAAGUCGGCAGAUUUAACGGCGAAGAUCUCACCGGAGCUUGAGAUUGCUACUGAGACAGUGGCGGUGGAGCCUCGACCGAUGAUUUGUCCUCUUUUCCAAUUAAUCUCCAUUGGAACAGAGCAAAAAACAGAGAAGAAUUUAGGGAGUGGGGGAAAUUGUUGGGACUAAGGUUUUUUUUUUUUU